rnacentral:lncRNA from 1 species
GGAAAUUACGGGUGCAUAGCAGCUCUUAUUUCACAUACUACUCAUACUGAUCAAAGUCACUCAGUUGGGAUGGGUGGGAGUAGGAGGUUUGUGGGGUGGCUUGUGCGGAGGAGUUGGCAGCUUCUUUCCAGGACCUGGUGGCUUCUCUCCCUUAGGUGGUUUGCCAACUGGGGUUGGUGGCUUGUAUGAGUCUUCAGCAUUCUCUGCAGGAGGGUGACCAGGGUUGUGACCAUAAUGUGGUGGCUUCUCUCCCUUAGGUGGUUUGCCAACUGGGGUUGGUGGCUUGUGUUCUGGGAGUGGCUUCUCCCCCUUGGGAGGUUUUUCCAAUGGGGUUGGUUUGUGUUCAGGAGGUGGCUUCUCCACUGGAGGCUUGUGUUCAGGAGGUGGCUUCUCCACCGGAGGCUUGUGUUCAGGAGGUGGCUUCUCCACCGGAGGCUUAUGCUCUGGUGGUGGCUUCUCCACCGGAGGCUUAUGCUCUGGUGGUGGCUUCUCGAAUGGGGGAUGCUUAGGGUAAUCAGCAAGUGAGGGGGCGGUGAGAACCACCAGGCCAAGCAAGACCACUAGCAAGUAUGUAGGAGACAUCUUUGGGUUUAGACUCAGAUGGUGCAAAACUAGGAGAAUUGUCUUUUAUAGCGGAUCGCACCCAAUAAUGAAAUGACACGUGUCUUUAUGACCCAUGUGUAAUGGGGUCGAUUUGGGUCCUACAGUGUUGAAAACUUCGACAUCCACUUUUGGCCUUUUGCUUUCUCUACAGCCGCCUUGCUUUUUCCCUCUUUCCUUUUGUUUUCCUCCUGCCCCAUUCUAUCAACUAAACACAAUUAUGUAGUUGUUUAAUUCUUAAAUGAGAUAUUAUCCGUCAAUCGUAUCAUAUUUUAUCAACAGAGAACGGAGUGCAAUGUGGCAAUCCAAAGAAAGAAGAUCCAUAAUGCAGCUGUAAUUUUAUCGUUUACUUUUAUCUCUUGGACCACUGCAUUUUUGUUAAGAGGUGCAAUAAUACACGUCUUUAUCUGCCAUUCAAUGUUUACAGUAAAGAGAGGGCACAAAACUCUUCACUGCUCUGCAUGUGUCCCAAAAAUGCAAUUGGACAAAUUAUGAUUUGCAUGCUAAAAAGAGGCAAAUGAGGUUAAUUCGCACCAUAAUUAUUUUGUUUUCUGGACCCCGGGGCCCUUUGGUUGGUUUGGGGGUCAGAAAAUGAACAUCAUAGGGGGUUUUUCCCUUAUGUGCAUUUGUAUCUGAUGGCUUUAACUCGCCUUGUUACUACAAAGAAAUUGUCACAUAUAGGAACUUAUUCCAGGCUGAGUAUCUCCGCAUAGACCCUAUAAAAGAAGACAAGUCAUAAUGAACAUCUAACCUUUGUUCAAUUUGAUUCAAUGCCCCAUUGUGUCCACCUCACAAAUCUGAAUUAUUAUAUCCAUUGAAUACAUAAAUUAAUGAAGAAAAUAUGAAACCCAAGAUACAUCUCUGCACAACCUCAACCCUGGUUGCUAUGUUUCCCUUCUAUUCACAUGAGGAUAUUGAUUACGGAAUAGGGAAACCUAGCAAGGGUUUACUCGGCUCUGGUUUGAUGCUAAUUGCCAAACUUGCAACAAGCCCUGAGUUUGAAGCUCACAGAAGAUGUUAUACAGGCAGGGAAAAACCUUCAGAGUUCGCUGCCAAAGAUAAUUAUUAAGGAGAUAUCACCAAGAGAAUUCCAAGGAGUCUGAAUCAAAGACAAAUUGGUCGUUCGUGGAGGUUCUUACUUUCUUUUGGGUAUAACUCACUGAGGGCACUGUCUUUUUUAUUUUCAUUUCACAUUUAGAGUUCUGUUCUGGAAACAUAUAAAAGGAGCAUCAGUUUGUUCUUGGGUAACCCAUAGUCGUGAGUGGGUCCAUUUGCAUGCUACUUAGUUGAAAAGUUGGACCAUUUGCUCCGACGCCUACCUCCUGGAUUCCAUGCUCGGAUAAAACAAGAAUAAAAAAAUAUUUAUAAUUUACAAAUGGGGGAAAGAAAAAAAUGUCAACAACAAACUAGGAAAAAAGAGUAGUAAAAUUCAUGUCACAUGCUAGUGAGAGAAGGGGUUGUUACACUCACUCGAAGUUCUUUUCAAAAUAUCGCAUGGUAUUUUAUUUUAUGUGUGAGCGCAGUUGUGAAUGGAACGUGCAAAAGUCCAAAUUGGUGACCUUUAAUAAAUAUUUAAAACAAAAAACGAAAAAAAGGAGGGAAAAGGGAUCAGAAAAGAUAAAACAAUGUGUACAAAAGCUCAAUUAGUUUGCAAAUUACUGUUUGGAUUUUGAUAGUAUUUUAUUUGAUGUAAAAGAGAAUUUAAGAUAUUUCCGAAACAAAAGCAUUAGUUUGCUCCAUGUCAAUUUCGGCAUUUCUCAUAUGUUUCACACAUACACAGAAGAGCAUCGUUUUUUAAAGCAUGCAUUUAUGUUGGAUUAAUUUGGAUUUUGUGGGAACUGGGGCAAGGAUCACAUGGAAGAGAGGUUGACUUUUUUCAGUACUUCAAUGGUUGAGACAGGUGAAGGCCUGAUUGAUACUGAAGCCUGAAAUUGCGACUCCGUCAUUUGUCAAAACAUAUGACAGCUUCCAUGCUCUCGUUUGGUUGCAUUGUUCUGUGGUCAUGCAUACAUGCCACUUAGUGAUCAGUCUGUAACUGUCAAUCAUUGGGCUUUGACUGAACAACAUCAGCCAUGUAUAAAUACUUGCAAAUCAAACGGUCUUCUUCCUCCCAUAAGGAAUUUCGGUUUAAUUAUGAAGCAUGCAUUUGGCUGACCAUCAUAAACCACUUCUUUAAAUUGAUGAAUGAUAGUUUUUCAUUCAUUCUUUCAUUCGUUCAUAUACAGAGUAUAUAUAGAGGGUAAUCAUCAUUCUAAGAAUGGGAAAGAAUGAUACAAGGAAAUAAUGAUAUAAAGAAAUAACAACUAAUAUUCUAAUAUCUCAACUUUCCUAAUAUCUAAACAUUCCUAAUAUCUCAACACUAAAUGAUAUAAAGAAAGAAUGAUAUAAGGAAAGCAUUCCUAAUAUCUCAACACUCCUCCUCAAGUUGGUGCAUAGAUGUCAAACAUGUCCAACUUGUCUAAAAAUUUUGAGAACAGUUGACUUGAGACAUCUUUGGUGAGGAUAUCGGUCAAUUGAUCUUCUGAUCGAAUCUUAGGCAAUUCCACAAUCUUAUCAUCCAACUUUUCCUUAAUGAAAAAUCUAUCCAUCUCGACAUGCUUUGUACGAUCAUGUUGUACUAGAUUAUGAGCAAUGUCACAUGCUGCUUUAUUGUCACAAAACAAUCGGAUUGGUUGCCUAGAUAGGUAACCUAAAUCCUAUAAGAGGAGUCUUAGCCAUAAUGCCUCACAAAGUCCUAAAGUCAUACCUCUAAAUUCCGCUUCUGCACUUGAACGAGCGACGACAUUUUGCUUCUUACUUUUCCAUGUCACAAGAUUACCACCUACAAAGGUAAAGUAACCAGAUGUAGAUCGCCUAUCAUCCACUGCACCGACCCAAACAGCAUUAUACUUCUAUACUCUGAUGAUCAACAUUUUUAGCGAACAAAAUUCCCUUCCUAGGAGCAUUCUUCAAAUACCUCAAAAUACGCAUGACUACAUUCAUAUGUUGCUCUCCAGGAUUAUGCAUGUAUUGACUCACUACACUCAAUGUAUAAGCAAGAUCUAGUCUUGUAUGAGCUAAGUACAUUAAUCUCCCCACAAGUCUCUGGUAUCUUCCCUUAUCGAUUGAUACUUGAUUAGGCUCAACACACAAUUUCAGACCUUCUUCUAUUGGUGUAUUAAUAGGUUGACAUCCCGACAUUCCAGUUUCCUGUAGAAGAUCUAAGGCAUACUUUCUUUGAGACAGAAAAAUUCCUUCACUUGAUCGAGAAACUUCAAUCCCAAGAAAGUAUUUCAGACGACCAAGAUCUUUCAUUUCAAAUUCUCUAGAUAGAUACUUUUGCAAAGCUUUUCUUUCUUCAGGAUCAUUUCCUGUAACUACAUGUCAUCCACAUAUAUCAUAAGUGUCGUAAUCUUACCAUGUUGCUUUUUCAAGAACAAAGUGUGAUUUGAAUUACUUUGAUGAUAGCCAAAAGCUCUCAUUGAUUUUGUGAACCUUCCAAACCAUGCUCUCGGGGAUUGCUUCAACCCAUACAAUGACUUCUUCAAUUCGCACACCUUCUGACAUUGCUUUUCUGACACCAUGCAUCCUGGUGGAAGAUCCAUAUAUACUUCUUCAGAUAAAUCGCCAUGCAGAAAGACAUUUUUUACAUCGAACUAUUGUAAUGGCCAAUCUAGGUUUGCAGCUAAAGACAAUAAUACUCGAACUGUGUUGAUCUUAGCUACAGGUGCAAAUGUCUCUGUGUAGUCAAUUCCAUAAGUUUGAAUGUACCCACUAGUCUUGCUUUAAAUCGUUCAAUACUACCAUCUGCCUUGUACUUCACAGUAUAGAUCCAACGACACCCAACUAGCUUCUUUCCUGGUGGACAUUCUACGAGUUCCCAUGUUUCAUUUUUCUGCAAUGAUUUCAUCUCUUCAUUCAUGGUUGCUUUCCACUUUGGAUCAGCUAAAGCUUCCUGCACACUAUUAGGAAUAGCUACAGUAGAUAAUUGAUUUACAAAUGACUUAUUUGAUUCAGACAAACCAUGGUGUGGACCCGCAUUUUUCACGUGCGCCUCUACUCGAUCGGCGAGACUCGCUUUCUAUUUGUGAAAAAUUAAUUUUAGAAAAGUUGGAGUCGCCACCUAUUUUAUUUUUAUUUUGAAGGGAAAAUAAAACAAGAAAGAAAAACCCUAAAAAGUGACUCCAUAGUUUUGGAAAAAGCAUGUCUUUGGGAAACCUGAGUCUAGGUCCGGGGAUCAUGUUACUUAUUGGGAAGGUACCUCUAGGAGGUAGCACCCCUCUAAGCCUUAUGAAGGUCUCUACUAACUAAAUUAAGGGAAGUGUGGCAAUAAAUCGAUUGAUCAUAGAUACCUAAGUAGACUAGGUGAUUUUAAAGUGUGGCAUGUCAAACACAAUCAAAUUGCAAUAAAGGAGAGUUAGGGCGCGUACCUGAACCGCUUCUCAAGCGCUAUCAUAAAACAUCAAUGGUUAAUUUAAAUAAUAUAUCAUCCAGCAUGUAUUUUAUUAGAAAUAAUCAAACAAUGAAACAUGUAUAUCAGAACACUCAAGCAUUAUUAGACAUAAGCAUUAUUUCACUAUUCACAGAAUUCAGAAAGUAGGUGAUAGAGGACAUACCUGGAUAGCAUAGAUAAUUUGUAAUGUGCUUCCUCAAGUUGUAAGGGGUUAGAUAACAAAUAAUAAAAUAUAGAAAUCCUAGCAUGCUCGUUAUCUAAUUAGCAUAGCAAAAGUGAUCACAGUAUACAGAAUCAUCAAUUAUCACAUACAUCUUGUAUAUAAUUCCUAAAAAAAAUAGAUAGACAUGAUUUCAACAAGUGUCAAAUGUGGCAACAAAAAUAAAUUUUGAAAAGAUUUUCUUAUGUAGGGGUUUCACCAAUUCCCCAAAUUAAUAUACACGAAUUUAGCUUAGAAUUAUCCCAUUUAUUUGGGACUACAAGCUUUGAUUCGUGUUUUUGUUCAAAACCAAAAAUUUUUGUUGAAAAUCAAGAAGGAUGCGAACCGAACAAGAUAUGGUUGCAUAUUAUUUUUAAAUAAAUAAAUAAAUAAAUAAAGGAGAUUUUGAUCCUGAGGACUUUAAUGAGUUUUUUUUUUUAAAAUAGAUUUUUAAAAUGAUUUUUUUGAGAAAAGUAUUUUAUUUUAAAAUAAAAGGGAUUAAUUUGGGAAAAAAAUAAAAUAUAAGAAAUAAAAUACCAAACAAAACAAAAAUGAAACCUCAAAGUAAAAUUUUUUUAGUAAUUAACAAAAAUGAUAAUGGUGAUGGUAGAGGGCAAUCUUCAUGAUUUUCCAAUGGCCUCAGAAAGAAAAUCAAAUUAAAUGAAGGAUCACUAACAGGCAAGACAUUCUAAAUUAGACAAACUAACAAAGUAUCAAUUCAUGAACUAACCGCUAGGAUUUUGAAAGCAUAUAAGCUAAGAUAAGGGUGAUCAGGAACUAAUAUUAAUGAUUUUGAAAUAAAAACUAAAAAAAAGGAUCAAUUCGGGUAAGGAACUAAAAUUAUAAAAGUACCUAAACUAAUUAUGACGAGUUUGACUAAAUUAAACUAAAAACAUGAACUUUCAAACAUAGAAUUAAUUUUACUAAUGAACCAAAGCAAACUAAAAAUAUGUACUUUCAAGCAUAGAAUUAAUUUUAUUGAUGAACUAAACUAUAACAAAUAUCUAAACUAAAUAUAAUGAAUCAAAUUAAAUUAAAGCAACUUAAAAACGCAAACUUUCAAACAUAGAAUCAAUUUUAUCAAUGAAUUAAAACUAUAAAUGUAUUUGAACUAAAUAGAUGAAUCAAACUAAAUCAGAGCAAAAUUAAAAAAAAAAAAGAACUUUCUAACAUGAAAUCAAUUUUAUCAACAAAUAAAUGAAUGAAUAACAAGUAAUUAAAAGAAUAGCUACUACAUGAAUAACUGAAUGAAUAAAAUUCAAAUGUUUUCAAUCUGAAGCAAUCAAUCAAAAUUAAAUAGGGAUCAAAUCAAAAUAAUCGAAAUCGGAAAAACAAUAUGCAAUCUUUCUAAAGGUUUAACCAGACAAUUGAAUUAAAAUUAUGAAUAGAAUAAAUUAAUAAACCAAAUCGAAACCUAAAUUGUACCUAAAAAGAUUAAUUAAUUAAACUAAGAAAUCAAAAUCAAUAACAAAACUAAACUAAGGAGUAAAUUAAGACAAGACUAAUUAAAUUAAACUCACAAACACGUUUUAACUAUCAUAUGGAUUAAAACAAAAUUAGCAUGGACUUAUGAAUUACGAACAAAAAUAAUCAAAACUAUUUUAAAAAACUCACCUCUAUUAUAAGAAAAAAUCUGCCUUUGAUGCGUUGAGGUGGCUCCCCUCUCUGUGUGGAUCUCUCUGCUCCCCAGAAAAAAAAUGUCUCUUCCUCCGUUCUCUUUUGUUUCAGCAAAAUAAUAUAUCCCCUGCUGUGGAUCUCUCUACUCCCAGAAAAUAAUAUAUUCUCUCCGUGUCCUAAAGUGGACCUAGGGUGCCUAAGUGGACCUAGGGUGCCUAAAUGGGCCUAGGGUGCCUAAAUGGGCCAAGUGUAUCUAAAUAGGCUUAGGGUGCCUAAGUGGGCCUAAGUCUAAGUGAGCCUAAGUCUAAAUCAAGACUACCAAGGAUCAUAAUAAGGGGUUAGGCAAUCCCUUAACCAAAGUCUCCAAGGUGGCUAAAAAAAAGUAAGUAGUAUGAGUAGCUAUGGGUCACCAAGGAACUACUGUGGAGCAUUGAAAACGAAUUUAAAGACAUGUGCCAAAGGGACAAAAUUGAGGGUCUACAGAUGGUUAGACACAUAGUUGCUCAUGGGAUAUUUGACUUUGGUAAACAAUUCAGAUUCAUAUGUGGGUUUAGGAAUACCUUUAUUAUGACGGUGUGGUAAUCGUUUCAUGAAUGGAUCAGGUUGCAAAUUAAGAACACCCUCAGCAAACAACGAUUGGUUUGGUAUUUCAGUGAAGACAUCUUCGAACCCAAAUUGUUGACCACUCAUAUCCAACUCACCCGCUUCCUGGUUCACUAGUUCAGAUUGUCCAAAUUCAUCAUUCUCAUAGAUAUGAUAAUCAUAAUCGAGAGUCUGAAUUUCCUUAUGGUACUCCCCCUGAAGUUCAGACUUAGAUGAAAAAUACAUCGAAUAUUCAUGAAACAGCNNNNNNNNNNNNNNNNNNNNNNNNNNNNNNNNNNNNNNNNNNNNNNNNNNNNNNNNNNNNNNNNNNNNNNNNNNNNNNNNNNNNNNNNNNNNNNNNNNNNNNNNNNNNNNNNNNNNNNNNNNNNNNNNNNNNNNNNNNNNNNNNNNNNNNNNNNNNNNNNNNNNNNNNNNNNNNNNNNNNNNNNNNNNNNNNNNNNNNNNNNNNNNNNNNNNNNNNNNNNNNNNNNNNNNNNNNNNNNNNNNNNNNNNNNNNNNNNNNNNNNNNNNNNNNNNNNNNNNNNNNNNNNNNNNNNNNNNNNNNNNNNNNNNNNNNNNNNNNNNNNNNNNNNNNNNNNNNNNNNNNNNNNNNNNNNNNNNNNNNNNNNNNNNNNNNNNNNNNNNNNNNNNNNNNNNNNNNNNNNNNNNNNNNNNNNNNNNNNNNNNNNNNNNNNNNNNNNNNNNNNNNNNNNNNNNNNNNNNNNNNNNNNNNNNNNNNNNNNNNNNNNNNNNNNNNNNNNNNNNNNNNNNNNNNNNNNNNNNNNNNNNNNNNNNNNNNNNNNNNNNNNNNNNNNNNNNNNNNNNNNNNNNNNNNNNNNNNNNNNNNNNNNNNNNNNNNNNNNNNNNNNNNNNNNNNNNNNNNNNNNNNNNNNNNNNNNNNNNNNNNNNNNNNNNNNNNNNNNNNNNNNNNNNNNNNNNNNNNNNNNNNNNNNNNNNNNNNNNNNNNNNNNNNNNNNNNNNNNNNNNNNNNNNNNNNNNNNNNNNNNNNNNNNNNNNNNNNNNNNNNNNNNNNNNNNNNNNNNNNNNNNNNNNNNNNNNNNNNNNNNNNNNNNNNNNNNNNNNNNNNNNNNNNNNNNNNNNNNNNNNNNNNNNNNNNNNNNNNNNNNNNNNNNNNNNNNNNNNNNNNNNNNNNNNNNNNNNNNNNNNNNNNNNNNNNNNNNNNNNNNNNNNNNNNNNNNNNNNNNNNNNNNNNNNNNNNNNNNNNNNNNNNNNNNNNNNNNNNNNNNNNNNNNNNNNNNNNNNNNNNNNNNNNNNNNNNNNNNNNNNNNNNNNNNNNNNNNNNNNNNNNNNNNNNNNNNNNNNNNNNNNNNNNNNNNNNNNNNNNNNNNNNNNNNNNNNNNNNNNNNNNNNNNNNNNNNNNNNNNNNNNNNNNNNNNNNNNNNNNNNNNNNNNNNNNNNNNNNNNNNNNNNNNNNNNNNNNNNNNNNNNNNNNNNNNNNNNNNNNNNNNNNNNNNNNNNNNNNNNNNNNNNNNNNNNNNNNNNNNNNNNNNNNNNNNNNNNNNNNNNNNNNNNNNNNNNNNNNNNNNNNNNNNNNNNNNNNNNNNNNNNNNNNNNNNNNNNNNNNNNNNNNNNNNNNNNNNNNNNNNNNNNNNNNNNNNNNNNNNNNNNNNNNNNNNNNNNNNNNNNNNNNNNNNNNNNNNNNNNNNNNNNNNNNNNNNNNNNNNNNNNNNNNNNNNNNNNNNNNNNNNNNNNNNNNNNNNNNNNNNNNNNNNNNNNNNNNNNNNNNNNNNNNNNNNNNNNNNNNNNNNNNNNNNNNNNNNNAACCAAAGGAAGCAUGUUCCAGACGUCGAUGCCACAACCAAAUUUCAGACUUUUUCUUCUCCUCCUUAGAUCCAUCUGCCAUCAAGGCUUGUUGCAACUUAUUUGAAUCCUUUGAUUGCAAGUCCAAGUAUAGAGUUUCCCCCGCUUAAUACGACAACCAAUCGUCUGUCUUGUUUGAAUGUCCUUAAUCACACAAAAUUCAGGCCAAAAAAUGACAAUACAAGAUAAGGCUGCAGUGAUUUGAGAAACUAACAAAAGAUUGUAAUCUAAAGAUGGAACAACUAAAACAGAAUCCAAAUUCAAAGUAUCAGUAAGAGUUAAGGAUCCUUCCCCAAUGACUGGGGUUGUGUUACCAUUGGCUGUGGAAACAAUUUUUUGUGAGGAAGGUCUAAGGGGUGAAACCUGUCUAGAAUCAAAAGUCAUAUGAUCUGUAGCACCAGAAUCAAUUAUCCAUGCACUAUUAAUAACAGGUGUAAAAGUAUUUAAAAACUUACCACAAUGAUCUGUAGCGGCUACUAAUGCAGAGACUUUCUCAACAACAUUAGUCUUUGUUUUUAUUUCGGUAACAGUUGCAAUCAAGGUUUUCUUGGAAUUCUUCUUCCGUUGAUCACGAUUAUUAUCAUUAAUAACAAAGUGUUGAUAGCCUAAACAUGAUCUAAAGGUCCAUGGUGCAAACCCUCGGUUCCUCAUUGUUUUCCUGGUCAUACCAAGAGUUGUUGCUUUGAAAUUGUGGGAUAUCCAGACUGGUGGGAUCAGUUUUAUUGCAGUGAGUGCAUUUGAAUGUUGACUUAUCAAUAUUAGGGCUUGUCUUCGGAUGGUUGAUUGCUGUUGGACUACCAUAGCGACAAAAUAUCCAGGAUUUCAAUUCCAGGGCUCUGAUACCAUCUUCAAAUUGAUGAAUGAUAGUUUUUCAUUCAUUCUUUCAUGUACAGAGUAUAUAUAGAGGGUAAUCACCAUUCUAAGAAUGGGAAAGAAUGAUACGAGGAAAUAAUGAUAUAAGGAAAUAAUAACUAAUAUCCUAAUAUCUCAACUUUCCUAAUAUCUCAAUAUUCCUAAUAUCUCAACUUUCCUAAUAUCUAAACAUUCAUAAUAUCUCAACACUAAAUGAUACAAGGAAAGAAUGAUAUAAGGAAAACAUUCCUAAUAUCUCAACACCACUUCAUGAUAUAUAUAGUUUCUUACCCUUAAUCAAUGGUUUCUAAGUGAAUUUAUAUAGAAAGAAAUCCAAACUGUAGACAGCAGUAUUGGUAACACUCAAUAUUCUGUAUAUAAUAGAAUAAAUAGCGUCACAGUGAUCGUCGCCUACAAGCAAGGUACAAAUACCACAAAGAGUGACCCACAUAGACAUUCCCCAACAAGAUGUAGUAGUGACUGACACAUAGCCACAAUUAACACGUAGAAAAGGAUAAGACCGGUGCACAGUAGCUCUUAUUUUACAUACUACUUAUGCCAACCAAAGUCACUCAGUUGGGAUGGGAGGGAGAUGGAGGUUUGUGCGGUGGCUUGUGGGGCGGAGUUGAUGGCUUCUUUCCAGGAGCUUCUGGCUUUUUCAUCGGAGCUGAAGGAGGCUCAAUCUUAUGAGGCGGCUUGUACGAGUCUUCUUUGCUCUCGAAAGGAGGGUGGCCAGGGUUGUGACCAUAAUGUGGUGGUUUCUCUCCCUUGGGAGGUUUACCAAUUGGGGUUGGUGGCUUGUGUUCUGGGAGUGGUUUCUCUCCCUUGGGAGGUUUAGUGGGUGACUUGUGUUCUGGAGGUGGCUUCUCCACCGAAGGCUUGUGCUCCGGUGGUGGCUUUUUGGUUGGAGGGGGCUUGGGGUAAUCAGCAAGAGAUGGGGUGGUGAGAACCACCAGUCCAAGGAACAACACUAGCAAGUAUGUGGGAGACAUUUUUGAGUUUGGGCUGAUCAGAUGAUGCAAAACUAAAGCAUUACGUGACCUUUUAUAGCAAGUAGCUCCCAAUACCUACUUGACACGUGUUACUGUGACCCAUAAAUAUUAUGGGGUCUAUUUGUGCCCUACCGGGUUGAAAACUUGGACAAUUGGGCAAGGACCCGCCUGACUAUGGAGGACUACUGAGGUGUGAUCACAGCUUUAGGAUUUUUCUUCCUCUGCAGCCGUCUUGCCGUUGGCAUGAUUUUCUUAAUCUCAAAUAAAGGCAUAGUUAUAGAGUUGUUUAAUCUCUAAAUGGGAUUUUAUAUAUCUUCAGAUAGCCAUUAAUACAUUUGAUGAAGAAAGAAAGACAAGUGCAUACAACAUGUAUACGACUAGCUUUCAUGGAGUUCAUUUAUGAUCAGUUUUCCUGUACAUGUAAACCAAGAUCAUAUAUGUUUUUGUUCCACAACAAUUUUGGAAUCUUGUUUAUCCGUUUUUAUCAUUAUAAUGUCACAUAGGCUGCCAACUUGGGCGCUAAAUUAAAGAUCCAGUUGGGCAAGUUCGUUUCAGAAUUUCAAUGGUGGAUUCAGGAAUUGUUUUAUAAGAUAUGCAAAAUAGUAGAGGGAUGAAUAGUGUUUCAUUAAGAAAAGAGCCCUGUAAAAAUAUUGUUUAAAGGUGCCAUAGAAACUAUAAUCAAUAAAUAACUUUUUUUCCCCAUGGGUGGUGUUUCUUGUGGGGAUCAGUGACUGGUUUGAGUCAACGCCGUGUCUCUUUAGUCCAGAAAUCAACUAUUUUAUGCAUUGAAUACAUCAACAAAGAAAAUAUGAAAGCCAAAUGACACCUCCCCCGCAAAAACUAAACCCUGGUUGCUAACUUUCUAUGUUUCAGUUCCAUUCACACAAGAAUAUUAGUUCAAGUUUGAGAAAAAUGGCGACUUACCUAGUGAUAACUCGGUCUUGGUUUGCGAUUUGACUUUAACGUCAUGGGUUGAAGCCUCCUACAAUCAUCGUGUAUGCUAGUUCAAAGCUCGUGGAAGAAGUUAUACAGGGAGGGAGAAACCUCCACAGCAAGCUCCAAAAGAGAAUUAUCACAUUGAAAGCUCCAGUUGAACACUGGGUGAAAGCCAUAACAAGAUUGGUUUUCUAUCGCUCUUUUAAGUAAUGGAAGAUUAUUAUCUCUGCUUGUCACUACAACCGUGCAUGCUGCUAGAUCUUUCUAGACACUUCAAACAGUGAAACCAAGUAUGAUUCUUUUUCUCUUGAGUGGGUCCACUUGCAUGCCAAUGAACGAGUUGAAAAGUUGGACAAUUGGCCACAGCGCGCACUUACCUUCUGGAACCGAAGGUCAGUGAAGUGGGGUUCCUUUUGGCCCCUUGUGUUUCUGUUCCAACCUACUCCAGGAACCGAAGUUCAGUGAAGUGGGGCUACUUUUGGCCUCUUGUGUUUCUGUUCCAACCAAACAAAAAUGGGAGGGAAAAAUAGCAUUAUGCUUGUGCUAAAGAUCAACGCAUGAUAGCUGAAUAAGGGAGAAAAAGGCAUUGCUAUCUCAAUUUCAUAAACUUGAUAAGUAGUGACAUUAAUAGUCUUCCUCAUAGAUGGAUACAUGGUUUUAUUUUAUUUAUUUAUUUUUAUUUUUUUGUUUUAUGUCAAUGCUAAUGAAUGAAGUGCAUUAGCUUGUUUUGUGACUAGAACUACAAAUGUCCAAAUUGGAGCUUCUCCAAUAUAUUUCUCAGUGAGUUAUUGAUUAGAACUCUUGGAUUGAGUUCCAAGAUUUGAAUCAGACCCCUCUAGCAGCUUCAGGGGUACGUAGCAACCUAUAGCAUAUUAAUGAAGACUUAGGAUUUAGACUUAGGAAUACAAAUUAAUAUGUACCUCAUGCUCUGACUAGCUUCCCUGCGUAUGCACAAAAUGGAGAUGACUCCCAAAAAAAUAGCAGAAUCGCCUUAGUAUGUUUUUGUGGUUAAGAUGAUUCUCCACUUUAUAUAUCCACAUUGGUUCAUUAUGCAAAUUAAUCAACUAAGCUAUUUUUAUUUUUUCUUAAAUGUGAAAUAGGAGCUCCAAAUUAACCUAACCAUUGGCCUGAUUGAAUUGAUUUCACUUGCAUAAUGUUAUAGUAGAAGUCCGUAAUUUGAAUUUUAUUUUUGCAAAAGGUAACGUAAAUGAAGCAUUGUAAUUAAAUUUAUUUGUAAUUACAAACUAAUUUUAUUUUAUUAAGAAUUAAUUUAAUUACUCAUUUAAAAUAAAAAUCAGUUAUACUUUUACCAAGAUGAUAAUAUUCAUAUUUUUCUAGUUAACAUAUAUAAAAUAGUACACUUUUUCAUAUAAAAAAAUAAUUUAUGAUUUAUUAUAAUGUUACUAUUCACAUUUUACUAAAUUGAUGGUACAUGAUAGUGAGAGAAGGGGGUGUCACACUCAGCUAAAGUUCUUUUCAAAAUAUUGCAUGGUGUUUAAUUUUAUGUGUCGGCGCGCGUGUGAAUGGAACCUGCAAAAGUCCAAAUUGGCGUUUCUCCAUUUUCCACAUAGGAUGGUGACGUUAAUAGACAAAGAUACAAUAUCUGUAGACAUUGCUUAAAAAUCGAUGUGAAGUAUUAGAAAUUACAGGGCACUGUACUGGGGGAGCGGCUGCCCCGCCAAAGGAGGAAGAAUGUAGCAAUUUCUUCUGUUAGCCAGGCCUUAGGAUUUAUGCAUGGGAUGCCUAAUAACAAACAGAGAAAAUAUACUUUUGGGGAAGGUAUCCAACAACAGACACCAUCAUUCAGAUGGUGGGAAGGUAUCCAACAGAUGCCAUCAUUCAGAUGGUAACAUAUAUAUACAUUUAUUAGUGAGUUUUUUUAAUACCUAUAAAAAAAAAUAUACACUUUGAUAUUGUGGCUGAAUCCAUUACAUACUCAACUAACCUUGCUCAUUAGGGAUUUGACUUAACAAGGGCAACGUUGCAGUACAAGCUCAAAACUUUAUGCAGGUGACAUUACAUUUGGUAAAGAAGAGGAAAAUAACGAAAGCCAUCCAUAAAAGCAAAAUUCCACAUGGGAUGAAAUUCACAAGCUUCAUUUACGAUAGAGUCGCAUCCAGGCAAUUAAUUCCACAUUAGACCGCCUGUUGACAUGUGUACCAAUCUUUUUUCAAAAAAUAUUUAUAAAUAAUUGAUACUCACAAAAAUAAUUUAAUAUUUAUAAAGGAUAAAAAAAUAUUUUCAAAUCUAUAACAAUUUAUAAAAUAUUAAUAAAAAAUUAUCUCUUAAACUUAGUAUAGUUUUAUCAGAUUAAACUUUUAUUUUGAACAAAUAAUUUUAAUCUAAGUUUUAAAUUCUAAAAUUAUUUCCUUAAAAUAAAAUUUUAAAAUUCAACACUUCAAUUGAAAUUGUCUUUUUAAAAAAUAUCUUCUUAUUUUAAUCCUUAUAAACUAUAGUUGAUUGAAAAUACUAUUGAAGUUCUCUCUUAAAAAAAAGUCUUAUUUUAAUCUUCAUAAAUUGCCCUUGAUUUGAAAAUAAAUUUUCAGUUAUCAUAUUUUAAAUAAUAUCUAUAUUUAAAAUACUCUAUUUAAAAAAAAAUGAACUAAUUUUAAUUAUAUUAUAUUUUAUUUUUUUAUAUAUUUUUAAUGAUAAACCAAACAUAGAAAAUCAUUUUUCUAAAUAUUUUAAAAUUUCUAAGCAACCAAACAUAAUCUUCAAAAUAAAAGGAAAAUAAGGAGGGACAUUUGAGAAAUGGCGAUUAAAAAAAAGUGUACAAAAGCUCAAUUAAUUUUCUUCUAGUCUUUUAUAUAAAAAAGUAAAGGAAUUGAAAAGUAUUGAUAUGUAAAUUAAUAUUUGGAUUUUAAUAGUAUUUUAUUUGUCUUUCUCUAUCUCAUGUAAAAGAGAAUUUAAGAUAUUUCCUAAAGCAAAGCAUUAGUUAUCUGCAAUCAGUGGUGAUCAUGCCCCAUGUCAAUUUCGGACCCAUAUCUUAAAACUGUAUAAUUUGCAUUCAAACAUUACUGAUUUCUCAGAUGUUUCAUACUCCACAGAAGAGCAUUGUUUGUGAAAGCAUGCAUUUAUGUUGGAUUUUGGAUGAUGUGGGAACUGGGGCAAGGAUCAUAUGGAAGAGUGGUCGAUUUUGUUCUGUACUUUAACAUUUGAAAUAGGAGAAGCUCGGGCAUUUGUGGGGCUUAAUUGAUUUUGAAGCCUGAAAUUGCGUUUCUGUCAUUUUGUAAAAAAUAUGGCAGAUUCCAUGCUCUCAUAUGUUUGGUCUGUGGCCAUGUAUAGAUGCCCCUUAGUGACCAGUUUGUAACUGUCAAUCAUAGUGUUUUGACUCUGGCUCAACAACAUCAGCCAUUGACGGAUUUUCAUACUUGCAAAUCAAAUAGUCUUCUUCCUCCCUUAGGAAUUUCGGUUUAAAUGUUAUUAAGCAUACAUUUGGCUGACAAUUAUUAACCACUUCAUGAUAUGGUUUCUUACCCUUAAUCAAUGGUUUCUAAGUGAAUAUAUGCAGAAGGAAAUCUGAACUGUAGACAGCAGUAUUGAUAACUCUCAAUAUUCUUUAUAUAAGAGAAUAAACAACGUCAUAGUGAUCGUCGCCUACAAGAAAGGUACAUUUCCCAACAAGAUGUAGUUGUGACUGGUACAUGGACGCAAUUAACUCGUACAAAAGAAUAAGACCAGUGCACGGCAGCUCUUAUUUUACAUGCUAAUUAUGCUAACCAAAGUCACUCAGUUGGGAUGGGAGGGAGAUGGAGGUUUGUGCGGUGGCUUGUGGGGCGGAGUUGGUGGCUUCUUUUCAGGAGCUUGUGGCUUUUUCGGAGCUGAAGGAGGCUCAAUCUUAUGAGGCGGCUUGUACGAGUCUUCUUUACUCUCGACAGGAGGGUGGCCAGGGUUGUGACCAUAAUGUGGUGGCUUCUCUCCCUUAGGUGGCUUGCCAACUGGGGUUGGUGGCUUGUGUUCAGGAAGUGGUUUCUCUCCCUUGGGAGGUUUACCAAUUGGGGUUGGUGGCUUGUGUUCUGGGAGUGGUUUCUCUCCCUUGGGAGGUUUAGUGGGUGACUUGUGUUCUGGAGGUGGCUUCUCCACCGGAGGCUUGUGCUCCGGUGGUGGCUUCUCCACCGGAGGCUUGUGCUCCGGUGGUGGCUUCUUGAUUGGAGGGGGCUUGGGGUAAUCAGCAAGAGAUGGGAUGGUGAGAACCACCACUCCAAGGAACAACACUAGCAAGUAUGUGGGAGACAUUUCUGAGUUUGAGCUGAUCAGAUGAUGCAAAACUAGAAGAAUUACGGGACCUUUUAUAGCAAGUAUCUCCCAAUACCCACAUGACACGUGUUACUAUGACCAUAAAUAUUAUAGGGUCCAUUUGUGCCCUACCGGGUUGAAAACUUGGACGCUUGGCCGAGGACACACCUGACUAUGGAGGACUAUUGACGUGUGAUCACAGCUUUUGGAUUUUUCUUCCUGUGCAGCUGUCUAGCGGUUGGCAUUAUUUUCUUAAUCUUAAAUAAAGGCAUAGUUAUAGAGUUGUUUAAUCUCUAAAUGGGAUUUUAUAUAUCUUCAGAUAGCCAUUAAUAUAUUUGAUGAAGAAAGACAAGUGCAUACAACAUGUAUACGGCUUGCUUCAAUCGAGUACAUUUAUGAUCAGUUUUCCUGUGCAAGUAAACCAGUUUUUUGUUCCACAACUAUUUUGGAAUCUUGUUUAUCAGUUUCUAUCAUUAUAAUGUCACAUAGGCUGCAAACUUGGGCACCCAAAGAUCUAGGUGGGCAAAUUUGUUUCAGACUUUCAAUGGUGGAUUCAGUAAUUGUUAAAAGGUGUUUCUUCAUUAAGGAAAGAGUCCGGUAAAAAUAUUGUUAAAAGGUGUCAUAGAAACUAUAAUAAAUAAAUAACUUCUUUUCCCCAUGGGUGGUGUUUCUUCUGGGGAUCAGUGACUGGUUAGGGUCACCCAAAAUGAGUCCAGAUUAAAAUUGGUUCGAGUCAAAGCAGUCUCUUUUGUCCAGAAAUCAACUAUUUUGCGCAUUGAAUGAAUCGAUAAAGAAAAAAUGAAAGCCAAAUCACACCUCCCCUGCAAAACCUAAACCCCGGUUGCUAACUUUCUAUGUUUCAGUCCUAUUCAUAUAGGAAUAUUGGUUCAAGUUUGAGAAAAAUGGCAACUUACCUAGGGUUUACUUGGUUUUGGUUUGCGACUAUUUACGCAACCAACCAUGAGUUUGACUUUAACGUCAUGGGUUGAAGCCUCCUACAAUCAUGUAUGAUAGUUCAAAGCUCGUGGAAGAAAUUAUACAGGAAGGAAGAAACCUCCAAAGCUAGCUCCAAAAGAGAAUUAUCACAUCGAUAGCUCCAGAGAUUCCCAAGGGAACUGAAUCAAAGACAAGUUCCUCACUUUUUCUUCUUUUGAGGCCAAAUAUGAACCAAGGAUCACACGACCUCAUUCAACUUCAUAAGUUUGAUUUCAUGCAGUUGAACACUGGGUGAAGGCCAUGACAAGAAUUGAUUAAAAAAUUCUACCACUCUUUUAAGUAAUGGAAGAUUAUUAUCUCUGAUUGGCACCACAACAGCACAUGCUGCUAGAUCUUUCUAGACACUCCAUGCAAUGAAAGCACAAUGGAUCUUGUAAUGAUAGAAACUAAGCCAUGCUACAGUACUAGAUGAGGGGGUAAAACUAGUAGACAUCUUUCUAGACACUCCAUGCAAUGAAAGCACAAUGGAUCUUGUAAUGAUAGAAACUAAGCCAUGCUACAGUACUAGAUGAGGUGGUAAAACUAGUAGACAUGGCUGGCAGUUGAUUACUACUCAAAAAGUACUCUUUUAUAGCUUGAAACUAACUGUUUUAAACACUUUUGAGUAGUAGUUAAUACCUUUUAACUUAAUUGGCACAUUAAGGAACCUAGCAAGGGUUACUAAUCAACAUUUGGCAAGUUUUGAUGUUUUUGGUAGCUAUUUGAUCAUUGAAACAAGCCAAGAAUGAGGGGGAAUUUUGUGAAGUCCAUGGCAAUGCAAGUUAAAGCUCAAAUACAUGAAGAAUCCAAGCUUUGGAGCACUUCAUAGCCCUUUGCCAAGCCAAUCAAAGAUGCAAGGAAGAAAACCAAAGGAAGAAAUCCAACAAUCAGCAUUUUGGCAUGGCUAUGUGAAAUUUCGCACACCAUGCGAAACCACAAGAGGCAGCCAAAGAAUUUCGCAUGGUAUGCGAAAUCUUCUUGUGCACUGACUCUGUUAGAUUUUUAUCUUCAGAUAUUUUGUGUAAUUUCCUAGUUUCUCCUUGUAACCAACUUAGAUAUUUUCUUUUAUAUCUUUUUUUAUAUUUUUUAGGUAACAUCAUAUAUAAGAGGAGAGACAUAAGGAGGAUAUGGAUGUUUUUCAUAGAACACUUGUAAAUUUUUGGUAGUAAGAAAUAUACAAAGCUUUUUGCUCUGCCUUACCUUCUCAAGGGAUGAGUGGCUAGGUUUUCUUGGAGUGAGGGAAGCUAGGUGAAGGACCUGAAUGCAAAGGUGGGAGUUUUCCUUACUUUAAAUGAAAGUAGUUGUUAAACAUUAAUGGUUUUUAUUUUAAGGUUUAGCUUUAAAUCCCUGAAAAACACCUUGAAUGGCCAAUACUUGGUAAGCUUUUUAGAUUCUAUGGAUGCUUAUUGCUAGAUCCAUGGAUGUCUAUUAGUUAUCAUUUACGAGCCAUUGGAAGGUGAUUCAAGGUGAGGGUCUUUAGUGUUUGAAGCCAUUAAUGGGAAGCAAUUACCAUUUUUUCAUGAAUCCUUUGGAUCAAAUCUUAAUUGCUAAAUAUAAAACCGGUUUCGAGAGAUAACCACCAUCCUUUAUGUUAUUAUCCCCAACGCGAGGAGAAGAUCCGAAAUCUUCCUUUUUAUCUAAGGAACCCGAUCCUAGUGACCUAAAGCUCCAAGAUACCUUUUCUUUGUAGUUAACUUCAUUUAUUGUUUUUGCUUAACUUAAAAUCAAUCUUUGCAACCACAAUUCCAUUUUCUUUAAAAGCUAAUUUUUAUAAGGAAAAACACCAUUUUAUUUCCUUCACUAAGUCAACUGUACGAUGAAAACCCAUCCCUGUGGACGAUCCUAGAGCCACUAUACUAUGUUAGCUAUGCUACCCUAGUGUGAGGUGAUUUAGGUUUUAUAAAUUUUUUUGAUAACACCCAUCUGAGCCAGAAUCAAAUGGCACGACUGAACCAGGGACGAAUCAAAUGACGCCGCUACCAAGGAUGGUGCCAAAGUACAUUGACAUGACUUUUGGUGAACACUUGUGAUCUUCACCACAAGUUUGGUGAUUUUUCUUUUACUAAUUUUUUUUAUUUUAGCUUAUCUUUUAUUUAGUUUUUAGUUAACCUUAAAUUUUUCCUAGAAUUGUAUUUCUUUUGUUUUCUUUGUUUUUGUUUCAGUGAUCUUUAGUUGUGCAUGCCCUAUUGGAUAAGAGAUAUUGAGGGAAUACUUGUGAAGAUUGAAACUCCUCGAGAAACUGAGUUAGAAGUGUGCUUGAACAUCAUGGAUGUUCCACCUGAAGACCAGAAUAGCCAACAUGGUUAAGAGGAUAAUUUCAACACAUACCGAUCCAUGAGGAACCGCAUACAUCCACCUUGUAUGAGUGCACCGUCAGGCAUAAUGCCUCCCACUGAGCAGCUAGUAAUCUGACCUCACAUUGUGCCACUCCUACCUACUUUCCAUGGGAUGGAGAGUGAGAAUCCCUACUCGCAUAUUAAGGAAUUCGAGGAGGUUUGUAAUACAUUCCAAGAAGGAGGAGCUUCAAUUGACUUGAUGAGGCUCAAGCUAUUUCCUUUCACUUUGAAGGAUAAGGCCAAGAUUUGGCUUAAUUCUUUAAGGCCAAGAAGUAUCCAAACUUGGAUUGAUUUGUAAGCCGAGUUUCUUAAGAAGUUCUUCCCUACCCAUAGGACCAAUGGUUUGAAAAGGCAAAAUUUGAACUUCUCAGUUAAAGAGAAUGAGAAAUUCUAUGAGUGUUGGGAGAGCUACAUGGAAGCUAUUAACGUUUGUCCUCACCAUGGCUUUGACACAUGGCUCUUAGUGAGCUAUUUUUACAAUGGUAUGUCUUCUUCAAUGAAGCAACUCCUAGAAACUAUGUGUGGAGGAGACUUCAUGAGUAAGAAUCCGGAGGAAGCCAUGGACUUUUUGAGUUAUGUGGCUGAAGUUUCAAGAGGAUGGGAUGAACCAAAUGCUAGAGAGGUGGGAAGAAUGAAGUCUCAACCUAAUGCUAAGGGUGAGAUGUAUGUUUUGAAUGAAGACAUUGACAUGAAAGCAAAGGUUGCAGCUAUGGCAAGGAGAUUGGAAGAGCUAGAAAUGAAGAACAUACAAAAAGUGCAAGCCAUUUCUGAGACAUCAAUGAAAGCUAUGCCUUGUUCCAUUUGUCAAUCUUAUAAGCACCUAGUGGAGGAGUGUCCUACAAUUCCAGCAGUGAGAGAGAUGUUUGGUGAUCAAGCAAAUGUUAUUGAUCAAUUCAAGCCUAAUAACAAUGCUUCAUAUGGCAACACCUACAAUUCAAAUUGGAGGAACCAUUCAAAUUUCUCUUGGAAACGAAAGCCACCUCAAUACACACAACCUACUCAAGCACCUUAGCAAUCCUCGAAUCUUGAACAAGCUAUUGUGAACCUUAGCAAGGUUGUGGGAGACUUUGUGGGAGAUCAGAAGUCCAUCAAUGCUCAACUGAAUCGGAGAAUUGACAGUGUGGAGAGUACAUUGAACAAAAGGAUGGAUGAGAUGUAAAAUGAUCUGUCUCAAAAGAUAGACAAUGUCCAAUACGUAAUCUCAAGGCUUACCAACCUCAACACAGUGUAAGAGAAAGGAAAGUUUCCUUCUCAACCUCAUCAAAAUCCUAAGGGUAUCCAUGAAGUAGAGGCUCAAGAGGGAGAAUCUUCAAAGGUGAGGGAAGUCAAAGUAGUUAUCACCUUGAAGAGUGGUAAAGAGGUUGAUCAACCCACAUCCAAGCCAAAGCAUAAUGAAGAGAGUGUAGCAGAAAAAGAAAAGAGAGGAAAAUAAAGGAAUUAGAAUAGAGAAAAAUACAAAGAAAGAUGACCAUGAGUCUAGUGUGGAUGAAGAGCCCGAGAGGAUGGUGAUCAAGGAAGAUAUGAUGAAGAAACACAUGCCUCCACCUUUCCCCUAAGCUUUGCAUGACAAAAAAAGAACCAAUAAUACAUCAGAAAAUUUUGAAGUAUUGAGGCAAGUGAAGGUCAAUAUCCCUUUGCUAGACAUGAUCAAACAAGUGUCGACAUAUGAAAAAUUCUUGAAGGACUUGUGCACUGUAAAGAGAGGGUUGAAUGUGAACAAGAAAGCUUUAUUGACCGAGCAAGUGAGUUCCAUCAUACAGUGCAAGUCCUAGUGAAGUACAAAGAUCCGGGUUGCCGUACCAUCUCAGUGAGUAUUGGAAGGACUUGUGUGGAGAAAGCUUUGUUGGACUUGGGAGCAAGUGUGAAUUUGCUAUCCUACUCUGUCUAUAAGCAGUUGGGAUUUGGAGAGUUGAAGCCAAUAUCCAUCACUCUAUCUCUAGCGGAUAGAUCAAUGAAGAUUCCAAGAGGGAUGAUCGAAGAUGUCCUGGUUCAAGUUAACAAAUUCUACUAUCCAGUAGAUUUUGUUGUUCUUGAUAUGGAUCCGGUUGUCAAAUGAACUAAUUAUGUUCCUAUCAUACUUGGAAGACCCUUCCUAGCUACAUCAAAUGCAAUCAUCAAUUGUAGGAAUGGAGUCAUGCAACUCACAUUUGUCAACAUGACAUUAGAGCUCAACAUCUUCCAUUUGUACAAGAAGCAUAUCCAUCAGGAGGAAAAAGAAGGUCUAGAGGAAGUGUGAAUGAUUGACACUUUAGUGGAAGAGCAUUGUGAUCGAGAAUGCAAAAAGAUUUAGUUGAGAAUUUUGGGGAUCUUGAUGAAAGGUUACUUGAACCCUCAGAUUUGCUUGCUACCCUACUCCAUUGGAAGAGAAGAGAAGAAAUUCUACCCUUAUUCAAUGAGGAGGAGACGCAAAGAGCUGCAAAGGAGAAACCCCCAAAACUUAUUCUUAAGCCACUACCCACAGAGUUGAAGUAUGUAUACUUGGAAGAAGACAAGAAGUGCCCUAUUGUUAUAUCUUCAACUCUUACCAUUCAUCAGGAGGAUUGUCUACUUGAAGUCCUUAGAAGAUGUAAGAAGACAAUAAGGUGGCUAAUUUCUUAUUUGAAAGGGAUCAGCCCUUUAGUCUGCACCCAUCAUAUUUACAUGGAGGAUGAAGCUAAGCUAAUUCAUCAACCUCAGAGAAGGUUGAACCCUCACAUGCAAGAGGUGGUUCGAGCUGAAGUUCUGAAGCUACUUCAGACCAGUAUUAUUUACCCCAUAUCAAAUAGCCCAUGGGUGAGUCCUACUCAAGUUGCGCCAAAGAAGUCUGGGAUCAUGGUGGUGCAAAAUGAUAAGGGAGAAGAUGUCUCUACACGCCUCACUACAGGUUGGAGGGUGUGUAUCAAUUACAGGAGGUUGAAUGCAGUGAUAAGAAAGGACCAUUUCUCAUUGCCCUUUAUUGAUCAGGUGCUUGAGAGGGUCUCUGGGCUUUUUUUUUUAUUGUUUCUUGGAUGGCUACUCCGGGUACUUUCAGAUAGAAAUUGAUGUUGAAAACCAAGAUAAGACCAUUUUCACAUGCCCAUUUGGAACCUAUGCAUAAAGGAGAAUGCCUUUCGGCUUAUGCAAUGCACCCGCAACUUUCCAAAGAUGCAUGUUAAGCAUUUUCAGUGAUAUGGUGGAGCGUAUUAUGGAAGUCUUUAUGGAUGAUAUCACCAUUUAUGGAAGUGCAUUUGAUGAAUGCUUGGUCAACUUAGAAGCUGUUCUGAACCGAUACAUUGAGAAAGACUUAGUGCUUAACUGGGAGAAGUGCCAUUUCAUGGUACACCAAGGGAUUGUCCUUGGGCACAUUAUCUCCAAGCAAGGCAUUGAAGUUGACAAAGCAAAGGUUGAACUCAUUGUUAAGUUGCCAUCCUCAACAAAUGUCAAAGGAGUAAGGCAAUUCUUUGGCCAUGUCGGGUUCUAUAGGAGGUUUAUCAAGGAUUUCUCUAAGCUUGCAAGGCCUCUUUGUGAAAUAUUGGUGAAUGAUGUUAAAUUCAUAUGGGAUGAUGGAUUUGAAAGGAGUUUUGAAGAAUUGAAGCUAUUUUUGACAACCGUACCAAUAGUGAGGGCUCCCAACUGGCAACUGCCCUUUGAAGUAAUGUGUGAUGUCAAUGAUUUUGCUAUAGGAUUUUUUCUUGGGCAAAGAGAAAAUGGAAAACCUUAUGUGAUCUACUAUGCGAGGAAGGCAUUGAAUGAGGCACAAAGAAACUACACAACCACCGAGAAAGAAUUGUUAGCUGUAGUUUUUGCCUUGGAUAAGUUUCGCGCUUACUUGGUGGGGUCCUUCAUCAUGGUUUUUACUGAUCACUUUGCUUUGAAGUAUCUGUUGACUAAGCAAGAUGCUAAAGCAAGGCUGAUUAGAUGGAUUCUCUUACUUCAAGAGUUCAAUCUCCAUAUCAAAGAUAAGAAAGGAGUGGAGAAUGUGGUAGCAGACCACAUUUCAAGGCUAGCUAUCGCACAUAAUUCCCAUGCUUUGCCCAUUAAUGACGAUUUUCUAGAGGGGUCUCUCAUGUUGGUGGAAGUUGUCCCUUGGUACGCUCACAUUGCUAACUACCUGGUCACGGGAAAAGUUCCAAGUGAGUGGAAAGCACAAGAUAAGAAGCACUUCUUUGCAAAAAUUCAUGCCUACUAUUGGGAAGAGCCAUUUCUAUUCAAGUAUUGUAUGGAUCAGAUAAUAAGGAAGUGCGUUCCUGAAGAAGAGCAACAGGGGAUCCUUAGUCAUUACCAUGAAAAUGCAUGUGGAGGCCACUUUGCUUAUCAAAAGACAGCCAUGAGGGUGUUGCAAUCGGGUUUCUGUUGGCCAUCACUUUUCAAAGAUGCCCACACCAUGUGCAAGAGUUGUGAUCGAUGCCAGAGGCUUGGGAAGUUGACACGCAGGAACAUGAUGCCUUUGAACCCCACUUUAAUAGUUGAUAUUUUUUAUGUUUGGGGCACUAACUUCAUGGGACCUUUCCCUAUGUCUUUUGGCUACUCUUACAUCUUGGUAGGAGUAGAUUAUGUUUCUAAGUGGGUUGAGGCAGUCCCAUGCAAACACAAUGACCAUAGAGUGGUUCUCAAGUUUCUUAAAGAGAAUAUCUUCUCAAGAUUUGGGGUGCCCAAAGCCAUAAUUAGUGAUGGGGGUACUCAUUUUUGCAACAAGCCUUUUGAAACUCUCCUAGCCAAGUAUGGGGUGAAGCAUAAGGUAGCUACACCUUACCACCCUCAAACUCAUGGACAAGUUGAGUUAGCAAACAGGGAGAUUAAAAACAUAUUGAUGAAGGUGGUGAACACAAACAGAAAAGAUUGGUCAGUCAAGCUUCUUAAUUCACUAUGGGCAUAUAGAACAACUUACAAGACCAUUCUCGGGAUGUCUCCUUAUCGCCUAGUUUAUGGCAAAGCAUGCCAUCUCCCUGUGGAAUUGGAAUACAAAGCUUGGUGGGCAAUCAAGAAGCUCAACAUGGAUUUGAGCAGAGCUGGGUUGAAGAGGUUCUUAGACCUUAAUGAGAUGGAGAAAUUGAGAAAUGAUGCCUACAUCAAUUCAAAAAUUGCAAAAGAAAAAUUGAAGAGGUGGCAUGAUCAGUUGAUUUCCCGCAAGGAUUUUCAAAAUGGACAAAGAGUCUUACUUUAUGACUCUAAACUCCACAUCUUUCCGGGCAAGCUGAAAUCAAGGUGGAUAGGUCAUUUUACCAUUCACCAAGUGCAUUCAAAUGGAGUAGUGGAACUACUCAACUCCAACAAUAUCGAGAACUUCAAAGUGAAUGGCCACCGUCUCAAGCCCUUUGUGGAGUCUUUUUCUCACAACAAGGAGAAAUUCAUCCUCCUUGAUCCACAUCAAGCUUAACAAGACCAAUUUUCUUGAUGGACUUAGUCUUUCUAAAGACUAUCGAGUCCAUAACUUUUUGUUUUAUUUUUUAUUUGAGAUUUUUUCGGUAUUGUUACUUGUUUUGUUUUUUAUUUUUCGUUUUAAUUUUAUUUGGUUUGAUUUAACUUAGGUUUUUGAUGAUCAAUUACAGGGGGGAUUUCAAAUAGAGGAAAAACCAAGAUAAUUCGCACACCCUACGAAAAUUUCGCAAGGCAUGCGAAAUUUAUGGCUUAUUUUGCAUGGGGUGAAAAUUUUCGUACAUCUUACGAACCAAUUUCGAACACUUUGCGAAAAUAAACCAACCCUGCGAAAUCAUUUCGAUUACUCUACGAAAUUUUCGUAGAGCAUGCGAAAAAUUUAGCACACCAAACACCAUUUCGCAUACUAUGCAAAAACCUAAGGGGUCUGCGAAACCAUUUCGCACCUCCAAAUCCAUUUCGCACAUUGUGCGAAAACCAAGAGGCGCUGUGCGAAAAUGAAAAGUCGCCCUGUCAUCCCUUUUUAAACCCCUCGAGCCCUAAAAUCUCCAUUUCGCAAGCACCCCUGUCCUUGCGAAUCCCUCAUUUUCCUCUACUACCUUGCAACCUCGUCCCUUUCCAUUUGAUAUUGUGCCCCGCGCACAUCUCAUUUCAGAGACUCGCACUCCGCGCCCCCUCAAAGCAUGGACUCGAGACCCACCUUCCAUUUCCGACGUGGCACGGACCCAAGGAGCCCUUUCUGCCCCUUCACUAAGACACACACCAAGGCAGAAAGCCUCCUUUGCUCAAGUGCCUAGUGAUUCUCCAUCUUAGGCCUCAGAGGCCUCGGAGGCCCCGUGGAUUCCACCUUCCGAGGGUAGAGCAGCCAUUGGUCCUUCCUCUUCUACUCCUUAGCGUAGAUACGAGACGAGGAGACCACCUACUACACAAGGGGCGACUACUUCGAGCCUUGAGAAUUCAGUACGAUGCCUUCCUGCCAAGAGGGUCAAGACUUCAGGUCCAAGUGAGUCAUCCAGAGCUUCAUAGCCUAAGCCUCCUGUAGAUUCCAAGGUUCCUACUGACAUAUCACCGGAGUCUAUUAUCAGAAGCCCGAUGCUCAUAGCACCGCCCAUUGAGGGCAACUCAGAUUAUAGAGCGAGAUCUUUCCACUUGGAGCUAUAUUUUGAUCAGGAGGCCAUACGACAGCAGCCUGAGCUCCGAGACUCUUAUGGCUUACUGCAGAGGUACCAUCUUGAGGAACUUAUGACUCCUCGUGAGUUUUUUUAUCCCAGAGUAGCACUAAACUUUUACCAGUCCAUGACUACUCGUGGCGUCCCGAGUCCUACCACGAUUCACUUCACCAUUGAUAGACGUCAUGGUAUCCUCAAGGCCAGACAUAUUACAGAGGCUCUACAAAUUCCUUUCGAGCUAGAGGAUCCAUCUGUUUUUCGCUAAUGGUCCCCAGUAUCUCAGAGGGACAUGGUCCGUAUUUUAUCUAGGGGAACAUCUACAGAUUCGAUCUUUCUACGGAAGGAGCUUCGACCUGGGAUGCUCCUCUUAGAUGUGGUGCUAUGCUCCAACCUCUUUCCCUUACAACAUUCGGUACAUAGGUGAUGAGCUAUUUUGGACGCUUUAUUCCGUAUAUCAGAGGGCUUCUACUUUGGCCCGCACCACUUGAUCAUGGUCUCCCUCAUCCACUUUGAGGAGAAGGUUCAUAGGAAGAAGCUUCAGAGGGUGGACACCAUUCCAUUACUAUUCCUGAGGUUACUUUGCCAGGUCUUGGAGUACAUGGGCUUUCCUACUGAGCCUCGGCUCGAGCUUUGCCGCCUUUGUCGAGAGUGAUCCACUCUCGACAAAUGGAAUUAGUUGGCGGGCUAUUCUGCACCUCCAGGAGCCCCUCCCAUGGUAGCACCUCCAAUGUCCCCACAGGCAAAGUAGGGCGAGCUCCCGGCAAAGACUGUACCACCAAUGCCCACACUUGAGGCUAUUUCUGCUGCUCUGCCUAUGACUCCUACUGUUCCACCAGUUGGUCCUUUUACAUCCGAGCCUUCCAUCACCAUCUCGGCUUCGGAGUUUCGCGCCCUUGUGCAUACCUUUCAGACACUCACCACCACACAUACUCCUCUCUUCUAGCAAAUGGUUGAGAUGUGUGCCCAUCAGGACCGGAAGACUACUAUACUCUGCCAAAUUCAGCAGCACCUAAGACUUUUGCCUCAACCUCAACCUAACCAUCCCAUAUCAUCAGAGCCUCUAGCUCCAACUGAGGAUACUAUUCCACCUGAGAACACUACCACAGUAGAGGUCCGGUUUCCACCACCUUAAGAGGCCACCACAGCUACAUCAGAGGAUGUGUCAUCUCCACUUGAGGCUCCCACUACUUGAUCAUAGGACAUAUCUUUAUCUUAUUGUAUUUACAUAUUAUAUUACUAGAGAUUUGUCCUUGUUUUGAUACUUUAUAUUCUGGGAUUGGAUGUAUUGCCUGAUGAUAUCUCAAUUGUACUUUCUCAUAUUAAUAUAUAGACAUCAAUUUUUUUUAGUAUACUUAGCAUUUUUCUAUUUCCUCUACUCAUUACUCUUUUGUUUUUUUUUACUCAUGUGGUUUCUCUUAUACAACUCAGACUCCAUUUCACUCAGGAGGUACCACUUCCUCCCUUUAUUUUCAAUUGCUCUUGAAAUAUUGAGUGCAAUGUUGAUCUUGGUUGGGGGGAGAGUUGAGGAAGGAAGUUUUGUUAAUAAUGCUAGGUUAAUUUGUUAAUUUAGUUACUUUCUGCUUAAUUUUAAAAGUUUUCACUCUACUUUCCAUGGUUAUUAAGGAAAAAUUCUCAAAAUGAAAUGGGAGAAAUCGAAUUCUUGCAUUUUUACUUGAAUCUUAGAAUUUGUAUCAUGCUUAUUAAAGUUGAUGAAUUAUUGAAACUCCUAUUGAAUUCAACCUUAUUUUUUCCACUUUAAUCUUACCACACACGGUGCACAUUAGGUUCCAGUUAUAAGAUAAAAAACUAUCUCACCCCCUAAACUUAGAAAAAUUUACACUUGGUACCUUUGACAUCGUUUUAAUAGUGUUGGGACACCUUAUAAAAGGCCAAUGAGCCUUUAAAAAAAAAAAAAAAAAAAAAAAGAGAAAGAACAAAGUAUUGCACUUGCCUUGAAACCUGAGCAAGAUCCGAGGGGUAUACAGUGAAAGUCUUUAAAACCUGGUGCCCUAAGCCUUGAUUGGUUGGGAGUCACCGACCUCAAUGCUCGUUAUAAGGGUGAAUAGGUGGAGUUUAACAUAUUGUAGGUGCUUGGGUAUUGAAUUUCAAUCUCAAAAGUCCGGGAAAAAAUCUAAGGAGUUAGUGGUCAAAAGAUCCUUAAAGCUUGAUGCCCUAAACCUUGAUUGGUUGAGAGUCAUUGAUGGAUCCCCGCUACAUGGACAUUUUAGAAAACAAUACCUUUAGCAUUGCACGCCUACAAUGAAAAAAAAAUGUGAAAUAAAAGAGGUGCGUUCUUAGCCUAUUGGAGGUUGGUCAGUUUGCUAAAGUUUGAGAAAUCUAGGUUGGGGGGAGAGAAUAGUCCGACAUACUAUAAUAAAAAACUAAUAACCUUAACACUUAGAUUUUUGUGGAAGAGUAAGGAUUGGACCUUUAGGGGUGGAAAUUCUUUUGAUGCUUAAAUUUGCAUAAUGCCUACUCUUUAUAAAUUAUGAUUAGGCAAGAGAUUUGAUGACUCUUGUUCAAAGUUGGGUUUUUCCUCUUUGAUGUUCCAUGAGAGAGUAUAAUCCUCAUCAUGCCACUUGAAAUCUUUUUGGAGUGAUUAACAUGAUUUUGUAAAUUAUUUUACUGUCUAUUUUUCUUUAUCUCUCUUUUAUUGCUAAUGGACUAGCAAUAUGUCAGUUGGGGGGAGUGAUUACUACUCAAAAAGUACUCUUUUAUAGCUUGAAACUAACUGUUUUAAACACUUUUGAGUAGGUGUUAAUACAUUUUAACUCAAUUGGCACAUUAAGGAACCUAACAAGGGUUACUAAUAAGUUUUUGGCAAGUUUUGGUGUUUUUGGUAGCUAUUUGAUCAUUGAAACAAGCCAAGAAUGAGGGAGAAUUUUGUGAAGUCCAUAGCAAUGCAAGUUAAAGCUCAAAUACAUGAAGAAUCCAAGCUUUGAAGCACUUCAUAGCCCUUUGCGAAGCCAAUCAGAGAUGCAAGGAAGAAAACCAGAGGAAAAAAUCCAACAACCAGCAUUUUCGCAUGGCUGUGCGAAAUUUUGCACACCAUGCGAAACCACAAGAAGUAGCCAAAGAAUUUUGCACACCAUGCGAAAUUUCGCAUGGUAUACGAAAUCUUCCUAUGCACCAACUCCGUUAUAUUUUUAUCUUCAGAUAUUUUGUGUAAUUUCCUAGUUUCUCCUUGUAACCAACCUAGAUAUUUUCUUUUAUAUCUUUUUUUUAUAUUUUUUAGGUAACAUCAUAUAUAGGGGGAGAGACAUAAGGAGGAUAUGGAUGUUUUUCAUAAAACACUUUUAAUUUUCUGGUAGUAAGAAAUAUACAAAGUUUUUUGCUCUGCCUUACCUUCUCAUUUUGUUUUCACCUAUCUUUCUAGCCAAACAACCUCUGAGAAUGAUUUCUCAGGGGAUGAGUAGUUAGGUUUUACGUUUCUUGGAGUGAGAGAAGCUAGGUGAAAGACCCAAAUGCUAAGGUGGGAGUUGUCCUUGCUUUAAAUGAAAGUAGUUGUUAAAUAUUAAUGGUUUUUAUUUUAAGGUUUAGCUUUAAAUCCCUUAAAAACACCUUGAAUGGCCAAUACUUGGUAAGCUUUUCGGAUUCUAUGGAUGCUUAUUGCUAGAUCCAUGGAUGUCAUUAGUUAUCAUUUAUGAGCCAUUGGAAGGUGGUUCAAGAUGAGAGUCUUUAGUGUUUGAAGCCAUUAAUGGGAAACAAUUACCAUUUUUUCAUGAAUCCUUUGGAUAAAAUCUUAAUUGCUAAAUAUAAAACUGGUUCGGGAGAUAACCAUCCUUUAUGUUAUUAUGCCCAAUGCAAGGAGAAGAUUUCGAAUCUUCUCAUUUGUCUAAGGAACCCGAUCCUAGUGACCUAAAGCUCCUAGAGACCUUUUCUUUGUAGUUAACUUCAUUUAUUGUUUUUGCUUAACUUAAAAUCAAUCUUUGCAACCACAAUUCCAUUUUCUUUAAAAGCUAAUUUUUAUAAGGAAAAGCACCAUUUUAUUUCCUUCACUAAGUCAACUGUAUGAUGAAAACCCAUCCCUGUGGACGAUCUUAGAGCCACUAUACUAUGUUAUCUAUGCUAUCCUAGUGUGAGGUGAUUUAGGUUUUAUAAAUUUUGUUGAUAACACCCGUCUGAGCCAGAAUCAAAUGGAACCACUGAACCAGGGACAAAUCAACAGCCUAUAUGGGAGGGACACAAGUUUAAUUGAUUUGCAUUUCAGCGUUAUAGAUAAGUAUGUUUUGGAAGAUUUGUUCUGGAAAUACUGCACCAAGUACGAUUCUUUUUCUCUUGAGUGAGUCCAUUUGCAUGCCAAUUAACGAGUUGAAAAGUAGGAGCACCUACCUCGUGCUCAUGGAACCGAAUGUCAGUGAAGUGGGGCUCCUUUUAGCCUCUUGUGUUUCUGUUCCAACCAAGGCGGCGUAGGGAAAAACAACAAUAUGUCUGUGCUAAAUAUCAACGCAUGAUAGAUGUUUUUUUUUUUUUUUUUGGUAUGUCAAGGCUAACGAAUGAAAUGCAUUAGCUUGUUUUGUGACUAUAACUGCAAAUGUCCAAAUUGGAGUAUCUCCAUUUCUCACUUCGGAUGGUUAACUUUAUAAACAAGAUAUAGGAAACAUGUGAACAUCUUGAGGAACAAUUCAAAUUAUUCAUUAGAAGUCCUGGGUUAAGUUCCAAGAUUUAAAUCAGACCCUUCUAGCAGCUUCAAGGGUACUUAGCAACCUAUAACAUAUUAAUGAAGAUUUAGGAUUUAGACUCCGGAAUACAAAUAAAUAUGUAUCUCAUGCUUUGACUAGCUUCCCUACAUAUGCAUAAAAUGGAGAUGACCCAAAAAAAAUAGCAGAAUCUAGCUUCCCUACAUAUGCACAAAAUGGAGAUGACCCAAAAAAUAGCAUAAUCGCCUUAGUUUCUGUGGUUAAGGUGAUUCUCCGCUUAAUAUCCACAUUGACUCAUUAUGCAAAAUCAACUGAGCUAAUUUUAUUUAUUUAUUUAAUGUCAAAUAGGAACUCCUAAUUAACUGAUUACUGUCGAAAAGUGCUAUUUUGUAGACCUAAUUAUAAGGGUUUUAAGCACCUUUGAGUAGUAAUCAUAUUCAUUUAACCUAAUUAAUUCAUUAAGCUCCUUAGUAAUUAGUUCUAACCAUUUUUAGUGGCAAGUUUACAUGUUUUUCAUCAGCUUAUGAACCAAUUCAAGCAUGCCAAUUGAUGGAGGAGCUACUUGGGCGAGUUAAGCAAGGAUUUUGGACGUUUACAGGCUUGAAUUUCAAGUGGAAACACGAGCACAAGCAAUGGGAACACCAUUUCGCAAGGGGAGGCAAUUCACCUUGCCAAAUGACCAAUUUCGCAAGGGGAUUUUCCUCAUGGUGCAAAAUUUGGUCAUUUCGCACCAUGAAGAAACCACCUUGCAAAAUUUCGCAAGGUGGAUUUAGGCACCUUGCGAAAUGCCAAAUUUCACAAGGUGGCUUUUCACCUUGCGAAAUUUGGACCUUUCAUCUUCCCCCCUUGCGAAAUGCCUUUGAAAUCCCCUGUUUUGAGACGCUGUUGAUGAUAUUCCACUGCCGGUUCUCCAAGAUAUUUUGCUUGACUUUUAGCUUUAUAAAUACCUAUUUUACCCUUGUAAUCAACCAAUGAAAAGGUUGCUUUUGUAAUAGCUCUUGUAAUUUAGCUUUUUAUUGUCUUUAAAUAGAGGUGAAGAGCCUCAGACACGAUCAUCUUGUAACCUGUAACUUUAUAAGUUAUAAGAGCACUUUUGUUCAUACGCUUCUUUUCUCUUUUCUUUCUCAUUUUCUUAGUAGCCAAACAUCCUUGGAGGAUGAAAUCCCCAAGGAUGAGAGGCUAAAACCUUUUAGUUUCUUGAAGUAAUGGAUGCCAUGUGAAGCUCCCGUGUCAGGAUGGAGAUUUCCAAGCCAUAAAUGUAAGUAGCUGAGCGUCAUAAAUGUUUUCAUUCAAAGUAAAGCUUUUAAUCCCUCUGACUUGCUUUGAAUGGCCAAUACUUGAUAACCUUUUGGUCUCAAUGGAUUCUUAUUGUUAGAUCCACUGACGUUCAUUAGUUAUCUCCUACGAGCCAUUGUAUUGCAAGUCGAGGAGAUGACCUAUACCAAUAAAAGAGCAUUUAUGAGGUUCAACUACCCUUUUUGUAAGUUUUCAAGGACUAAAACUCAGUUGUUAAACUCAUACCGGUUCGAGAAGUAAGCAUCACCUUAGUUGCUUCCCCAACUCGAGGUGAAAAGUCCCAAAAUCUCCAUUUUUACACAGUGAGUUAAGCAUGGCUAUCCAAAGCUUUAAGAAACUUCUUUUUCCAUCUUUUAACCUAUUUUCAUGUUAGUUUAGUUUACAACACCUUCAUCUUUUUAUGUUUUCAUCUUAACCUAAUUUUUAUUAAGAAAAGUUCACUCCAUCCUCCGAACUUCACCAGUUAAAGUAAAAACCCUUCCCAGUGUUCGAUCCUAGAGCCACUAUGCUAUAGUAGCUUUGCUACUUUAGUGUAAGGACCUUAGGUAUAAAUUUUGUUGAUACCCUUACAUGCCAAGCUACCAAGAGUCGGGUUAUCAUUAACCUAACCAUUGGCCUGUGUAAAUUGAUUUCACAUGCACAAUGUUGUAGUAGAAGUCCAUAUUUUGAAUUUUAUUUUUGUAAAGGUAAGGAAAAUGAAGCAUUGUGUAAUUAUAAAAAUAACUUCAUUGGAAUUCACAAGGUUCACCCAAAAUGGAGCUACAUCUGUAUUCUAUCCUACAGUAGACUAUAUAGAUUGUACAAUAGUAAAUUGCAAAUACAAUUAAUAAGUCUUGUGCUUCCUUACUAAUAAUCCUUUGACAUGAACAUUGCAGCACUAAGGUCCUCUUGGGAAGACACCUUGCACCCAUGAGAGCACUAAGAGGAAGCAAGGCAGAGUCAUGGGUGCAAUGUCAUGACUUGUUGUUGCACCAAGAGAGGCUUGGUGAUGCCAUGGUGUUGCAGUAGCAAGAAUGUUGCCUUGGCAGGGACACGAUCUAGGGAUAGAUGCCAAGAAAGGCUUAGCACUCACAUGAGUUGCACAAAGAUGAAUGUAAUAGAGCAUCAGAGAGACGUCUUGGCAAGUAAAUGAAUGGAUCCAAGAGACAACAACAUGAGGAGUUUCAAAUGGAUAAGGAAUGACUCAAAGACAUUUGAAAGCUACAAGUUGGAUUCUAAUUACGAUUGCAAUUUGAGUUUGAGUAGGAGUUUAGAUUUUGAUUGUAAUUGUAGUAUGAGUUGGACUAGGAUUGCUUAUCCUUAGUCAAUAUAGGAGCGGUUCGUGUCACCCUAUGAAAAGAGUUUGAGUAGGGACUAGGAUUGCUUACUCCUAGUCAAAUAUGGAGUAGGUGGUGCCACACCUAUAAAAAAAAGGGACAACAUGAGAGAGAGAGAGAGAGAGAAAGAGAGAGUGAAUUCACUAAAGAUAUUGUGGGAGUUUUGCUUUGUUACGUCUUGUAUUAUUACUUAGAAUAGGAAUAAAAUACAAGUUGGGGCUAGAGCCCCAUAAUUAAUCUCGUGUGCCUUUGUGGUUAUUCUUUAUUUGUCAUCUCGUGUGGAUUGGAUUAGGUUGACUUAGAGGGCUUCUAAGCACCACCUUUGUGGGUUAUUAUUUAUUUUCCAUCUCUUGUGGAUUAGAUUAGGUUGACUUAGAGGGCUUCUGAGCACCACCUUUGUGGGUUAUUAUUUAUUUUCCAUCUAUUGUGGAUUAGAUUAGGUUGACUUAGAGGGCUUUUAAGCACCACAUUUGUGGGUUAUUCUUUAUUUUCCAUAUCGUGUGGGUUGGAUUAGGUUGACAAGGAGAAAAAUUAUGUGGGAAAUUUGUGUUGGGACACUUACCAUAACCAAGUAAAAUCUACCAAGUCCUUUGUAAUAUCUUCAACAAAUAUUUUAGACUAGUUCUUUCAGUUAGUGUAAAGGAGGAAGAAGUGGUAUUGAUUCUAGAAAUAGGGUGUGUGUAUUUGAACUACAAUCCUUAUGAUCCUUAGGUCUCUAAACCUUCGUGAUGGGCUCCCUGACAUUUCAUAGGUUGUGCUACACAUGCGUUUGAAAUUUAGAGUGCGUUUGACAGUGAUUCCGGGAAGUGUUUUUGGCCUUUCUUACACUUGAAAAUUUUUAUUUUUCAAGUAUUAGAAAUGCUACAAACACUUUUGAAAAUUACUGUCAAACACACUCUUAGGAGCGCACAUAUAUAGUAGAAAACUAGAAAUUGUGGUUUUUUUAGGAUUUACUGUAAUGUCAUUAGGAGGGUAGUAAGUUGAAAUUGAGUAUGAACAAAUAUUUCUUUCUUUGGGAUGUUCUUCUAGUAGGUGCUGAUGAAACUGUUCUUUCUACUGCCAAUGUCACAUAUCAGCCAGAAAUUGAAAAUUUCAGUCAAGGUGUCCUCUGUUUUAGUGGUGAGGAAAGCUAGAAAUUUUAAGGUGAAGUUUUGUUAAAAACCUUAAGUAGCUGGGAUAUCAGGCCUGUUUUGCUUGAAAAAAAAAGUUGCAAGAUAACUCAUAUGCCAAACAGGUUCUGAUAUUGUGAAUCUAUCGGCAGACAUCAGUAAUCUCAUCUUCUGAGAUGGAUGUUGGGGGUGCAUGUGGUGGUGGAGGGGCAAGGUUUCAUUUGGUUUAUUUUGUUGAUGGAUAUUGUCUAGCCACCUGCGCCAAGUUUGAGGGGUGGUGGGUUGUGAUGACCCUACAAUUACUAUUAAUUUCUUCAUCUUUUACCGAUUAAAGUGUCCGAACAGUCGAAGUUACCCUUAUGCAUGUCAACUUGAUCACUUACCUCUUCAAUGGAGUUUAUGCUGGUUCAUUUAGGAACUGAUUUUUAUUGUUAUGUAUUAUAUGCUGAUGUUUAGGUCUCUCCAUCAUCACUAUAUACAAAAAUUCUAGGUUGAUACUAUAGGUUGAGAUUUAUUUUUUAAAUAAAAAAUAAUAAAAAUAAAAAUUAUGGUGAUGUUUAGUUGUUUUAUGGAAAAUUUUAACAAGUAAAAGUUAUUUUUGGGCAAGUUUUCAAACAAAAAGAAAAGUAAAAGUUGUUUUGACAAAAACAUAUAGAAAAAAAAAUCAUAGAAAAUAAAUAAUUUCCCCAUAUUCUAACUUUUUUGAAUUUUUCUCAAUGGGCAAAGGAAUAUCAAAUCAAGUUUGAGUAGGAUUUCUUAAUUUUUAAAAUAACUUACAAUUAAAAAAUUUUGGUGUUUUCAUUUUUGGACAAUUUUUUAUUAAGCAAAUGGACUCUGAGUCAUGCAAGAGAUAUGGUUCAUUAACCGGUCGAACAAUUUUUUUAAAUUAAUUUAAAAGUCAAAUACAUAAUCAAUUUCACAAAAUUUAUAAACAAAAAUAGGUUUAGAGAAGAUCUACACAUAAUUUUACUUUUCUAAUUUUAUUUUAUUUUAUUUUUUGUUGGAAAAUAGUCUUCAAAUCAUGUAAGAUUUAAUAGGUUAAAUUUGUUAACAAUAAAUUUUAAAUUAUAAAAUAUAAUCUGGAACUCAAAAAUCAAUUCAAGUAAUGCUAAAAAAAAAUCAAAUUUGGUAUAGAAUGACUUUGUAAAUUUUUUUACAAAACAAAUGAAUUUUAAAUCAAGUGAGAUUUAAUGCAUUAGAUUUUUAUCAAAUAUAGUAAUUUUAAAAAUAAAUUUGGAACUCAACAAUAGACACAAUAAAUACCAAAAAAUAAUGAACCAAAAUUGGUUUGGAAUAACUCCACAACCUUUUUUUUUUUUUUUUGGUGCACACGAAUUUUCUUACUAGGUAUAUUGCUUUCAAAUUGAGAAAGAUUUACCAUUUAGAUUUUUUUUUAAUGAGUUUAAUGGUAUUUUAAAAUAAUUCAAAAUUUAAAAAAUUGACUAAUUAAUAUUAUAAAUUGAUAAACCAAGACUAUUUCAAAAUGCAUUGGGGGCUAAGGGGGUUGAAAAUAGGGACAAUGGGAUGGGUUUGGGACAUGACACUCAUAUCUCAUUUCCAUUCCAAUUACACAGUUAUCUCCCAUCCUUAUCCCAAACUUGUGUUGGAGCAAGUUGAUUUGUUCCCAUCUUUGUUGACGAAAUGACUAAUAACCUCAUCCCCUCCUUAUCUUAGAUGUACAUUUUGUCAAAUUUGAUCAGGUAUGAUUGAUCCAAGCCCUAACCCUAAUUGGUAAUGAGUGAAUACUACACCUAAUUGCAUUCUUCUUUCAUUGCAAAAUAAUGAGAUUAUAAUAAUCUAGCAAAUAAGAAAAAAUAGUAUGGAAGUUCAAAUUAACACCAUAACUAUCAAUAAUUUUAAGCUUAUAGAUGACUUAAAUGAUUAAAAACUAAUGCAAAAUCCUAAAAAAAAUAAAAAUCAUAUAAAGAAUUCACAAGAGAACAGAAUGAACAAAAACCAAAUAUGAACAUGGGUCAACAUUAGUUAUGGAUUUGGAUUCCUUUCAAGGCCAAUCUUUGAACCAAGACUUCAUCAAAUCAACUACUUCAAAGGCUUUUGUGUUCUUCUUGGGUUGUGCUCUCAAACAAAGACUUCGAGGUGAUGUUCUAGAUGAUUGAAUUACACAUAUUUAGGGUGGAGAGAUUGGAGAAGCUUGAAGAUGCCAACGAUGGGUACAAUUGAGUGGUCAAUAAGAACAAUGUAGCCUAUGACUAGUUUGAUGUCAUGGUACAAGAGUUUUAGGCAUUGAGGUUAAAGCAAGAGCAACAUGGAAUUGAUUUCGGAGUCUUUCAGUUAGUGUAAAGGAGGAAGAAGUGGUGUUGAUUCUAGAAAUAGGGUUUUAAGUGGUGCGUGAUUACUACUCAAAAAGUGCUAUUUGAUAGCCUUUAAUUAAUCCUUUUUAACACUUUUGAGUAGUAGUUUAGGCCUUUUAACUCAAUUGGCAUGUUAAGGAUCCUUUAAAGCAAUUUUGAUCACUUUGUGCAAGUUUUGGUGUUUUUGUUAGUAUUUUGAUCACCAAAGCAAGUCAAGAAUGAGGAGAACUAUGAGGAAUCAUGGGCAAAGCUUAGAAUUCAAUUGCCAAGAGUGAAUCCGGAUUGCAAGGAGAAAAAGCAAAGAGAAUCUGUCAUGAAGCCUAUUCUUGAUGACAGUCGUAGCAGCCACUUUUGGAGCACUUUCUGAAGUCCAAAUGAUGCAAGCUAUAUACCAUUUCAAAGAUCAGGAAGUCAACAAUCCAAUGCUUCAAACGGUGCGCGAUUCGGAGUUGAAACGAAGAAGUUGCAGCCAUUACAAGCCAGUCACUCUAAAGUGUUGCGGAAUCAGCCUUUUGUUGCGAGAAUUUCGCAGCACUUUUGUACAGUAAGGUGUUUCUCCUUCUGACGAUGCACGAACCAUGCCGCGAGAGGGAAGCUAGGAACUUCAAGAUGGAAGCCAACUUUGCAGCCUGGUGAAGAUAGCUUGGUCUUGCGAAAUAAUUUCGCAGCCCUCUUGGGUGUCUGCGAAAUUUCGCAGGCACCACUUUUUUCCUGCGAAAUGGCUCCGGAAGCCUCCCGAAGCUUGCUACCGACAUUGGGAGAUAUUUUCCAUUAGAUUUUUGUUGUCUAAAUUCCAAAAUACUCCUUGUAAACCACCAAUUACAUGAUUCCUUAGUUUUUAAGUUAGUAAAAAGACCAAAUAUCUAUGUAAUAAUUAGUUUUAUAUUAGUUUGCUAUAAAUACCUCUCGGGAGCAUGUUCUCAGAGAGGAGUUCCUUCUGUAACCAUUUUGGUAAGCAAGUAAAGUCUUUUCUUUCUACUGCCUUACCUUCUCACUUUGUAUUUUCAUUUUAUUUCUAAGUUAUGAAUUCUCUGAGGAGCUUUCCCCAGAGAAUGAGUAACUAAACCUCCAAUUCCUUGGAGCUAAGGUUGCCGGGGAAGGUUCCAAGUGCAAGAAUGCAAAGCUCUGUGGUUUUAGCUAGUAAUGAAGAGGAAGUGAAAUCCUUUAGUGAUUUCAAUGUUUUUAGUUAACUUAAAACACCUUGGAGUCACCUGGGCCAACACUUGGUAAGGCAAGUGAUUUCCAACCGUGGAAAUGCACUAGUUUACCCCUUGCGAGCCUCUGGUAGGUGACUUCAAGGUAGGAUUUUCUGGAAUUACCAACACUUGGUAAGCUUUUGGACUCCUAGGAGACAUCCAUUAGUUAUCUCUUGCGAGUUUGUGAAGGGGAAUCCAAGGUUAAAGAUCACCUUGAAUGGUAAGUGCUCGUGAGAGGCAUGAACCAUUGCAAGUUGUAUCAGUGAGAGAAUUAAAGUGAAAUCUAAUUGAAGGAGUCUCUGUACAUCACCGGUUAGAGAAUUGACUAUAAGUUGAAUCUCUAAUGCGAGGAAAUGAACCAUCUGACCGGAGCUAUGUCUUUUGCAUGAGGAACCACCCCAGUGAACCUAAAUCUCCAAGGAAUGCUUUUCUUCCUAAAUUAUUCCAAACUUCUGUUAAGUUAGUUAGUUUAAGUCUAAACCUUUACCAAUCAAACUUUGUGUUUUAUUUCUUAAGCUAACCGUGAAAUGAAACAAAACCAAUUCACUUGGAAUUGGUAUCCUUGAUUGCUUGCAAAUCAUUCCCAGUGAACGAUCCUUAGAGCCACUAUACUAUAGUAGCUUUGUAUUUGCUACCCUAGUGUAUGGUGUUAUAGGUAUAAAUUUUGUUGAUCACUUCCUCAAUCAAGGAACACCAGCUGAACACAAAUCAGCUGAGACACCAAUUGGGCAUGAGUCAAAUGGCGCCGUUGCCGGGGAAUGAGUGUCAAGAUCAUUGUGAUACCAUUUUUGAGCACUUGUGAUUUUCAUCACAAGUUGGUAAAGUUUCUUUCACUUUACUAAUUUUCAUUCUCUCUUUGUUUAUUUACAAUCUAAGUUUAUCUUUUUAAAAUUUAGUCUAGUUUAAUUUUGCUAUUGUAGCCUUGUUUCUCUUGUUGUCCUCUGUUCUUGUUGUCCUCUGUUUUCAUUUUAGUUGCAGCUGAAUACUAGUUGUGUAUGCCAAAGUGGAUACGAGACAUUGGAGGUAGGCUUAUUAAGUGUGAUACACCUCAGAGAGGAGAAUUGGAAGUAAUCUUGAAUAUCAUGGAGGCUGCACCUGAAGAUCAGCAUAGUCACCAAGGUCGUCAAGACAAUCUCAAUGAAUUCAGAUCAAUGAGGGACCGUAUGCAUCCACCUCGUAUGAGUGCACCAUCAUGUAUAGUGCCCCCUACAGAGCAACUAGUGAUCAGACCAUAUCUUGUUCCACUUCUACCAACUUUCCAUGGGAUGGAAAGUGAGAAUCCGUAUGCACACAUCAAGGAAUUUGAAGAUGUUUGUAAUACAUUCCAAGAGGGAGGAGCUUCAAUUGAUUUGAUGAGGCUUAAGUUAUUUCCUUUUAAUUUAAAGGAUAAGGCCAAAAUUUGGCUUAAUUCUUUAAGGCCAAGGAGUAUCCGCUCUUGGACUGAUUUACAAGCUGAAUUCCUCAAGAAAUUUUUUCCUACUCAUAGAACAAAUGGCUUGAAAAGGCAAAUUUCAAACUUCUCAGCUAAAGAGAAUGAGAAAUUCUAUGAGUGUUGGGAAAGAUACAUGGAAGCUAUAAAUGCUUGUCCUCACCAUGGCUUUGAUACUUGGCUACUGGUGAGUUAUUUUUAUGAUGGUAUGUCCUCCUCAAUGAAGCAACUCCUCGAGAAAAUGUGUGGAGAAGAUUUCAUGAGCAAAAAUCCAGAGGAAGCUAUGGAUUUCUUGAGCUAUGUAGCUGAUGUUUCAAGGGGAUGGGAUGAACCAACUAAAGGAGAAGUGGGAAAGAUGAAGUCUCAGUUGAAUGCUUACAAUGCAAAGGCUGGGAUGUAUACUUUAAAAGAGGAUGAUGACAUGAAAGCAAAGUUGGCAGCUAUGACAAGAAGAUUGGAGGAGCUGGAGCUGAAAAGAAUGCAUGAAGUGCAAGCUGUUGCUGAAGCACCAGUGCAAGUGAAGUUGUGUCCCAAUUGUCAAUCGUUUGAACAUUUGGUAGAGGAAUGCCCUGCAAUUUCAGCUGAAAGGGAAAUGUAUAGAGAUCAAGCAAAUGUUGUUGGACAAUUCAGGCCCAAUAACAAUGCUCCUUAUGGAAAUACCUACAAUUCAAGUUGGAGGAAUCAUCCAAAUUUUUCAUGGAAGGCCAGAGCAACUCAAUACCAACAGCCGGAUCCACCAUCUCAACAAUCUUCAAGUAUUGAACAAAUAAUAGCUAAUCUCAGCAAGGUAGUGGGAGAUUUUGUGGGAAAGCAAGAAGCCACCAAUGCUCGAGUGGAUCAAAGAAUGGACAGAGUGGAUCAAAGAAUGGACAGAAUGGAGAGUAUGUUGAACAAAAGAAUGGAUGGAAUGCAAAAUGAUAUGAAUCAAAAAUUUGAUAACAUCCAAUAUUCAAUUUCAAGGCUUACAAAUUUGAAUACACUGCAAGAAAAGGGAAGAUUUCCUUCUCAACCUAACCAAAAUCCCAAAGGUGUCCAUGAAGUGGAAAGCCAUGAGGGAGAAUCAUCACAGGUGAAAGAUGUGAAAGCUUUGAUCACUCUAAGGAGUGGUAAGAAAAUUGAGCAGCCAACACCCAAGCCACAUGUUGAGAAAGAAGAAGAGAUGAAGAAAGGGAAGGAAAUGGAAGAUAAAGGCAGUGAGAUCAGUGAAGAAAAGAAGGACUCUGAUGCAACAAUGAAAGUAAUUCCAGAGAAGGAGCUUCUGAAGGAAGAAAUGCUGAAGAAAUCAACUUUUCCACCUUUUCCUCAAGCAUUACAGGGGAAAAAGGGGGUUAGAAAUGCAGCUGAAAUCCUAGAAGUAUUGAGGCAAGUGAAAGUUAAUAUUCCACUGCUGGAUAUGAUCAAACAAGUUCCAACGUAUGCAAAAUUCCUAAAGGACUUGUGUACUAUCAAAAGAGGGUUGACUGUAAACAAGAAAGCCUUCUUGACUGAGCAAGUAAGUGCAAUCUUACAGUGUAAGUCUCCUUUGAAGUACAAAGACCCUGGAAGUCCUACCAUUUCAGUCAUGAUUGGAGGAAAGGUAGUGGAGAAAGCCUUGCUAGACUUGGGAGCAAGUGUGAAUUUGCUUCCAUAUUCUGUCUACAAGCAACUGGGACUUGGAGAGUUGAAGCCAACAGCAAUCACUUUGUCUCUGGCAGAUAGAUCAGUGAAAAUUCCAAGAGGGGUAAUUGAGGAUGUAUUGGUUCAAGUAGAUAAUUUCUACUAUCCUGUAGAUUUUGUUGUUCUUGAUACAGAUCCUACUGUAAAGGAAGCUAAUUUAGUUCCUAUCAUCCUUGGAAGGCCAUUUCUUGCAACUUCAAAUGCAAUCAUCAACUGUAGAAAUGGGCUUAUGCAACUCACUUUUGGUAACAUGACACUGGAUCUAAAUAUUUUCUAUAUGUCUAAAAAGCAAAUCACUCCAGAAGAAGAAGAGGGUCCAGAAGAGCUAUGUAUUAUUGAUACUUUGGUGGAGGAGCACUGCAAUCAACAUAUGCAAGAUAAGUUGAAUGAAAGUUUUGUGGAUAUUGAGGAAGGUUUUUCUGAAUCUCCUAAUGGGCUUGCUACUCUACAAAGUUGGAGAAAGAUAGAAGGAAUUCUACCUUUGUUCAAUGAAGAAGAGGAGGCAGCUGUUGAAAAAGAAAUUCCAAAACUCAAUCUGAAGCCUUUACCUAUGGAGCUGAAAUAUACAUAUCUUGAAGAAAAUAAUCAAUGUCCUGUCGUAAUAUCUUCAUCUCAAACCAAGUCUCAAGUGAAGGAUGCAAGCUUCAAAUGGGAUCCGGGCAAACUGAAUCAGGAAGGGCAAAAAGUUUUGAUGUAUGACACAAGACUCCAUAUCUUUCCUGGGAAGCUCAAGUCAAGGUGGAUUGGUCCAUUUGUUAUUCACCGAGUAUAUUCCAAUGGAGUGGUGGACUUAUUGAAUUCCAAUGGCAAGGACAGCUUUAGAGUCAAUGGAUAUCGUCUUAAGCCGUUCAUGGAGUCAUUCAAAUCAGAAAAGGAGGCAAUCAACCUCCUUGAACCUCAAAAAGCCUAAGUGAAAUGGGUUUGCUGGACGUGGUUUUACCACAGUCCAAAAAUUUUUGUAAAUUUUGUAAAUUUUCAAGUUGUUUCCAUGCUUUUAAUCUUAGUUUUUGAUUUUAAAUCAUGUUUUUAGGUGUGUUUUAAUCGUUUUAUAUGAUCCCAGGCGGAAGAAAUUUCAAGGGGAUUGAAAAGAAAAAAAUCGGGUCGAAAUUGGAGCCGAAACAGAGCAAAAACAGGGGAAAAACAGAGCUCUGCGAAAUUUCGCAGGGUGAAGGAAACUUCUGCGAAAUUGGCAUUUUGCUGCCAAACCAUUCCGCAGCACUGUAGAAGCCUCUGCGAGUGUAUUUCGCAAUUGCGAAAGUGGAUUUGGCACACGAGUGCCACUUCGCAGCACAGUGACAUCAAUUUCGCAGCUGCGAAACUCACUGCGAAGUUGCUGCGAAAAUGGCAAGUUGCUGCGAAAUUGGCGUUUUGUUGCGAAACGUAAUCUGACCCCUGGGCUUCCGUUUUUCCUAUUUAUACCUGUCAAAAGUGCUGCGAAAAAGGUUUCAAAAAUUAGAGCACCAUUCUCGCAGCCCUUUCAUCUUCUUCGCCAAGCCACGCCGUCCGUUUCUCCGGUCGUCUUCUCCGUUUAGCAGCGCCGGCCAAAGAUCGAUAGCCCAAAAAUGGCACGAACGCGAGGGGCAAAGUCUUCAUCCCCUUCGAACCGCAAAAGGAGUCUGCGAAAGGAGCCAAGUUCAGGCUCUGUUCCAGAACCUGCUCCAAAGCCUUCGCCGUCGAGACCACAACCUUCUCCAGUGAAGCCGGCGCCACCAAAGCCGCCGGCAAGGCGAUAUUUAACCAGGUCAGGUGGUCAGCCAUUGAAGAAGAAAGCCAGAGUUGAGAGCUCUGAACCAAUCGAUUUGACUGAGCAAUCCCCUGAGAAAUCACCAAAUCCUUCACCGGUACAAAUUCCAGUGCCAUCACCGGUUCCCUCGCCAAUUCCCUCACCAGAAGCAACUCCAAUUCCAUCGCCGGUACCAUCUCCGGCACCCCAAGAAAAAGCUCAGGAGCCUCAAGCGCCAAUUCCAGAGCCCCAAAUUGCAGCUGAAGCACCUCUGGAAGAAGUGAUCCGAAGGCCAAUGCUGCCUCAGCCCCCAAUCGAAGGAAACCUGGAUUGCCGAACUCGGGCAUUCCAUUCUGAGCUUUGCUUCGAUUUAACAGCAUUCAGAGUGAGGCCAGAGCUUGCCCAAUCCUUCCAACUGCUGAGGAGAUAUCAUAUGGAGCAUCUGCUAGCUCCAAGGGAUUUUUUCUAUCCCCGGGUAGUCACGGAUUUCUACCAAACCAUGACAACCAAAGAAGUAAGAAAUCCAACUCUGAUUCAUUUCAUAAUUGAUGGAAGGCAUGGUAUUUUGGGAGCAAGACAUAUUGCUGAAGCCCUGCAAAUUCCUUUUGAGCCAACUCAAUUCGACAAUUUUAAAGCUUGGACAAAUCCUACUGAGUUAGAGAUGGUUAGCACACUAACCAGAGGAGCUGCAAAUCGAUCGCAUUUGUUGAGGGGGGAGCUACCUCCAGUUAUGUUUUUGAUUGAUGCCUUUUUGAGGCAUAAUAUCUAUCCCCUGCAGCAUUGGACCCAAAGAAGGGGAAUUCUCCUAGAAGCCUUGUACAAAAUGUCUGAAGGAUUCUUCUUUGGGCCUCAUCAUCUGAUCAUGGCAGCCCUUCUAUACUUUGAGGAGAAGGUUCACAAGAAGAAGCUUCAAAGAGCAGAUUGCAUUCCACUCCUCUUCCCAAGGCUGCUAUGCCAAGUUUUGGAGCAUCUCGGAUACCCCUCUGAGCCUCAGCAGGAAAGAAAGAGAAUAUGCCGUGAGCCUUUUACCCUUGAUAAAUGGAAUAAUAUGACGGCCUACAAAAUUGAUCAGCCUGGGCAGCCUCAGCCAGCAGCAAGGAGAGUCUCCCCAAGACAUAUACCUGAAGGUAUAACACUUGCUACUCCUGCCAUCCCUCGAGCUCCACCAGCUGCACCUGCUCCAUCACAGCCAUCCACAUCAGCUGAGCCGAGGAUGGCCAUCCCUAUAUCCGAAUAUCGAGAGCUGUGCCGUGCAUUGGAGACUCUUACAGCUUCUCAGAGCAAUCUUGCUCAGGAGUUGGCAGCCAUUAAAGCAUGCCAGGAGCAGAUGUUAGCCUCUCAGACUCAACAAGCUGCCAUCCUAAGGCAGCUUCAAGUCCAUUUCGAUCUGCCACAAGCUGUAGAGCCCUCUAUUCCUACUCCACCAGAGCCACACUCUCAGCCUUCAGAGUCUCAUCCUCCAGAACCCGAAGCACCAGCUGAUCCACCUACUGAGGAGGCAGAUCCUUCUGCCUAGCACCAUCACCCCCCUCAUCAGACAUUAUAUAUAUAUUUGCUGUUUAUGUUUUUAUGCAUGUUUGUUUUGUUUUAGUUGAAAAGAAAUCCCAGUAUUUUGGUACUAUAUAUGGGAUUCCUUGUGUUACUUGUCUUUAGUAUUGUAAUCACAUGAACUCAAAGUAAUACAAGUUGACUAUUUCUUGUUAAAAGUUAGCAUUAAAGUUUCCUUAUUUCCUUUUCUCACAUAUUCUAUUCUUUUUGAAACAUGUGGUUUUCCCCAAUCAAUAUUCGAAUUUGAUAUCAGCAUGGAGGUACCACUUCCUCCCUUUUAUUACAGUCACUCAAAUCACAUUGAGGACAAUGCUCAGUUCGGUUGGGGGGUAUGAGGAAGGAAGUAUUCUAAACCUUUUUGGUAUUGCAAUUAUAUUGGUUAAUUAGUUGUAGAUUUUACUUUUUACUAGUGUUACUCUAUUCUCCAUGAAUUUUGAGGAAAAAUUUUCAAAUUAAACCAAGAGAAAUUGAACUGUUGUUUUUCACUUGACUUAGAGUAUGGAUUAUGCUUACUAAAGUGGUUCAAUUGUUGAAACUUCUACUGAAAUUGAAUUGAGUUCUUCCACUUUAAGCUAUCCACACACUGUGCACAUUAGUUUCCGAUUAUAAGAUGAAAAGCUAUUUCCCUCUUGACUUAGUAUAUUUUUGGGACUUGGUAUAUUUGACCUCAUUUGAUAAAAAUUGAAACACCCUGCAAAAGGCCAAUGAGCCUUUGAAAUAAAGAAAGUUGUUUGCUUGCCUUGAAACCCGAGCAAGGUCUGAGGGGUAUAUGGUGAAAAUCUUUAAAGCCUGGUGCCCUAAGCCUUAAUUGGUUGGGAGUCACCGACCUCAAUGCUCGUUACAAGGGUGAAUAGGUAGAGUUAGCAUAUGGUAGAUGCUUGGGUAUUAGAAAUUCAUUCUUAAAAGUCCGGGGAAAAAUCCGAGGAGUUAGUGGUUGAAAGAUCCUUAAAACUUGGUGCCCUAAACCUUAAUUGGUUGGGAGUCAUCGAUGGACCCCCAUUACAUGGACAAGUCAGAAAGAGUACCCCAUAAAGCUACCUUAAAAAAAAAAAAAAAAAAAAAAAAAAAAAAAAAGAUGAAAGUGUGUUCUUUUCUUAUUGAUUUUGGUCAGUUUGCUAAAGUGUUGAAAAGAGAUAGGUUGGGGGGUGAGAUUAGUAGCAUAUUAUUCUCGGAACCUAAGGAACCAAUACACAUAGAUUUUUGUGGAAGAUUGAAGUUUAGUUCUUAGAAAAUGAAAUGAUUUUAAAACUUCAGUUUGCAUAAUGCACUCCCUUGAUUGACAGUGUUUAGCAUAGGUGUUAUGACUCUUGUUGAGAUUUGGGUUUGUAUUUCUUUAAUGAUUCAUGUGAGAAAUAGAUCAUCAUGCCACUUGAGAAUUAUUUUCCUUUUAGCAUGAUGUUGUAAAUUUUAGAUUAGUUUGCUAUUUAUUUUUUAUUUUCUCUCCUAUAUUGCUAAGGGACUAGCAAUAUGUCGGUUGGGGGGAGUGAUUACUACUCAAAAAGUGCUAUUUGAUAGCCUUUAAUUAAUCCUUUUUAACACUUUUGAGUAGUAGUUUAGGCCUUUUAACUCAAUUGGCAUGUUAAGGAUCCUUUAAAGCAAUUUUGAUCACUUUGUGCAAGUUUUGGUGUUUUUGUUAGUAUUUUGAUCACCAAAGCAAGUCAAGAAUGAGGAGAACUAUGAGGAAUCAUGGGCAAAGCUUAGAAUUCAAUUGCCAAGAGUGAAUCCGGAUUGCAAGGAGAAAAAGCAAAGAGAAUCUGUCAUGAAGCCUAUUCUUGAUGACAGUCGUAGCAGCCACUUUUGGAGCACUUUCUGAAGUCCAAAUGAUGCAAGCUAUAUACCAUUUCAAAGCUCAGGAAGUCAACAAUCCAAUGCUUCAAACGGUGCGCGAUUCGGAGUUGAAACGAAGAAGUUGCAGCCAUUACAAGCCAGUCACUCUAAAGUGUUGCGGAAUCAGCCUUUUGUUGCGAGAAUUUCGCAGCACUUUUGUACAGUAAGGUGUUUCUCCUUCUGACGAUGCACGAACCAUGCCGCGAGAGGGAAGCUAGGAACUUCAAGAUGGAAGCCAACUUUGCAGCCUGGUGAAGAUAGCUUGGUCUUGCGAAAUAAUUUCGCAGCCCUCUUGGGUGUCUGCGAAAUUUCGCAGGCACCACUUUUUUCCUGCGAAAUGGCUCCGGAAGCCUCCCGAAGCUUGCUACCGACAUUGGGAGAUAUUUUCCAUUAGAUUUUUGUUGUCUAAAUUCCAAAAUACUCCUUGUAAACCACCAAUUACAUGAUUCCUUAGUUUUUAAGUUAGUAAAAAGACCAAAUAUCUAUGUAAUAAUUAGUUUUAUAUUAGUUUGCUAUAAAUACCUCUCGGGAGCAUGUUCUCAGAGAGGAGUUCCUUCUGUAACCAUUUUGGUAAGCAAGUAAAGUCUUUUCUUUCUACUGCCUUACCUUCUCACUUUGUAUUUUCAUUUUAUUUCUAAGUUAUGAAUUCUCUGAGGAGCUUUCCCCAGAGAAUGAGUAACUAAACCUCCAAUUCCUUGGAGCUAAGGUUGCCGGGGAAGGUUCCAAGUGCAAGAAUGCAAAGCUCUGUGGUUUUAGCUAGUAAUGAAGAGGAAGUGAAAUCCUUUAGUGAUUUCAAUGUUUUUAGUUAACUUAAAACACCUUGGAGUCACCUGGGCCAACACUUGGUAAGGCAAGUGAUUUCCAACCGUGGAAAUGCACUAGUUUACCCCUUGCGAGCCUCUGGUAGGUGACUUCAAGGUAGGAUUUUCUGGAAUUACCAACACUUGGUAAGCUUUUGGACUCCUAGGAGACAUCCAUUAGUUAUCUCUUGCGAGUUUGUGAAGGGGAAUCCAAGGUUAAAGAUCACCUUGAAUGGUAAGUGCUCGUGAGAGGCAUGAACCAUUGCAAGUUGUAUCAGUGAGAGAAUUAAAGUGAAAUCUAAUUGAAGGAGUCUCUGUACAUCACCGGUUAGAGAAUUGACUAUAAGUUGAAUCUCUAAUGCGAGGAAAUGAACCAUCUGACCGGAGCUAUGUCUUUUGCAUGAGGAACCACCCCAGUGAACCUAAAUCUCCAAGGAAUGCUUUUCUUCCUAAAUUAUUCCAAACUUCUGUUAAGUUAGUUAGUUUAAGUCUAAACCUUUACCAAUCAAACUUUGUGUUUUAUUCCUUAAGCUAACCGUGAAAUGAAACAAAACCAAUUCACUUGGAAUUGGUAUCCUUGAUUGCUUGCAAAUCAUUCCCAGUGAACGAUCCUUAGAGCCACUAUACUAUAGUAGCUUUGUAUUUGCUACCCUAGUGUAUGGUGUUAUAGGUAUAAAUUUUGUUGAUCACUUCCUCAAUCAAGGAACACCAGCUGAACACAAAUCAGCUGAGACACCAAUUGGGCAUGAGUCAGUGCGUUAGAGGAUCAAGAAGAAGAAAAAGAAGGAACUGUUGGAAUUAGUAUGAGUGUGAAGAGAAAAGUAUAUAAAUAAGGGGAAGUAAAAGCAAAGUUCAAAAAGCUAUAUUUUUUUAUUGUUGGUGUAUGGUUGCAUGAUUAUCCCUAUAAAUAAUAGGAGUUUUUUGGUAUUCUACUAGUAGUUGAAGCAUAAUUUCAUAAAUUAAUAUUUAGAGCGGGGUGGGGUGAGUUGUGACAAAAUUCAUACCCGUCCCAAACCUUGGUUCAGAUUUUUAAAAUAUUCUCAAACUUAUCAUAUACCCAACUUUUAUAUUUCAUACUUGUCCUAAUAGAGGCACGUUAGGCCGGGUUACUUGAGUAACCUACAUAAUUGUCAUCCCUAGUUGAAAUACACUUUUUGGCAGUGGCCACCAACUGAGCUAGAAGCUUGAUUGAUUGACCUACAAGAUUAGUUCUCAUCAUUUUAAAAAAAGUUCUGGCUUUGGUUGUGAGUGCAAUUGAAUCUAAACUGGCAUUUGCUUAAUGCAUCUACUUCAAUCCUAAACUUCUUACUUCUUAAGCCUCAAUUGUUGUUAGGAUUUUGGAAAACCCAUUUCCUUAAAUUGUAAAUUUAAGAUAAAAUAAAAUAAAAGUGAGACAUUUCUUGAUUGAAUAUUGUUAAAGGUCCCUUGGCAUUAAGACUUGGUUGAAGCCUUGGAAGAUUAGUGGAACUCUCAACAUGUGUUUGAAUCUUGAGGAGAGUGGAUGUAAGCCAAAAUUUUGUCAAACCAUUAUACAAAUUGAGUUUGAAUCCUCAUUUCUUGAUUUCUUAUUUAUUUGCUUUUUCUUAUUAUUACUUGAAUUGUCAUUUGCAUUCAUUAAUGUUAAAAUUGGUUAUAAUUAACCAACACUAAUUCUCUUUCCCCUUCCCUUUCUUGGGUGUAAACCUAGGUUGGAUUAACUAGAUAAAUCUAUUAAGAUGGUAAAAGAAUAAUUAUUCUUAACAUACAUAAGAUCAUCUUCAAUCAAAUGACUCAUUGGCUAAUAUGUUGAAUUUGCUUAUUACUUGCAACUCAAAAUUGUGUUCUAGUUGUGUCAAGUCCCCAGUGUAUGGACAUUAAAUUUGUAGUACGUGAUGAGUAAUUAGAUGGUCCAACUCCAAGAAAGUGAUUGAAAAGUAGUUCAAGAAAGGUGCAAAAGGGAAUUGUUUUGGUAUUUUCGUUUUUAUUCUUGAAGGUGGCAGAGCUAAAAUUUGAGAAAUCAAGCAAAACAUACUGAAAUUACAUUGAAAGAAAGAAGAUGGGAGUUAAUGUCUUGCAGUACAUGAUAAGGACUUCAUGCAUGUAGUGUGACCCAUGUCUUGGACUGAUGCCAACUCACGGUUACACUUAUACCCUUGGUUCUCUCUUUACUACCUUGGCUAACCUAGAUCAGGCUAUGAGAUAGGCUCCUCACCACACCAUUACUUGCCCAUUAAUUAGAGACAUUUUCAAGCAAUGAGGUAACAUGGUGACACCAAGAGGGUCUAUUCCUCGCCCGGAACAAGUCUAGACUUGGUCUCAAAAAAAUGGAGAAAAAUGAGGUGUCGUUAUGUAGAAAUACAACAACCAUGCCUUCCUCAUUACUUAGAUUCAGAAUGUGAAGGUGAAAUUGAGAAACAGAAACUCUUGAAACCAAAAUGAAAAUUGAUACUUUUACGAAGAAUUACAACAACAUUAGAGGAAGACUACAUUCUUCCUCUUUAUUCCUACAUUUCUACACUACUUCUACUCCACUCCAUAUUUCUACAUACAUCUUUAAUCAGUCUUCCCUCCUUUAUAUAGAGCCAUCUUCACACAAAUUUCGCAAGGUAGAAAAGAGGAAUGAAACUUGGAGCAAGGUUCGACUACUGGUUGUAGCUUGUCAAGGCUGGAAGUGAACUUUUCUUGGCUUUCUGGGCAUGGGUAGUAACUUGUGGGUUCCUGUUUGGCAUAAAAAUGGCUAGAACAUGUGGCACUAUCUUGUUGGAUGAUGUGUCAAGCAUGUGGCAGCCAUCUAGUGGCGAUUAUGUCAAUUUUGGGAUGGAGAGUUGGCAUCCAAUUGCAAAGAAAUAUGACGUCUACCAACAUGCAAUGUAAACCUAUGUAGAUCAUAUGAAGAUAGAGAGGAAAAAUAUAGAAAUGGAUAUAUACCUAGAACUAGCUUUUUAUUAAAUGAAACGGAGAGACAACAAUGAAGGAAAAUAAAAUUUUUUGGCUUAUAUCAAAGAGUUCACAUUGUGUUACCCUAGGUUUUCUUAAAACUUACUUUUAUGAUAACAAAAAAGAAAAAACCAUUAUUGUUUAAUCCUUUGUUUUAAACGCAUGUAAGGUGUAAUUAAGUUAGUUCAAUGCAUUAAUUUAAGAAACUUGACCUAUCAAAAGUACAAAAUUAGAUGAAAUCCAUUUCAAUGGUUAAAAUGAUCAAAAUCAAACUUUUUCUAAGUAUUUUUUAAAAGCAUCAAUAGUGAAAGACAAUUUUAUAUUUAGUCGGAGUUUGGACAAAACUGAAAAACACACAAAAUCCAAGCGACCAUCUCUAGCUUGGAUGGUCGCUUGAUCCCACCUAGAGAUGUGCAUGAGUAAAAGGAUUUGAAAAUGGAAAUUGACUAUGUAGUCGAUCAAUUAACUUUGCAACAUCAUAUGCAAUCCUAAUUGCUAGUCAUCUAAUCAAUUAGGUAGUCAAUCAACAGGCCAAAAAUAUGUUUAUAAUGACUAUUUUGUACAAAAACCACCUGUAUAGUUAAAUAUAAUGCAUUUCAUUUAUAAAUCUUCUAAUUCUUGAAUAACGAUCCUAUCAUCCUUUGAAAGUUUUUAUUACACUUUUUUUACUUUUGUUCUAAAACUUACACAUCACCCUUAAUUGUACCAUGAGAACCUAGCUAUUUUUUAUUUUUUUUUUUGUAAUUCAUCAAAGUUAGCUUUUGUAUUCAUUGUUGUAUUAUUUUUAGUAUAACUUAGAAAGCUAGUGUUUUCAAGUGAGUAAAAUUAACUUGUAAAUAUUGUAAAGAUUCAUCGACAUGUAUCUUAAACUAAGUGUACAAGUUAAAACAUUUGCUAGUAGAUUUUCUCAAAAUUUAGAAUAGAGCUUGAGACUAUUGAAAUAGGUGGGGUUGCACCAAACCACAUCACAUCGUUGUUUGCACCUUUUUUCACUCUCUUUUACUUAGUUGCUCUAUAUUUGUUGUCUAGUAAUAUCCUAUAGGCUUGAUGGGUUAGGGAGCAUCCCUUUGUGAAAAAAUUUUAUUCAAUCCUUAGUUGUAUCACGCAUAUAUAAAAUGCCUCAUUGUUUUAAUGGUAUUCAGUCGUGGCAUCACAGAUAUGGGCAUCUAAAUUUUAAAAGUUUGAAACUUUUAUCUAAAGAAAAUAUGGUGCUUUGCCUUUUUGUAAAGCAUGUUGAUGAAAUCCAUGAGAAUUGUGUACUUGGGAAGCAACACCGAGAUGACUUUUUUUUUUUUUUUAUAAUAUUGUUUGUCCAAAUUCCCUACAAAUUAGGCCACCAGAUGUUCAUAAUUCUCCCUUCUUGAAUUUGAAAACUCGGACAAUUGGACAAUGCGACACCUAAGUCCGGUUUCUAAAUGCUAAAGUGAAAGGGUAGGUAUGGACCAUUGAAAUGUGAUCACAACUUUUCUCUGUAGCCAUGUUGUCUCUUUUUUCUUUUGCAUGAUUUUCUUACCUUAACAGAAUCAUAGACUUGUUUAGUCUCUAAAUGGGAUUAAUUUCAUCCAGCUUUAAGCUACUAUAUUAUAUCUAGGUGGAGGACUUUUAAGAGUGCAACCGACAUAGAGCACAUGGAAGUGGGUAUAUGGGACAUGAAAUUUCUUCUUAUAAAGAUUGCAUGAUUUUUAUAUUAGAGUUGUUGAGGCGCUAUGUAUUUAGCUUGUUUUGCAGUUAAAUUAAUUGGAUAAGUAGACAUUGGCGUUUCUAAAUCUACUGUGAAGUGCUUCAUGUACGUGUGAAGUAUUAGAAAUUUCUUUCUUGGCAACUUGUUUUUCUUUGCGGUCUACUGAUAGGUUUGACUAAAAUUAUAUUCCCUGUCAUGCUAAUUAAUUUUCACGUGCAUGCUCAAAAGAAAAGUAUGACCUUAGUGCACCAAAAUCACUUUGAUUAAUUUGUGAUAGGUUUUUGUGCAUCAUGACAUUAGCCUUAUUCAUUUAGAUAAUGUUUAGUUUUUAGAAAGUAUUAAGAAAAGGAAAAUAAAUAUUAAGAAAAAUAUUCUUAUAUUUGAUUGUAUUAUGAAAAAUAUCAUAAAAAAAUCAAAUAUAAUUUAAAUUAAUUAAUAAUUUAUACAUUUUCAAAUUAUUUAAUCUUUAUAUUGAAGAUAUAAUAUAAAUGAAAUGAGUUUUAAGUAUUAUAUAAAAGUGAUUUAUUGAUCUUACAUAUAUAUAUUUCUUUUUUUUUUCCUUCUAUUUUUUCUCUUUAUUUUAUUUUCCUUAUGUUUUCCUCAACAUUUUCCGGAACCAAACAUAGCCUUAGGAAAUCCACAAUUACCUUCAACUGAGUAGAUUCUGUUGUUUUAGCAAUGUUAGGCUGCUAACUUGUGUUGGUACGAACCUAUUAAGCCUAAAGAUGUAAUUAGUUAGGAUAUUCUUUUCCCUCUAGUCUUGUAGCUCCACGUGUACAGUUGGUUAGGACCUCAUUGUAUAUAAUGCUUGCCCUGUUAUUGUAGAAGACAACAAAGAUAAAUAAUAUUAACAUUUUUCCUCUCAUCUCUCUCUGUUUCCCUCUGUUUUCAUCUCCUCUCUCAUCUUGGUAUCAGAGCCUCCAUGGCUUCUUUCAAAGAAACCUCCGAAUCACCUUCUGCUAGCAUUGUUAAUGUGCAAAACCCAUUAUCUCAAUCAAACAACCUUCCUUCACCAGUAGCCACACCCUCUUUUUCUUUCUCGUCUAUGAAUCAACCUCUCACAGUGAAGCUGGAUAAUGGGAACUACCUCAUAUGGAAGAAUUAGCUUCUAAAUGUCAUCAUUGCUAACGGACUCGAUGAUUUCAUUGACGGAUCUCGACCCUGCCCUCCUCGAUUUCUCGAUCUGCAACAACAAACCCUCAAUCCAGAGUACUCAGCUUGGCAGAGAUACAAUCGACUUCUGAUGAGUUGGCUGUACGCAUCCUUGUCCAAAGAUAUAAUGGCUCAGAUUGUUGGGUAUUCAACAGCUAUGGAGAUUUGGAAUGCCCUUAAUCAGAUUUACUCUGCCUCUUCUAUGGCGCGGUUUACUGAGCUUCGCACCAAGCUUCAAACGCUCAAGAAAGAUGGACUCUCAGUUGGUGAAUAUAUUCAAAGGCUCAAAUCCAUUUGCAAUAGUCUUGCAGCAAUAGGAGAACCAGUUUCUGAGAAAGACCAUCUUAUCUAUUUGUUCAAUGGAUUAGAUUGUGAGUAUUAUUCUUUUGUUACCUCCAUUCAAAAUCGAUCUGACCAACCAACUAUUGACAAAAUCCAUAGCCUAUUGCUUAGCUAUGACUUCCGGCUUGAACAACAAAACUCUGUUUCUCUCCAUUCUGCCCAAGUCCAUAUGGCUCAUCUGAACAAGAAACCUUAUAAAUCAACUCCUCAACCUACAUUCAAUCAUAUUCACAUUCAACCUAGAUACUCUUCUCCACCUUUUAAGCCAACCACUAGUCAAUAUCAACCCAACAUUUUGGGCAAACCACAACCACAACCAUGACAGCCUCAACCUCAAUGGAAACCACAUUUUUCAAUCUAAAAUCAAAAGCCUCAGCGCCAAAUUUGUGGUAAAUUUGGACACACUGCUCUUAUUUGCUUCCAUCACACAAAUUUGAACUAUUCACCCCAACCUUCUCCUAAAUCUUUCAAUACUGUUCUCACCACAAAUUCCCAGCUCCCUAAUCCUCCAAAAUUUUCUUACCCUACAAUGGCUCAUCCUGCUGCUACGCAUAACACGGUUCCCGAUACAAAUUGGUACAUGGACUCAGGUGCUACACAUCACUUUACUCUGGACAUCAACGUGCUUGACACUGUGACACCAUUUAGUGGUUCAGAACAGGUGACAGUUGGGAAUGGUAAGCAACUCUGUAUCUCACAUCUUGGUACUGCAAAACUACCAUCUUCGUAUUCUCCUCCUGUUCUACAUCAGGUAUAUCACACUCCAAAAAUUUCAAAUAAUCUUAUUAGUGUUAAAAAAUUGUGUUCUGAUAAUAAAGUUUUUGUUGAAUUUUAUGCCACUCAUUUUCUUGUCAAGGAUCAGGUUUCGAAGAGAGUUCUCCUUUAGGGUCAACUUGAUAAUGGCUUAUACAAAGUUCAGUCGUCAUGCUCUCCUUCUGCUGUUUCCUUUCCUCCUCAAGUUUUCAUAGCCAACAUCAAGUAUCCAAAUCUGUGGCACAAGAGACUAGGCCACCCAGCUUUAUCUGUUGUUAAUCAAAUCUUGGAUUCUUGUAACAUUGCUCGAACACAGAAAAUUUGUUUUAAUUUUUUAAAUUCUUGUCAAUUAGCAAAGAGCCACAGGCUUCCUUUUUCUCUGUCUCCAUCCAUUGCAGAAAAACCUUUUGAGUUAAUUCAUACAGACCUAUGGGGUCUUUCGCUCGUUCGCUCUAUUUCUGGUGCUCUUUAUUUUUUACUUUUCAUUGAUGAUCAUACUCGUUUUACUUGGUUUUAUUUGCUCAAAACAAAAGAUGAAGCAUAUCCUACUUUUCUCAAGUUUCAAGCUCUCAUUGAAAAUCAAUUUAAUACCAAGAUUAAGGCUGUCCAAUCUGAUUGGGGAGGUGAGUUUCGAUCUCUCUCCAUACCGUUUUCAAAUAUGGGCAUUGUCUAUUGUUUAUCGUGUCCAUACACCUCACAACAGAAUGGGCGAGUUGAGCGAAAAAAUCGCCAUGCGAUUGUCCUUUCUUGCUUGCUCUAUGCCCUUAUCUUAUUGGCCUUAUGCCUUUCAAACUGCCACUUACCUUAUUAAUCGUCUCUCUACCCCUGUGCUGCAUCAUCAAUCCUCUUACUUCGCACUCUAUCACAAACUCCCAACUUAUACUCAUCUUAAGGUCUUUGGUUCCUCUUGUUUUCCGUAUUUGCACCCUUAUAAUACCCAUAAACUCCAAUACAGGUCACUAGAGUGUGCUUUUCUUGGUUACAGUUCACACCACAAAGGUUAUCUAUGUCUUGACAUUCAUUCUAGCAGGGUGUAUAUUUCUCGCCAUGUGAUUUUUAAUGAAGAUUCUUUUCCAUUCAAGAAUUUGAAAUCUUCUCUCUCUCAGUCUAUUUCUUCUUCCUCUUCUUUAUAAGUUCCUCUGUUCAUUCUCUUGCCUCCCCUUUCCCCAUCUCCUCUUAUUUCUUCAUCUAUACCUCAUUCUUUUCCCUCUUCUUCUUCUACCUCUAGUACUUGUUCCCCUCUCGUUGCUCCUACCUCUCUUCCUUCCUCUUCACACUCUGUGUCUCCAUCUAUUCCACCUCCUUCUCCACCUUCUCCGAGUGUGGACCUGCUUGCACCUUGUGUGAAUACAAAUUUACAUACUUCUUCUCGCACUCACAAUAUUCAUCCUAUGGUGACUAGAUCUAAGGUUUGUAUCUAUAAACCUAAGUUGUUGUUGAGUGUCUCCAUAGGUUCUCUCACUAAGCCUACUUCCUUUCUUCAAGCUAUUAAAGAUCCUUCAUGGAAGCAAUCCAUGGAAUUCGAGUUUGCUACCCUUCAACACAACAAGACCUGGCAUUUGGUUCCUUCACCUUCCUCAGGCGAAGUAAUCGGUUGUAAAUGGGUCUAUAAGCUAAAGCUUCAGCCUGAUGGCUAAAUUGAGAGAUACAGCCUGCUUAGUAGCUAAGGGUAUCAUCAAAUUGAAGUAUGGACUACUUCGAAACAUUCAGCCUGAUNNNNNNNNNNNNNNNNNNNNNNNNNNNNNNNNNNNNNNNNNNNNNNNNNNNNNNNNNNNNNNNNNNNNNNNNNNNNNNNNNNNNNNNNNNNNNNNNNNNNAGCUUCAGCCUGAUGGCUAAAUUGAGAGAUACAAGGCCUGCUUAGUAGCUAAGGGUUAUCAUCAAAUUGAAGGUAUUGACUACUUCGAAACAUUCAGCCUGAUUGUCAAGCUUUCUACUAUCUGUAUUGUGCUCAGUCUUACUUUUUCCCAGAAUUGGUGUAUUAGACAGCUGGAUGUUCAUAAUGCCUUCUUACAUGGUGACUUAGCUAAAGACGUUUUCAUGGAACAACUGCCUGGAUUUGUUGAUCCUCUCUAUCCUACUCAUGUCUGCAAGUUGGAUAAGUCUCUCUACUGUCUUAAAUAGUCACCUCGGGCUUGGUAUACUAAGCUGAGUACUUCUCGCUACACUUGGGAUUUGUUACUUCUAAGAAUGACUCUUCCUUAUUUAUUUGUCAUUCGUCUCAUGGGUUACUUCUUGUUCUUGUCUAUGUGGAUGAUAUAAUCGUCAUUGGGAGCCACUCUCCUCAGGUUACUCACCUUAUCCAACAGUUGCAUCAUUAGCUUUCUUUAAAGGAUCUUGGUCCUUUACAUUAUUUUCUGGGCUUGGAGGUUCAUCACACCCCUACUGGUAUUCACCUCAGCCAAGCAAAGUAUAUCACUGAUCUCCUUACCCGGGCGGCUAUGUUGGAUGCCAAGCCAUGUCCCACUCCUAUGUCCUCCAACACAUAUCUCUCUUUUCAUGAUGGAGUGGCUCUUGAAAAUGGUUCAGAUUAUCGAAGUUUUGUUGGUGCCCUUUAGUAUUGUACCAUGACACGCCCAGAUAUAGCUUUUGCAAUAAAUAAAGUGUGUCAAUUCAUGCACCAUCCCUCUAAUGUUCACUGGCAGGCUAUAAAACGUAUUCUCCGGUACUUAAAGGGCACAUCUCAUUUUGGUCUCUUCCUACAGCCUUCCUAUGACUUCAACAUCACUUGCUAUACAAAUGCCGACUGGGCUUCCUGUCCUGAUGACAAGUGUAGCACCAGUGGCUACUGCCUCUUUCUUGCCUCUAAUCUGGUUUCUUGGUCAUCUUCCAAACAAAAAGUGGUCUCCCGCUCCAGCGCCGAAUCAGAGUACCGAGGGGUAGCAAAUGGGGCUGCUGAAAUUGCUUGGACUGAAUCUCUUCUUUGUGAACUUUCCAUUACUCCCCCUCCCCUCAUUCUCUGUGACAAUAUCAGUGCCACGUACUUAGCUGCCAAUCCUAUUUUGCAUGCCCGCACCAAACAUGUGGAAAUCGACUAUCACUUUGUCACGGAACGUGUUCUUCAAUGCUCUCUUUUUGUCCAGUUUACACCUUCUGAUGAUCAACUUGCUGAUUGCAUGACCAAGCCUCUCUCCACCCAACGUUUCAUCACUCUACGCUCCAAGCUCACUGUUCUCACUAGACCAAUGAGCUUGAGGGGGGAUGUUAAGCCUAAAGAUGUAAUUAGUUAGGAUAUUCUUUUCCCUCUAGUCUUGUAGCUCCACGUGUACAGUUGGUUAGGACCUCAUUGUAUAUAAUGCCUGCCCUGUUAUUGUAGAAGACAACAGAGAUAAAUAAUAUUAACAUUUUUCCUCUCAUCUCUCUCUCUGUUUCCCUCUGUUUUCAUCUCCUCUCUCAUCUGAACCAAAUGAUCCAUGUUAACCUUGGCUUGGUUUGAUUUGGCUCUAUCUUAGAGAGCUCAAGGAUCACGUCAACUCUGGUUUCUACUAUUCAGGUCCAUUCCCAUAUGAACUGGUUCAAAUUUGAGAAAAUGGUAACAGACCUUUAGUGAUGUUGGUUUGGAGCCAGUUGCCAAACCCGCCCUGAGCUUUACCACUAAUGUCAAGGGAGAAAGCCAUUUGAACAAAAACAAUAGCUUCAAGGGACUGAAUCGUGGAUGAAAUCUGAUCCACAUUUCUUCUCAUUUUGGAAACAAAUGAGAACUUAACUAAGAAGAUUCUACGGCCUCAUAGUGCUUUUCCUGAUCUAAGGUUGGUUCGUUUCCCAAACUGUGAGAUGCACGUGCCAGACUUCAGAACUCUCACGCUCAGGAGUGUAUCCACGUGGUGGACAUAAGAUGGUGGCUUAAGAUCUGGUGUCGGUGGCUUUACUUUACUAGGAGAGUAGUGUGUCUUCAUCUCAUUCACUGCCGGAGGGUGGCGUAAGCAGUGACGCUAAGGUGGGGCACAGUCAAUAUCAUUUGCAUUUGACCAUUAUAGUUUUCUCCCGGCUUUAAAGUAACCUUAUCGUGAUAAAGGAUUACUAGCACUAGUUCAGAUGAUAGUCAUGUUAAAUUCGGACCAUGUUUGUGUCACAUUAUCAGCAACCAUGUGUUUAUGGUUCAUGCUUUCUGCAACUAAAAUUGAUAUAUAACCAGGUGAACUUCAAUCUAAAUUCUGAAAGUACUCAUGUGAUAGAUGGUGCCCGUCUGCAGAGUCCAUCAAUUGAAAAAUGGAGUGAGUGUAUCUAUAAGAGGGAAGGCUUGGAAAAUGUUCAGUUUUCUGGGAAUUCAACAAGGAUCUAAAAUAGAUUGUUUUCUUUGCUGAUUUCAAUGGUUGAAAUUUGAGAAGAUUGUGUCCACAUAACACAACUAUUACUGGUCCUUCUGUUGCAAUUUAUCCUCUAAAGCUCUAGCAUGUCUUCCAAUUCCCACUUCCCUGUUACUCCAGGAAAGCUAUUUCUGUCAUUGUGAAGAAGAAAAGAGAAUGUACAUAUCGAUGCUUUUAAGUGACUGGAGCAUUUAUAUCAGGUGGUCUGCAGCCAUAUAUGCCACUUUGUGAAGAUUGGAACAGUCAAUCACUAGGCUAUAUAUUAGUGUGGCCCAGCCACUUUAAUCAAGGACAAGUCUUCAUACUUAAAGUCAAAUUCUGCCUUUAGUCUCAUUAUAAAUUUCUGUUUAAAUAUUAAGCAAACAUUUGUUUAAUGCGAUUAAGACAGUACUAACUCAAUACCUGUUCUAUUUUUGGAUGCAAAUGCUUGAUGGUUUCAUCAUUGGAUGGGAUAAAGGUGCAUUCAUGAUUAGGAAUACUAGUAGUUAUAUUUUAAUUCUCUUUUUUCUCAAUGAGACUUGUUGGCACAAUUUUGCUGUUGAGAAACCUACCUCUCCAUGGAAAAUAAGUUGUGAUUGAUAGUACUGGAUAUAUUCAAGAAAUCUAAAUAUAGAUAGCACAAAAUAUUAUCGACAUAAAUAGCAUUAACAGCGUACGUAUGUCUCAGUGCUCAUCAGCUAUAAGCAUGGGGCAAACACUUACUAUGAGCAACUUACGUCAAAAUUCCAGAAUAGGACAUAGAAGUGACAGAUAUAGAACAUUGCAUAUGAGUCACAAGAAAGGAAAUUACGGGUGCAUAGCAGCUCUUAUUUUACAUACUACUACUCAUACUGAUCAAAGUCACUCAGUUGGGAUGGGUGGGAGUAGGAGGUUUGUGGGGUGGCUUGUGCGGAGGAGUUGGCAGCUUCUUUCCAGGACCUGGUUGCUUCUCUGCUGGAGUUGAAGGAGGCUUAAUCUUCCGAGGUGGCUUGUAUGAGUCUUCAGCAUUCUCAGCUGGAGGGUGACCAGGGUUGUGACCAUAAUGUGGUGGCUUCUCUCCCUUAGGUGGUUUGCCAACUGGGGUUGGUGGCUUGUAUGAGUCUUCAGCAUUCUCAGCAGGAGGGUGACCAGGGUUGUGACCAUAAUGUGGUGGCUUCUCUCCCUUAGGUGGUUUGCCAACUGGGGUUGGUGGCUUGUGUUCUGGGAGUGGCUUCUCCCCCUUGGGAGGUUUUUCCAAUGGGGUUGGUUUGUGUUCAGGAGGUGGCUUCUCCACUGGAGGCUUGUGUUCAGGAGGUGGCUUCUCCACCGGAGGCUUGUGUUCAGGUGGUGGCUUCUCCACCGGAGGCUUAUGCUCUGGUGGUGGCUUCUCGAAUGGGGGAUGCUUAGGAUAAUCAGCAAGUGAGGGGGCGGUGAGAACCACCAGGCCAAGCAACACCACUAGCAAAUAUGUAGGAGACAUCUUUGGGUUUGGGCUCAGAUGGUGCAAAACUAGGAGAAUUGGCUAGCCUUUUAUAGCGGAUCGUACCCAAUAAUGAAAUGACACGUGUCAUUAUGACCCAUGUGUAAUGGGGUCGAUUUGGGUCCUACAGUGUUGAAAACUUCGACAUCCACUUUUGGCCUUUUGCUUUCUCUACAGCCGCCUUGCUUUUUCCCUCUUUCCUUUUGUUUUCCUCCUGCCCCAUUCUAUCAACUAAACACAAUUAUGUAGUUGUUUAAUUCUUAAAUGAGAUAUUAUCCGUCAAUCGUAUUAUAUUUUAUCAAGAGAGAACGGAGUGCAAUGUGGCUGUAAUUUUAUCGUUUAGUUUUAUCUCUUGGACCACUGCAUUUUUGUUAAGAGGUGCAAUAAUACACGUCUUUAUCUGCCAUUCAAUAUUUACAGUAAAGAGAGGGCACAAAACUCUUCACUUCGCACCAUAAUUAUUUUGUUUUCUGGACACCCCGGGGCCCUUUGGUUGGUUUGGGGGUCAGAAAGUGAACAUCAUAGGGGGUUUUUCCCUUAUGUGCAUUUGUAUCUGAUGGCUUUAACUCGCCUUGUUACUACAAAGAAACUGUCACAGAUAGGAACUUAUUCCAGGCUGAGUAUCUCCUCAUAGACCCUAUAAAAGAAGACAAGUCAUAAUGAACAUCUAACCUUUGUUCAAUUUGAUUCAAUGCCCCCAUUGUGUCCAUCUCACAAAUCUGAAUUAUUAUAUCCAUUGAAUACAUAAAUUAAUGAAGAAAAUAUGAAACCCAAGAUACAUCUCUGCACAACCUCAACCCUGGUUGCUAUGUUUCCCUUCUAUUCACAUGAUUUGAUGCUAAUUGCCAAACUUGCAACAAGCCCUGAGUUUGACACCUAGUAUCGAUGGGCGAAUUUAAAGUCUCCUCCAAACAUAUAUUCCACAGCUUGAAGCUCACAGAAGAUGUUACAGGCAGGGAAAAACCUUCAGAGUUCGCUACCAAAGAUAAUUAUUAAGGAGAUAUCACAAAGAGAAUUCCAAGGGGUCUGAAUCAAAGACAAAUUGGUCGUUCGUGGGGGUUCUUACUUUCUUUUGGGUAUAACUCACUGAGGGCACUGUCUUUGUUAUUUGCAUUUCACAUUUAGAGUUCUGUUCUGGAAACAUAUAAAAGGAGCAUCAUUUUGUUCUUGGGUAACCCAUAGUCGUGAGUGGGUCCAUUUGCAUGCUACUUAGUUGAAAAGUUGGACCAUUUGCUCCGACGCCUACCUCCCGGAUUCCAUGCUCGGAUAAAACAAGAAUAAAAAAAAUAUUUAUAAUUUACAAAUGGGGGAAAGAAAAAAAUGUCAACAACAAACCAGGAAAAAAGAGUAGUAAAAUUCAUGUCACAUGCUAGUGAGAGAAGGGGUUGUUACACUCACUCGAAGUUCUUUCCAAAAUAUCGCAUGGUAUUUUAUUUUAUGUGUCAGCGCAGUUGUGAAUGGAACGUGCAAAAGUCCAAAUUGGCGUUUUUCCUUUUCCCGUGUAGGAUGGCGACCUUUAAUAAAUAUUUAAAACAAAAAACGAAAAAAAGGAGGGAAAAGGGAUCAGAAAAGAUAAAACAAUGUGUACAAGAGCUCAAUUAGUUUGCAAAUUACUGUUUGGAUUUUGAUAGUAUUUUAUUUGUCCAUCUAUAUUUGAUGGAAAAGAGAAUUUAAGAUAUUUCUGAAACAAAAGCAUUAGUGUAAAACUAAAUUAAGGUAUAAUUAAGUUAGUUCAAUGCAUUAAUUUAAGAAACUUGAUCUAUCCAAAGUACAAAAUUAGAUGAAAUCCAUUUCAAUGGUUAAAAUGAUCAAAAUCAAACUUUUUCUAAGUAUUUUUUAAAAGCAUCAAUAUUAAAAGACAAUUUUAUAUUUAGUCGGAGUUUGGACAAAACCAAAAAGCACACAAAAUCCAAGCGACCAUCUCUAGCUUGGAUAGUCACUUGAUCCCACCUAGAGAUGUGCAUGAGUAAAAGGAUUUGAAAAUGGAAAUUGACUAAAUAUUUAGUUGAUCAAUUAAAUUUGCAAUGUCAUAUGCAAUCCUAAUAGCUAGUCAUCUAAUCAAUUAGGUAGUCAAUCAAGUGUUUGUAAUGACUAUUUUGUACAAAAAACCACAUGUAUAGUUAAAUAUAAUGCAUUUCAUUUAUAAAUCUUCUAAUUCUUGAAUAACGAUCCUAUCAUCCUUUGAAAAUUUUUAUUACACCUUUUUUACUUUUGUUCUAAAACUUACAUAUCACCCUUAAUUGUACCAUGAGAACCUAGCUAUUUUUUUUUUUUUUGUAAUUCAUCAAAGUUAGCUUUUGUAUUCAUUGUUGUAUUAUUUUUAGUAUAACUUAGAAAGCUAGUGUUUUCAAGUGAGUAAAAUUAACUUGUAAAUAUUGUAAAGAUUCAUUGAUAUGUAUCUUAAACUAAGUGUACAAAUUAAAACAUUUGCUAGUAGAUUUUCUCAAAAUUUAGAAUAGAGCUUGAGGCUAUUGAAAUAGGUGGGGUUACACCAAACCACAUCACAUCGUUGUUUGCACCUUUUUUCACUCUCUUUUACUUAGUUUCUCUAUAUUUGUUGUCUAGUAAUAUCCUAUAGGCUUGAUGGGUUAGGGAGCAUCCCUUUGUGAAAAAAUUUCAUUCAAUUCUUAGUUGUAUUACGCAUAUAUAAAAUGCCUCAUUGUUUUAAUGGUAUUCAGUCGUGGCAUCACAGAUAUGGGCAUCUAAAUUUUAAAAGUUUGAAACUUUUGUAAAGCAUGUUGAUAAAAUCCAUGAGAGUUGUGUACUUGGGAAGCAACAUCGAGGUGACUUUAUUUUUUUUUCCUUUUAUAAUGCCACACCUAAGUCCGGUUUCUAAAUGCUAAAGUGAAAGGGUAGGUAUGGACCAUUGAAAUGUGAUCACAACUUUUGGCCUUUUCCUUUCUCUGCAGCCAUGUUGUCUCUUUUUUCUUUUGCAUGAUUUUCUUACCAAAACAGAAUCAUAGACUUGUUUAGUCUCUAAGCUACUAUAUUAUAUCUCGGUGGACUUUUAAGAGUGCAACCGACAUAGAGCACAUGCAAGUGGGCAUAUGGGACAUGAAAUUUCUUCUUACAAAGAUUGCAUGAUUUUUAUAUUAGAGUUGUUCACGUGCAAUGUAUUUAGCUUGUUUUGCAGUUAAAUUAAUUGGAUAAGUAAACAUUGGCAUUUCUAAAUCGACUGUGAAGUGCUUCAUGUACGUGUAAAGUAUUAGAAAUUUCUUUCUUGGCAACUUGUUUUUUCCUUGCCAUCUACUGGUAGGUUUGACUAAAAUUAUAUUCCCUGUCAUGCUAAUUAAUUUUCAUGUGCAUGCUCAAAAGAAGAGUAUGACCUUAGUGCACCAAAAUCACUUUGAUUAAUUUGUGAUAGGUUUUUUUGCAUCAUUUAGAUAAUGUUUAGUUCUAAGAAAAAUUUAUAUAAAAAUGGUUUAUUUAUCUUACAUAUAUAUAUAUAUAUAUAUAUUUUUUUUUUUUUCAUUUUUUUUUCUUCUAUUUUAUUUAUUUAUUUUAUUUUCCUUAUGUUUUCCUCACAUUUUCCGGAACUAAACAUAGUCUUACGAAAUCAACAAUUGCCUUCAACUGAGUAGAUUCUGUUGUUUUAGCAAUGUUAGGCUGCUAACUUGUGGUGGUACGAACCAAAUGACCCAUGUUAAUCUUGGCUUGGUUUGAUUUGGCUCUAUCUCAGAGAGCUAAAGGAUCACGUCAACUCUGGUUUCUACUAUUCAGGUCCAUUCCCAGAUGAACUGGUUCAAAUUUGAGAAAAUGGUAACAGACCUUUAGUGAUGUUGGUUUGGAGCCAGUUGCCAAACCCGCCCUGAGCUUUACCACUAAUGUCAAGGGAGAAAGCCAUUUGAACAAAAACAAUAGCUUCAAGAGACUGAAUCGUGGAUGAAAUCUGAUCCACAUUUCUUCUCAUUUUGGGAAAAAAUGAGAACUUAACUACAAAGAUUCUACUGCCUCAUUCAUAGUGCUUUUCCUGAUCCAAGGUUGGUUCGUUUCCCAAAUUGUGAGGUGCACGUGCCACUCUCACGCUCAGGAGUGUAUCCACGUGGUGGACAUCAGAUGGUGGCUUAAUAUCUGGUGUCGGUGGCUUUACUUUACUAGGAGAGUAGUGUGUCUUCAUCUCAUUCACUGCCGGAGGGUGGCGUAAGCAGUGACGCUAAGGUGGGGCACAGUCAAUAUCAUUUGCAUUUGACCAUUAUAGUUUUCUCCCGGCUUGAAAGUAACCUUAUCGUGAUAAAGGAUUACUAGCACUAGUUCAGAUGACCGUCAUGUUAAUUCGGACCAUGUUUGUGUCACAUUAUCAGCAACCAUGUGUUUAUGGUUCAUGCUAUCUGCAACUAAACUUGAUAUAUAACCAGGUGAACUUCAAUCAAAAUUCUGGAAGUACUCUUGUGAUAGAUGGUGCCUGUCUGCAGAGUCCAUCAAUUGAAAAAUGGAGUGAGUGUAUCUAUAAGAGGGAAGGCUUGGCAAAUGUUCAGUUUUCUGGGAAUUCAACAAGGAUCUAAAAUAGAUUGUUUUCUUUGCCGACUUCAAUGGUUGAAAUUUGAGAAGAUUGUGUCCACAUAUCACAACUAUUACUGGUCCUUCUGUUGCAAUUUAUCCUGUAAGGCUCUAACAUGUCUUCCAAUUCCCACUUCCCUGUUACUCCAGGAAAGCUAUUUCUGUCAUUGUGAAGAAGAAAAGAGAAUGUACAUAUCGAUGCUUUUAAGUGACUGGAGCAUUCAUAUCAGGUGGUCUGCAGCCAUAUAUGCCACUUUGUGAAGGUUGGAACAGUCAAUCACUAGGCUAUAUAUUGGUGUGGCCCAGCCACUUCAAUCAAGGACAAGUCUUCAUACUUAAAGUCAAAUUCUGCCUUUAGUCUCAUUAUAAAUUGCUGUUUAAAUAUUAAGCAAACUUUUGUUUAAUGCGAUUAAGACAGUACUAACUCAAUACUUGUUCUAUUUUUGGAUGCAAAUGCUUGAUGGUUUCAUCAUUGGAUGGGAUAAAGGUGCAUUCAUGAUUAUGAAUACUUGUAGUUAUAUUUUCAUUCUCUUUUUUCUCAAUGAGACUUGUUGGCACAAUGUUGCUGUUCAGAAACCUACCUCUCCAUGGAAAAUAAGUUGCGAUUGAUAGUACUGGAUAUGUUCAAGAAAGCUAAAUAUAGAUAGCACAAAAUAUUAUCGAUAUAAAUAGCAUUAACAGCGUACGUAUGUCUCAAUGCUCAUCAGCUAUAAGCAUGGGACAAACACUUACUAUGAGCAACUUACGUCAAAAUUCCAGAAUAGGACAUAGAAGUGACAGAUCUAUAUAUAUAGAACACUGCAUAUGAGUCACAAGAAAGGAAAUUACGGGUGCAUAGCAGCUCUUAUUUUACAUACUACUACUCAUACUGAUCAAAGUCACUCAGUUGGGAUGGGUGGGAGUAGGAGGUUUGUGGGGUGGCUUGUGCGGAGGAGUUGGCAGCUUCUUUCCAGGACCUGGUUGCUUCUCUGCUGGAGUUGAAGGAGGCUUAAUCUUCCGAGGUGGCUUGUAUGAGUCUUCAGCAUUCUCAGCUGGAGGGUGACCAGGGUUGUGACCAUAAUGUGGUGGCUUCUCUCCCUUAGGUGGUUUGCCAACUGGGGUUGGUGGCUUGUAUGAGUCUUCAGCAUUCUCAGCAGGAGGGUGACCAGGGUUGUGACCAUAAUGUGGUGGCUUCUCUCCCUUAGGUGGUUUGCCAACUGGGGUUGGUGGCUUGUGUUCUGGGAGUGGCUUCUCCCCCUUGGGAGGUUUUUCCAAUGGGGUUGGUUUGUGUUCAGGAGGUGGCUUCUCCACUGGAGGCUUGUGUUCAGGAGGUGGCUUCUCCACCGGUGGCUUGUGUUCAGGAGGUGGCUUCUCCACCGGAGGCUUAUGCUCUGGUGGUGGCUUCUCCACCGGAGGCUUAUGCUCUGGUGGUGGCUUCUUGAAUGGGGGAUGCUGAGGGUAAUCAGCAAGUGAGGGGGCGGUGAGAACCACCAGGCCAAGCAACACCACUAGCAAAUAUGUAGGAGACAUCUUUGGGUUUGGGCUCAGAUGGUGCAAAACUAGGAGAAUUGGCUAGCCUUUUAUAGCGGAUCGUACUCAAUAAUGAAAUGACACGUGUCAUUAUGACCCAUGUGUAAUGGGGUCGAUUUGGGUCCUACAGUGUUGAAAACUUCGACAUCCAGUUUUGGCCUUUUGCUUUCUCUACAGCCGCCUUGCUUUUUCCCUCUUUCCUUUUGUUUUCCUCCUGCCCCAUUCUAUCAACUAAACACAAUUAUGUAGUUGUUUAAUUCUUAAAUGAGAUAUUAUCGGUCAAUCGUAUUAUAUUUUAUCAAGAGAGAACGGAGUGCAAUGCAGCUGUAAUUUUAUCGUUUACUUUUAUCUCUUGGACCACUGCAUUUUUGUUAAGAGGUGCAAUAAUACACGUCUUUAUCUGCCAUUCAAUGUUUACAGUAAAGAGAGGGCACAAAACUCUUCACUGCUCUGCAUGUGUCCCAAAAAUGCGAUUGGACAAAUUAUGAUUUGCAUGCUAAAAAGAGGCAAAUGAGGUUAAUUCGCACCAUAAUUAUUUGGUUUUCUGGACACCAUAAAAAGAUGUUAUACAGGCAGGGAAAAACCUUCAGAGUUAGCUACCAAAGAUAAUUAUCAAGCAGAUAUCACCAAGAGAAUUCCAUAGAGUCUGAAUCAAAGACAGAUUGCUCGCUCGUGGGGGUUCUUACUUUCUUUUGGGUAUAACUCACUGAGGUCACUGUCUUUUUUAUUUGCAUUUCACAGUUAGAGUUCUGCUCUGGAAGGUUUGUUCUGGAAACAUAUAAAAGGAGCAUCAUUUUGUUCUUGGGUAACCCAUAGUCGUGAGUGGGUCCAUUUGCAUGCUACUUAGUUGAAAAGUUGGACAAUUUGCUCCGACGCCUACCUCCUGGAUUCCAUGCUCGGUAAAACAAGAAUAAAAAAAAAUAUAUAAUUUACAAAUGGGGGAAAGAAAAAAUGUCGGAAAAAAUAGUAAAAUUCAUGUCACAUGCUAGUGAGAGAAGGGGUUGUUACACUCACUCGAAGUUCUUUUCAAAAUAUCGAAUGGUAUUUUACUUUAUGUGUCAGCGCAGUUGUGAAUGGAACGUGCAAAAGUCCAAAUUGGCGUUUUUAUUUUUCCCAUGUAGGAUGGUGACCUUUAAUAAAUAUUUAAAACAAAAGACGAAAAAAAAAAGGAGGGAAAAGGGAUCACAAAAGAUAAAAUAAUGUUUACAAAAGCUCAAUUAGUUUGCAAAUUACUGUUUGGAUUUUGAUAGUAUUUUAUUUGUCGUUCUAUAUUUGAUGUAAAAGAGAAUUUAAGAUAUUUCCGAAGCAAAAGCAUUAGUUUGCUCUGUGAUGUCCCACAUCGAAUAGGGGAGAAAGUUUCUGGCGCUAUAUAUGUAGAGGCUCCUCUUAACCAAGUAGAUGCGUUUUAAAACCAUGAGGGCCCCCUUAGGUCCAAAGCGGACAAUAUCUACAUGAUUGGGUGUAAGUCAUUACAAAUGGUAUCAGAGCCGAUCCCCGACCCCGGUGUGGGGGUUUGUUUGGCCCUGUAAGGGGUGUUUGUCUGUUUGACCCCACAAUCCCAUGGGACACAACGAGGACGUUGUGUCUGCAUGGGGGGGCGUUUGUGAUGUCCCACAUCGGAUAGGGGAGAAAGUUCCUAGUGCUAUAUAUGUAGAUGUUUCUCUUAACCAAGUAGAUGCAUUUUAAAAUUGUGAGGGCCUCUUUGGGCCCAAAGCGGACAAUAUCUACAUGGUUGAGUGUAAGUCAUUACAUGCUCCAUGUCAAUUUCAGCAUUUCUCAUAUGUUUCACACAUACACAGAAGAGCAUCGUUUUUUAAAGCAUGCAUUUAUGUUGGAUUAAUUUGGAUUUUGUGGGAACUGGGGCAAGGAUCACAUGGAAGAGAGGUUGACUUUUUUCAGUACUUCAAUGGUUGAAAUAUGUGAAGGCUUGAUUGAUACUAAAGCUUGAAAUUGCGACUCUGUCAUUUGUAAAAAAAUAUGACAGCUUCCAUGCUCUCGUUUGGUUGCAUUGUCCGGUCGAGAGGUGCAAAAAGCAUUCUCUCUCUUCUAAUAGUCUUUUCGUUUAAAUCAAGGGAUUUGCCUUCCCGGUCGAGGUCCAAUAGAGGGUAACGGUCACCUACUAAACAUUAAAUGCUCCAACAACUAGUGAACUGAUCGACCCCAGCUCGACUAGUUGAGGUUACUUUUUGGUUUUCUUGUCUCCCGAGGUUAGAAACCUAUAAAUAGAGAGCUUCACUUCAUUUAUGAGUAAGAGAACACCUAAAUUUAUUUGUUUACCUACUUGUUUUUGCCAUAAAAGCUCUCAUUUCUUUUCUUGGUGUAUUAAAUCUCCAUUUGCAUAUCCUUUAGUGCACCUUUGUGAUUCAUUCUAGCCUUGAGUUGUAUUUAAGCCUUUGUUGAGCUAGGUUGAGAGUUUCAUACUUGUUUAUUGAGUGUUAAAGCCUUCAAGUGAGUUAAAACUUGAAGAGAUUGUGUAAGAGCCCAUUGGAGUCGGAAUCCAAGUGUAAAGGUGAUUAAAAGCUUGGUUGAAGCUUCAAGUUAGUGGAACUCUCACUCGGUUAUGAGCUUGAGAAGAGUGGACAUAGACAAGGCAGUGUCGAACCACUAUAAAAUCUGAGUUUGAUUUCUCUAACCUUAUCUCUUUAUAUUUGCUUCUCUUGUGCUUAAAUUUUUUGUGUUUAAAAAGAAUUUUUAAAAACUCAAUUCACCCCCUUCUUGGGAGUUUUUCUCUUUUAAGAUCAGCUUUUAUUUUCUCAAUUGGUAUCAGAACUAUGCCUCUUGUUUAAGACUUAAUCGUCUAAGAGGAAAUGGCUAAUCCAUCAAGUUCAUCUCACAUUGAAAGUUUUGCAACCAAUAGACUUCUUUUUUUUUUUUUGCGGGAACUGAUUAUCCCUAUUGGAAAACUAAAAUGACUUGGUUUUUACAAUCAAUUGAUUUAGAUGUAUGAGAUGCCAUUGAAGAUGACCUAACUUUUCCUUCAAAACUAGUUGAUGGAGUCAUGGUUCCAAAACCUAAGCAAGAAUGGGAUGAGCGUGAUUGAAGAAAUUUUCAAUUAAAUGCUAAAGUCGUUUAUACUUUGCAAUGCUCUAUGGACAGAAAUGAAUAUAAUAGAAUAUGUCAAUGCAAAUCGGUUAAAGAAAUUUGGAGAUUGCUUGAAAUAACUCAUAAAGGAACAAAUCAAGUUAAAGAGUCAAAAAUCAAUUUACUUGUUCAUAGAUAUGAAUUGUUUUUUAUGAAAGAUAAUGAAACUAUUGUUAAGAUGAUCACUAGGUUCACCAACAUUGUUAAUGGUCUUAAAGCCUUGGGAAAGACCUACAAGGAAUCCGAAAACGUGAUGAAGAUCUUGAGGUCACUUCCAUCAAAGUGGCAUACCAAGGUCACCGCAAUUUAAGAAGCAAAAGACUUGAUCAAGCUACCUUUGGAGGAGUUCAUAGGGUCAUUGAUGACAUAUGAAAUCAAUUUGGCAAAGAAGUAACAAAAAGGUGAAGACAAAAAGAAGAAGAACAUAACUCUCAAAGCUACAACUAAGGAAGAAGAAGUUGAAGAAGAAAAACAAAUUGAAGAAGAUGAAGAUUUAGCCCUCAUCACAAGAAAGUUCAACAAAUUCAUGAGGGGUGAAAGGUUUAGAAGAAGAAGGUUCACUUCUAGAAGAGACUUUUCUAAAAAGGAAUCUUCAUCUAAUGGUGACAAAAAGAGAUGGGAAGAGAAAAGAGACUUGGUGUGUUUCAAGUGCAAGAAACCGGGACACAUUAAAUAUGAUUGUCCUCUCUACAAAAGUGAAGUCAAGAGGAAAAAGAAUAAGGCAAUGAUGGCCACUUAGAGUGAAAGUGAAGAUGAAUCAUCCGAAGAAGAAAAUGAGAAAGAAGUGGCAAACAUGUGUUUCAUGGCAAUAGAUGAACUUGAUGAGGUAAAAUCUAACCUUAGUGAUUAAGAUAUACAUGAUGCAUUUGAAGAAUUGUAUGAGGAUUUUUAAAAACUUAGUUUGAAAAAUAUUUCUCUUAAAAAGAAAGUUCAACAACUUGACAAAGAACUUAGAGAAGUAAAAGAAAAAUUUUCAAAUGUUAAAGUUUCUAAAACUCAUCUUGAAAAAGAAAAUGAGAUUCUAAGAAAGAAAAAUGAAUAGUUGAACUCCUCUCUUUCAAUCUUUUCUUCUAGACAAAAAUCUUUUGAAAUGAUUCUAACUAGCUAAAAAUGUGUUUUUGACAAACAAGGGUUAAGAUUUAAAUCUUCAAAAAAUCAAAAGUAUUUUAAAAACUAUUUUGUAAAGGAAUCCACAAGUGCAAGUCCUUCCACUACUUGCAACUUUUGUGGAAGAGAAUGGCACAUUAGUAGUACGCCCUUUAAGAAAUGGUUCUCAAAAGAAUUUAAAUGCAAAAACUAAAAAAGAUUUGGAUUGAGAAAUCCAAGGUCACUAACCCUCAAGGACCCAAAAAGAUAUAGGUACCUAAAUCAACUUGAGUUUUAUGUUGUAAGGUUCAAAGAAUGAUAAGUGGUUCUUAGAUAAUGGUUGCUCAAGACACAUGACCGGAGAUGAAUCCAAGUUUGCUUUUCUUAAAAAGAAAAAUGGAGGAUAUGUUACCUUUGGAGACAAUGCAAAAGAAAGGAUGAUUGGUCAAGGCAACAUUGGUAAUGGCACAUCCUCUCUCAUUGAAAGUGUUUUAUUAGUAGAUGGUUUCAAACAUAACCUUUUAAGCAUUAGUCAAUUUUGCGACAAAGGUUUUUAAGUGAUUUUUUAAGCAUCUCAUUGCAUCAUCAAGGAUAUUCAAAAUGAUAAAACCAUUUUCAUGGGCCAUAGAUGUGAUAAUGUUUAUGCUAUAAAUAUUUCAAAAUAUGAUGGCCAUGAUAGAUGUUUUUCAAGCAUGCAUGAUCAAAGUUGGUUGUGCCAUAGGAGAUUGAGACAUGCUAACAUAGACCUCAUUUCCCAACUCAACAAAGAUGAACUUGUUAGAGGCCUUCCCAAAAUAAUUUUUUAAAAAGAUAAAGUUUGUGAAGCUUGUCAAGUGGGAAAGUAAAUCAAAAACUCUUUUAAAAACAAAAACUUCAUUUCCACAUCUAGGCCACUUGAGUUGUUGCAUAUGGAUUUAUUUGGUCCCUCUAGGACACCAAGUCUUAGAGGAAAUUCUUAUGCAUAUGCUAUUGUGGACGACUUCUCUAGAUACACAUGAGUCUUGUUUUUUAGUCAAAAGAAUAAAGUUUUUUAUGAGUUUUCAAAGUUUUGCAAUAAGAUUCAAAAUGAAAAAGGUUUUUCAAUUACUUAUAUAAGAAGUGAUCAUGGGAGAGAAUUCGAAAAUAUUGAUUUUGAAGAGUAUUGCAAUGAGCAUGGAAUUGACCACAAUUUUUUGGCUCUUAGAACUCCUCAACAAAAUGGGGUAGUUGAAAGGAAAAAUAGAACUCUUCAAAAAAUGACAAGAACCAUACUAAAUGAAAACAACUUACCAAAAUAUUUUUAGGCCAAAACGGUUAACACUUCUUGUUAUGUUUUAAAUAGAGUAUUAUUGAGGCUCAUACUUAAGAAAACUCCCUAUGAGCUUUGGAAAAACAAAAAACCCAACAUUAGUUAUUCCAAAGUCUUUGGAUGCAAUAUUUUAUAAUAAACACCAAAGACAAUCUUGGAAAAUUUGAUGCAAAAUUGGAUGUUGGAAUUUUCCUUGGUUACUCAACUUCAAGUAAAGCUUUUCGAGUUUUAACAAAAGAACCAUGGUUGUAGAGGAGUCCAUCCAUGUUAUUUUUUAUGAAUCUCCAAGAAAGAGAGAGGAUUGAUGAUGAUUUAGGUUUGAAGACCUCUAUAGGAAGAUUGCAAAUCGAAGAUAGAAGACAACAAGAAGAAAAUGGAGAGAAUCCAAAGAAAGAAGGAUCACCAUUGGCACUACCCCCUCAUCAACAAGCGCAAGGUGAAUCAAGUCAAGAGCUUCCUAAAGAAUGGAAGUUUGUCAUCAAUCACCCACAAGAUCAAAUUAUAGGCAAUCCAUCUAGUGGGGUAAGAACUAGAUCCUCUCUUAGAAAUAUUUGCAAUAAUCUAGCUUUUAUCUCUCAAAUUGAGCCUAAAAAUAUAAAUGAUGUUUUAGAUGAUGAAAAUUGGAUAAUUGCAAUGCAAGAAGAGUUAAAUCCAUUUGAAAGAAGUGGAGUAUGGGAAUUAGUACCAAGACCUUCAAAUCAAAGUGUUAUUGGAACUAGAUGGAUCUUUAGAAAUAAAAUGGAUGAAAAUAGCAUAAUUGUUAGAAAUAAAGCAAGAUUGGUAGCCCAAGGUUUUAAUCAAGAAGAAAUGAUAGAUUAUGAAGAAACCUUUGCCCCCGUAGCUAGGUUGGAAGCCAUUAGGAUGCUACUUGCCUUUGCAUGUUUUAAAGACUUUGUUUUAUAUCAAAUGGAUGUGAAAAGUGCUUUUUUAAAUGGUUUUAUAAAUGAAGAAGUAUAUGUUGAACAACCACCCGGUUUUCAAAGUUUCAACUUUCCUAACCAUGUUUUUAAACUUAAAAAGACACUUUAUGGUUUGAAACAAGCACCUAGAUCAUGGUAUGAAAAAUUGAGUAAAUUUCUUUUGAAAAAAAUGUUUUAAAAUGGGAAAAAUUGACACAACUCUUUUUAUAAAAACCAAAGAAAAUGAUAUGCUCUUAGUUCAAAUAUAUAUUGAUGAUAUCAUUUUUGGUGCUACUAAUGUCUCUCUUUAUGAAGAAUUUUCUAAGUGCAUGCAUAGUGAGUUUGAAAUGAGCAUGAUAGGAGAACUCAACUUCUUCCUUGGACUUCAAAUCAAGCAACUAAAGGAAUGAACCUUCAUCAAUCAAGCAAAGUAUAUAAGAGAUCUUCUCAAAAGGUUCAACAUGGAAGAAGCCAAAACAAUGAAGACUCUAAUGAGCUCAUCCAUUAAGCUUGAUAAGGAUGAGAAAGGUAAAUCCAUUGACUCUAUUAUGUAUAGAGGCAUGAUAGGUUCUUUGCUCUAUUUGACCACUAGUAGACCUUACAUUAUGUAUAGUGUGUGUUUGUGUACUAGAUUUCAAUCUUGUCUUAAAAAAUCUCACUUAAGUGUCGUGAAAAGAAUCCUCAAAUAUUUGAAAGGGACAAUGGACAUAGGCUUAUGGUAUCCUAAGAGUGAUAACUUUGAAUUAAUUGGUUUUUUGGAUGCUGAUUUUGUCAGUUGUAGGGUUGAAAAAUAAAACACUAGUGGCACUUUUCAUUUCUUAAGACACUUACUUGUCUCAUGGCAUAAUAAGAAGCAAAAUUUGGUAGCUUUGUCAACAGCAGAAGCUAAAUACAUAGCAACUGGUUUAUGUUGUGCACAAAUCCUUUGGAUGAAAUAAACACUUAGUGAUUUUGAUUUAUCUUUUGAGCAUAUUCCUAUUAAAUGUGAUAAUAGUAGUGCCAUAAGUAUAUCAAAAAAUCUCGUGCAACACUCUAGGACUAAGCAUAUAGAGAUUAGACAUAAUUUUCUUAGAUAUCAUACACAAAAGGAUGAUAUAACACUUGAAUUUGUAAGCAUAAAAGACCAACUUGCCGAUAUCUUUACAAAACCUCUAAGAACAUUUUGUUGAUAUUAGAGGACAAUUAGGAGUGAUUUCUUUAUGAUCUAAUGUGAUGAAUUCUUGAUGAAUAUACUUUUUGAUUGCAUGAAUUUCAUGUCAUAUAUGCAUCAUAUAGAAAUAUACUUAGAUAAUGGUCAAAUUUCGACCAAAAAUCAAAAUUCCCAUGGCAUUAGGCAUAAAAAUUUUGGAAUUUCAACUGAAAAUGGUAGGAGGAGGAUCACAAAAUGAGAAAGUAUGCAAAAAUUGAAAAAUCAAAACGUUGACCAAGCGGUCAAUCGGACUAGACCGAUCGACUAGUUUGUCGAGAUUUAGGAUUUUUAAGAGACUCCAACGCUUCAAUUUUUGCACCGUUCUCCUCUAUUUCUUCACGGUUUCUCUGAUUUUGUCUUUUAGAGACUAAUUUGAGUGCGUUUUGGAUCAAUUGAAGCAUUUUGGAUUGGAUUUUAGGAAGAUUGAAAGUUAAGGUUUCGGAUUUGGGUCGCCUUCUCUUCCUCUCGCGUGUCACAAUCAGCUUUAGCAUUGUUCUCUUUCCAUUUUCACACACCUAGGGUUUCAGUUGUGAGCAUCUCUCUCUCUUUACCAACCACUACUCCCUUGCUUCUUCCAUAUGGCUCCUAGGCGAGAGUCCGCUACUUCUAGGGCACAAGGCAAGCACCCAACUGAGUCGUCUCAGUCAAAGGCACGUCGAAAAGUGAGAUUUGACAUUGCCUUGUUCAGUUCCAUGGAGGACUACCAACUAUACAAGCAACACUUUGCUUAGAGACGAGUAGUUCCCAAGAGAAAUAUUAAUUUUCCUCAACUUCAGCAUUUCGAAUUUAAGGGUCUAUUUACUAGGAUGGUUGGUUGUCUAUUGUCACAAUUUCGGAGCCGGUUUUCCUGACCUUAGUGCGAGUUUUUUACUCGAGGGCGACUUAUGGCAUGGGUGGCAUGAUCAUUUCUACUGUUGGAGGAGUUGAGAUCUGUCUGGACCCAGAGAGCAUCUGCCAUAUUUUCGAUAUUGCUCUGGUUGGACUCAAAGUAUACAAGUCCAAAAUGUGGCCCAUUGUGCCAGGAUUUGAGCUUAGAGAGGUCAUUCAGAGGAUUUGUGAACUUCCAGACGCCCAGGAGAUGGGCAAACCAUUGCCACACAGUUUGACGGUCAUCAACAGGGUGCUACACCAUAUAUUGUGCUCUAUCUUUCUACCACGAAGUGGACAUUGAGAUGAGGUCUCUUAUUAUGAGGCAUUCCUUAUUGACUCCAUUCUAACGGAGAGACGAAUUCAUCUACUAUGUCAUCAUUCACUAAGCCUCCUCACAGUGACAUACCACCUCAUCAGGCACCUCUUGCUCCUGACCAUGCUCCAUUGAUGGAUUUAUUUACUCAUAUUAGCUCUCUAGGCACUCGCAUGAAGGAGUUUGUUGUAGUUAGUGAUACAUGGUUCUACUCCAUAGAGGAUCGCAUGGAUCAGUAUCAGACUGGCUUCACGUCACAGUUUGAGUAUCUCCAAUAGAGGAUUGAGCAUAUUGAGGAUCACUUGAGCAUGAGAAGAUGAUGGCUUUUCUAUGCUCUGUGUUUCCACCUCCACCUCGUCAACCUUGAUUUCUUAGAGACCCAUUGUUUUCAUUUUGUAAUGUUGCCAAAAGGGGGAGAUAUUUAGGAUCUAGGACUCUAUAGGAGACUUACAUGCAUAUCAUUUUCAUAUCAUUGUUUGGAUCGUACAUAUUGGAUAGUGAUACUUUUUACUUAUAUAUGAUAUGCCUAUAUGUUUCAUGUCUUACAUUGUUUCUUAUUGCAAAUUAUCUCUAACAUGUCUUGAUUAUCUUUUUUUUAACUUCAUAAAUUUUGAUUGUUAACCCAUGAUUGGUUUGAGGGGAAGAUUCUUCUUCUCCUAGAUAACCAAGGUUUGUCAUCAUAAAAAAAUUGGAGAUUGUUAGCCCAAGGGUUCUCCUAAUCAUGUUUUGAUGAUAACAAACCAUGCUUAAGUUACUAAUUGGUUUGAAUUAUAAAGAAUUUCAAGUGUUAAUUUGAAAAUUCAUCAAAGAACCUAAUGGAUGCAAGAUCAAGAUUUUUGGAAGACCUUUAAUCAUAAGAAACAUAUGUAAGAUGAAUGCAUGGGUGCACUUAAGAUUUGCAUAUCAUUUCAUGCAUAUUUGGAAAACACGGUUUAUGCUUUAAAGUUACAUUUCCAUCAAAAUUUGAGAUCCAUCAAAUGAACCUUAGGAAAAAUGUUUUAAAAUUGGCAUAUAAUUUUACCUAAAGACCUUGCCUAAGUGUUAGAAGCAAAAGGACAAAAAAAAUAUAGGUUUUCUGGUCAAAAAUGGUGAACCAGUCAAGGCAUUGUCUAAAUCAGCUCAAUCGGCCAAGGUACCGGUCGAUCGGUUUCCCUUUCCCUGUCGAGAUCUAGUCAAGAGGUACAAAAAUCACAAUCUCUGUCUCUUUCUCUCUUUGUCUAUCUUCCAGUAGUCUUUCCUUCCCGGUCGAGGGAUUUGCCUUCCCGAUUGAGGUCCGAUUGAGAGUAAUAGUCACUUGCCAAAUAUUAAAUGCUCCAACAGUUAGUGAACUGGUCGACCCCCACCUUGCCCAGUUGAGGUUACUUUUUGGUUUUCUUGGCUCCCGAUGUUAGAAACCUAUAAAUAGAGAGUUCCACUUCAUUUAUGAGCAAGAGAACACUUGCAUUUAUUUGUUUACCUACUUGUUCUUGCCUUAAAAGCUCUCAUUUCUUUUCUUGGUGCAUUAAAUCUCCAUUUUGAUAUCCUUUAGUGCACCUUUGUGAUUCAUCUUAGCCUUGAGUUGUAUUUGAGCCCUUUUUUUAGCUAGGUUGAGAGUUUCAUACUUGUUAAUUGAGUGUUAAAGCCUUCAAGUGAGUUGAAACUUGUAGAGAUUAUGUGAGAGUCGAUUGGAGCCGAAAUCCAAGUGUAAAGGUGAUUAGAAGCUUGGUUGAAGCUUCAAGUUAGUGGAAUCCUCACUCAAUUAGGAGCUUGAGGAGAGUGGACGUAGCCAAGGAAGUGUCGAACCACUAUAAAAUUUGAGUUUGAUUUCUCUAACAUUGUCUCUUUAUAUUUGUUUAUCUUGUGCUUAAAUUUAUUGUGUUUAAAAAGAAUUUUUAAAUACCCAAUUCACCCCCCUCUUGGGUGUUUUUCUCUUUUAAAAUUAGCCUUUAUUUUCUCACAAACUAUUGUAGUAUAGUGGUUUUUAGGUGUCAUCCAUUAGGAUGAAUUGUUCUCGGUAAUUAAGGCGUGAAUGAGAGGAGAAUUAAUGAUUGUGAUUAAGUAAAAUUGAUUUGAAAAUUCAUGGUGAAAAAUCAAUUUAACAAUGGUUUCUAAUUGAGAAAAACAAUGAAAUGUGAAAUAAAAUAAAAUUAAUAGGAAAUGAAAUUCUCGAAGUUAGAAUUUUCUAAAAAACAAAUUCCAUGGUGAAUGGAUGUUGAGAUCUAAUUUUCAUCAAGUUAGAUUGAAAACCGAAAUUUUCAUAUAAACUGAUUUUUUAUUUAGUUUUAGGUCUAGAUUUAAUUUCCCUUAAAAUUAGGUUAUUUAAUCCAAGAAAUCAAUUCAAAUCAUAUAUUCAAUUCAUCUUAAAUUAUCUUCCAAUUAUUCACACAAUGCAACUAUUCAAUCUCAUCAAAUCUAGCUUUUAAGAAUUUAAUGAAUCUACCUAGUUUGCAUUGUAAUAGUCAUCCAUGACAAUUUGAAGAGAAAAAUAAUUCAAUUAAUCAAUCACUUGGAUCAAAUUACCUUUGCAAUUAAAGUUCAUUUCUCUAAUUCACCACAGAUUUUGUCUCUAGAUCCUCCUUUCUCAAAGAAAAAUGAGAUUUAGCCACACAUGAUUGGAGAUUUGGUCUCAUAAGGCAUGUUUAGCUAGUGAUAAAAUGAGAGAAAAUAAAGAAAAAUAGAGAAUUCGAUUAAGAAAGAAAAUCUAAAAAAUUCUACAAUUAGAAAUGUCCAAAAAGCUUUUUCAUGAGAAAAUCAAGUUUCUAUUUAUAGGCCAAGGUCAAGUGGACACUUGACAUCAUCUAAGAGGUCUUCCGGAAGCUUCUUCAUCAAGAAAUCUGGAGUUUAAUAAUAAAAUGGUCAUUUCACAAGAGCUCAAACAAUUUCGCAUGAUUAUGUGAAAUAAAAAAUGCAACAACAGCAAUUUACAUCUUCUUGGAGCAUUUCGCAUGACUGUGUGAAAUUUUCACAUGAUCAUGUGGAAUCGACUUGACAACUCUCAUUUAGCCUACAACAUAAUUCCACCUUUUGGUCCAUUUUUCAUAGUCAUGCGAAAUGGAAAUAUUUGAUUUUUAAGUUUUCUUUUGUCAUUUCUUUCAUUUCCUUCUCUUGAUUCCACUUCAACUACCUCCGAAUCCUGGUCCAAACCAAUUGCAUUACUUCUUUCAUUAUGCAUUUGGAUCAUCAUCAACAUUAUUUGUUCUCUUCAAUUUGAUUCAUCUCUUUUGUCACCAAUUUAUCAAAAUCAUACCUUGAAAUGACUCCAAAACUUCAUAAAACUUGUUAGUAACUCUUGCAAGGGCAACAACAUAUUAAUUAAGUGUUUUAGGCAUAGUUACUACUCAAAAGAUGCGAAACUCAUGAUAAUUAUUAUAUAAAAUAUGCUCUUUUUGAGUAGUAAUCAACUUUCUUGCAUAAGCAGACCUUUUAGGGUGGAGUACUAAAGACCAAUAUGCUUGUCCUUGUUGUAAUAAAGAAACUUGCUCUUAUUGAUUGCACCAUGGGAGAAAAUUUUGCUACAUGAGUUAUCAUCAAUUUCUUCCCACCAAUCAUAGAUUUAGACGUGACAAGAGGCCUCUUAAUGGCAAGGAGGAACUGACACUCACACUUAUACAAUUAUCGGGCAUUGAUGUGUUGCAACAAUUAGAAUAACUUACACCAAUUAUGUUGGGGAAGUCACAAAAGGCAAACAUGAAAACUAAAAGGAAAAAAGAAAAAUGUUACAUAUCACCACAACUGGAAAGAAAAAAGUAUUUACUUUCAUUUGCCAUAUUGGAAAGCACUUAUUUUACAUCAUAAUAAUUUAGACAUAAUGCAUAUUGAGAAAAAUGUGUGACAAUAUAAUUGAGACAUUGUUCAGUAUUGACGAAGAAACAAGGACAACCUAAAUAGUCAUCUCGAUUUACAAGCUCUAACUAUUAGAAAUGAGAUUCACCCAAUAGAAAGCAGGACCAAAUUUAUUUUGCUUGCAACAUGCUACUCACUCACCCCAAAUGAGAUUAAGGAAUUUUGCAAGUUUUUGAAAUCAAUAAAGGUCCCCAAUGGCUAUUCUUUCAAUAUCUCUCGUUAUGUGCAACUCAAUGAAAGGAAGAUAUAUGAGCUCAAAUUGUAUGAUUGUCAUGUCCUAAUGCAACAACUUCUCUCACUUGUAGUUCGUGGAGUUCUACAUAAGAAUGUUUGUGGAGUUAUCAUAGAAUUGCGUAAUUUUUUCAAGCAAUUGUGCUCAAAGGUGUUAGAAACAAAUCACUUACACCAACUUGAGAACAAUAUUAUUGUCAUACUAUGUAAAAUGGAGCAAAUAUUUCUUCCAUCAUUCUUUGAUAUUAUGGUGCAUUUACUUGUGCAUCUAGUAAGGCAAAGGUUGCAAGACUUGUGCAAUAUUGUUGGAUGUACCUAAUUGAACGAUAUUGUUAUAAUUUCAUAUGAAUCAUUUAAUUUUAUUUUAUAUUAUGUUCAGUUCAUUAACAUGUACAUUGGUCUACAUAUGGAUGAUGAUAGGUACCUAAGCACUUUAAAGUCAUAUGUGCGUAAUAGAACUUUUCUAGAAGGUUCUAUUGUAGAAAGGUACCUUGCAAAAGAAUGUACAACAUUUUAUUCUAGGUACUUGAAUGAUGUGGAAAUAAAGUAUAAUCACAAUGAUAGAAACUUUGUUGGUUUCAACACUAGAGGAGAUGAAAGGGGUUAUCUUUAAACAUAUUGGACAUGCAUUGGGAAAGCCCAUAUUUCAUUAACUUAGUUCAAAAGAGUGGUCACAAGCACAUUUAUAUGUGUUGACAAAUUGCGAAGAUGUCAUACCAUUCAUUGAGUAAAAAAUUUAUUUGAAUUUUAAUUAAAGCUCUAGUUUAUAUCCUUAAUCAAUGUUUUUUAAAUUCACAAGGAGCACAAGCAAACCAUCAAGGCUAGACCACAUAUACGUGUUUGAGACGUAGAUUUAAUUCAUAACAAGGAAUUUAUCAAGUGGUUUGAAAGACAUGUAAGUAUAUUCCUUAUUAUAAGGGAUUUAUUUCACAUUAUGUUUAUAUUGAAUCCAAACCUAUUAUUGAAUUGUAGGUUGAACAAUUACAUAAUGAAGGUCAUAUAUCUGAACACCUUCUCACAUUAUCAUGUGUUCCAAAUUCAUUAGUUACAUGCUUCAAAUGAUAUAUUGUCAAUGGAUUUAGAUCCCACAUUAAAGAACGUGAUAAAAAAGUUUUUAAAAAAAGACUCAGAAUAAUGGAAUUGUUGUAGUUGCAAAAACGUCAAGCUUUACAAGUGCAUGUGAUAUGAGUCCAAUUAUUAGUGAUGCUCUCUACUAUGGUGUUCUAACUAAAGUUGUUGAGUUACAUUAUCUUGGUGAAAAUAAGGUUGUUUUAUUCGAGUUUGAUUGGUGGGAUGUUACAAAUAUUGGAAAAUUGAUAAAAGAUGAUGAGUACAAUUACACAUUUGUUAACUUUGCAUGAAUUCUAACCACGAACGAACGAUUUGUACUUGCAUCUCCAGCAAAGUAAGUGUUCUAUGUGAAGAAUGCGAAUGAAUCAGAUUGGCAUACUAUCAUGGAGAUGCAACCUCAAGACCUCUAUAAGAUGAACGGGAUAGGAUCCAAUGGUGAUUUUGAACCAUUUCAACAAAGUGAACUACAUGAUCACUAAUAUAUCUCAGAUUUAGUUGAUGAAGAUAUAAUCAAGUGGAACAAAAGUGAUGUUUUAGGACUAAUCAUCCUAAAAAAUAUUGUAGUUUCUUAAAAAAAAAAUGAAAAUGAAGAAGAUAAUUGAACCUUUGUCAUACUUUAAAAAGCAACUAUGCAUUGUUCAUUUUGUAUGUUUUGGUUUUCUUCAUUUAAUUUCCUGAUUUUUGUGAUUCAAUGUCAUAUUAUUGAUCUUGAAAUAUUUUUCUAAUUUUUCAUUCUACGAUGGUUUCAACAAGGAUGACAUCAAGUCAAAAAAGGAAAUGUGGUCCCACACACAAUAUUGCAUUACAGGGAUUAAGGUCAGGGAAGAAGGUAAAAGUUGCAUUUAAUGAGUACAAUCAAUUGGUUAAACAGAAAAAUGGAAAACACUUAUCGAGCUACAUAGGGACACUUGUAUCUAACCAACACAAUGUACCUCUCCAAGCUAGUGAUUGGAAAAAUGUUCCAAAUGAUGCAAAAGAGAAAGUAUGGCCUUUGUUUUGGUAUGUUGUAUUUCUCACUAUAUGAUGUCAUUUCACUGUUAUUCUAUUUUGUGACUAACGUUUGAAUCAUAUGUAAGAAAAAUUUGAAGUAGAUAAAGACUGAAAAGAUUACAUGUUGGGUAUAGCCUCAAAUAAAUAUAGAAGCUAUAAAAAUAUGAUGAAUGCAAAAUACUAUGACCCUUGGCAUAAGGAUGCAUGAGGAGAGGUUAAUACAUAAAUCACCAUUUGUCUCUGAUGUUGAUUGGAAGUGGCUUGUCUCUGAUGCAUAAACCAAAUCCCCCACUGAAUGUUUGAUAUUUGAUAGCAGGAAAAACACACCCGCAGCUAUACACCUCCAUCAUUCAGAUAAUUAUAGUGGGGGAGAUGAUUCAUGGUUGCCCUUAUACCCUUUAUUUGCACCAUCUAUUGAGAUUCUUUAUCAUGGCCAGGUUUUACUGCAGCAAUAAGAUAUGGUGGCAACAAUUUUAUCUAUAGGUGCGGUUCCAGACCGCCUCCAUAGGUGCGGUUCCUGACUGCCUCCAUAGGUGCCUCUUCUUGUAAUGUUUGUUCUGGGAAUUACACUUGAAAGCCUUAUCGUGAUAAGGGAUUACAAACACUAGUUCAGAGGACAGCCAUGUUAAACUUCCACUAUGUUUGUGUCACAUUAUCAGCAGCCUAGUGUUUAUUGGUCAUGCUAUCUGCAACUAAUAUAACCCGGUGAACUUCAAUCUAAAUUCUGAAAGUACUCAUGUGACAGAUGGUGCCUUUCAGCAGAUAUCAUCAAUUUAAAAGUAGUGUGUGUGCCUAUAGGUGGGAAGGCCUUGGCAAAUGUUCAGUAUUCCGGUAAUUCAAGAAGGAUAUAUCUAAAAUAGAUUUUCUUCUUGCCCAUUUCAAUAGUUAAAAUUUGAGAAGAUUGUGUCCACAUCACACAAAUAUUAUUGGUCCUUCUGUUGCAAUUUACCUCUGAACAUGUCUUCCAAUUCCCACGGUCCUGUUACUCCAGGAAAACUAUUUCGGUCAUAUUGAAAAAAAAAAUAUUAAAGAAGGUACACAUGCUUUUAAGUGGACUGGGGCAUUCAUAUCAGGUGGUCUGUAUCCACAUAUGCCACUUCGUGAAAGGUGGAACAGCCUAAUCACUAGGCUAUUUAGUGUGGCCCAGCCACGUUAAUCAAGCACAAGUCUUCAUACUUAAAGUCAAAUGGUGUCUUUAGUCUCAUUACACAUCGCUAUUUGAAGAUUAACUCAUCACUAGUGUAAUGCGAUUAAGACAGUCCUAACUCAAUAUUUGUUCUAGUUUUGGAUGCAAAUGCUUGCUGGUUUCAUCAUUGGAUGGGAUAAAGGUGCAAUCAGGACUAUGAAUACGUGCAGUAAUACUUCAUUCUCUUUUUUCUCAAUGAGACUUCUUGGCACAAUUUUGCUGCUCAGCAACCUACCUUUCCAUGGAAAAUCAGUUGUGACUGAUAGUAAUGGAUAUAUUCUAGAAAGCUAAACAUAGAUAGCAUUCAAUAUUAUCGAUAUAACAUUAACAGCGUAUGUCUCAAUGCUCAUCAGCUACAAGCAAUGGACAAACACUUUGAGUAACUCACAGCAGUCAAAAUUCCUAAACAGGACAGACGUGACAGAUCUAUAUAUAGAACACUGCAUAUGAGUCACAGGAAAAGAUAAUACGGGUACAUAGAAGCUCUUAUUUUACAUAUUACUCAUACUGAUCAAAGUCGCUCAGUUGGGAUGGAUGGGAGAAGGAGGUUUGAGGGGUGGCUUGUGCGGGGAAGUUGGCAGCUUCUUUCCGGGAGCUGGUUGCUUCUUUGCUGGAGUUGAAGGAGGCUUAAUCUUCCGAGGUGGCUUGUAUGAGUCUUCAGCAUUCUCAGCAGGAGGGUGACCAGGGUUGUGACCAUAAUGUGGUGGCUUCUCUCCCUUAGGUGGUUUGCCAACUGGGGUUGGUGGCUUGUUUUCUGGGAGUGGCUUCUCUCCCUUGGGUGGUUUGCCAACUGGGGUUGGUGGCUUGUGUUCUGGGAGUGGCUUCUCCCCCUUGGGAGGUUUUUCGAAUGGGGUGGGUUUGUGUCCUGGUGGUGGCUUCUCUCCCUUGGGAGGUUUACCAAUUGGGGUCGGUGGCUUGUGUUCUGGGAGGGGCUUCUCUCCCUGGGGAGGUUUAGUGGGUGGCUUGUGUUCUGGAGGUGGCUUCUCCACCGGAGGCUUAUGCUCUGGUGGUGGCUUCUCGAAGGGGGGAUGCUCAGGGUAAUCACCAAGUGAGGGGGUGGUGAGAACCACCAUGCCAAGCAACAACACUAGCAAGUAUGUAGUAGACAUCUUUGGGUUUGGACUCAGACAGUGCAAAACUACGAGAAAUCGCUAGCCCUUUAUAGCGGCUCGGACCUAAUACUGACAUAAUAUAAAAUAAAUAUUAUAUUUUAUCAAGAGAGAACAGAGUGUAAUUUUAUCAUUAAUACCGAUCGAGGCCAAAGAAAGAAGACCCAUAAUCCAUUUCCCACAAGCAUACACAAUGCAGCUGUAAUUUUAUCAUUUACUUUUAUCCCUUGGACCACUGCAUUUUUGUUGAGAGACACAAUAACACAUUUUUAUCUGUCAUUCAACAUUUACAGUAAAGAGAGGGCACAAAACGCAAUUAGAUAAAUUAUGUUUUGCCUGCUAAAAAGAGGCAAAUAACUUUAUUUGCAACAUAAUUAUUUUGGUUUCUAGUGACCCCGGGGCCUUUCGGUUGGUUUGGGAUCGGAAAAUGAACAUCAUAGGGGGGGUUGUGCCCUUAUGGGCAUAUAUAUCUGAUAGCUUCAACUGGCCUUGUUCCUAGAAAGAAAUUGCCAAAGAUAUAAACUUAUUCCAGGCUGAAAGUAGAUGAGAGUCAUAAUGAACAUCAACCUUUGUUCAGUUUGAUUCAAUGCCCCCAUAGUGUUCAUUUCACAGAUCUGAAUGAUUAUAUCCGUUGAAUACAUAAAUUAAUGAAGACAAAUAUGAAACCCAAGAUACAUCUCUGCAUAACAACCCCAACCCUGGUUGCUAUGUUUCCCUUCUUCUAUUCACAUGAGGAUACUGGUUAUAAUUGUCAAACUUGCAACAAGCCCUUUGACACCUAACGUCAAUGGACGAAUUAAAAGUCUCCUUCAAACGUCUAUUUCACAGCAUGAAGCUUAUAAAGGAUGCUGACAACCUUCAGAGUUAGCGACAAAAGAUAAUUAUCAAGGAGAGAUAGUUCCAUGAGAAUUCCAAGGAGUCUGAAUCAAAGACAAAUUGCUCACUCAAGGGUUCUUAUUUUCUUUUAGGUACAAAUCUCUUGAGUGUUGUUAAAGAAACACGUCACUGUCAUUUUGAUUUGCAUUUAACAUUUCACUUUUGUUCUGGAAGGUUUGUUCCGGAAACAUAUCAAAUGAGCAUCAUUUUCUUCUUCGGUGACACAUGGUCGCGAGUACGUGGGUCCAUUUUCAUGCCACUUAGUUGAAAAGUUGGAAAGAAAAAACAUGCCAACAAGAAGAUAGUGAGAGAAGGGGCACUUCAAGCCUUUAACAUGAACAAACAGUAAAUAAAAGAUGUUUCUCCACUCAUAAAAGUGUGUUAGAUAGCAAUAUAACGAAUCACAUCCAAAAUCUUUACUAGGCUCAAACAUAAAGAAGACUCAUUUUUAAGAAAAGAUAAAAAUGGCAUUGUCUGAUAGUAUCCAAUACACGAGAUGGCACUUAAUUUGUACAAGAUCUGUCAAUGCUGACGCACAUUUUCUGAUUAAAAAAAAACUGAUCAGUCAAAAGCAAUGAAGAGAAGUGAUGACAAUGAAUGAUGCUUCCAAUAUUUUCACCCCUUAUAGUGUUCUUCAUGAUUCAGAUAUAUAAUUGGAAAUAGAACAACCCUAUGCCAUACAUUCGUCUAAGUAUGGUGUCUAAUUUUUUGUGUCAGCGGUUGCGAAUGGAGCGUGCAAAAGUCCAAAUUGGCGUCUCUCCAUUUCCACAUAGGAAGGUGACCUUUAUUGACAAAUACCCAAUAUUUGUAGACAUUCCUUAAAUAUCAUAACUUCUUGUUGAUUUGAAAAUCAUUUUUCAACUACCAUGUUUUAAUAAAUAUUUUUUAAAAUGUAUUUUUAUCAAAGUCCACCAUGAUGGAUAAUAUUCACCAUGCAAUAAUUAAUAAAGUACAAACUAAGCGAAAUGAAAAGCAUUUUCUUUGCUUUGAGUUGAUUUUGGUUGCAUUGAGUUGAUUUUGGUUUCAUGGUUUUUUCAACUCUUAUUUUGAUUGGAAGAUGUCAAGAAAAGAAAACAUAAAGAAAAAUUAAAAGGGAAAAAAGAAGAAAAAUAAAAAAAAAUAGAUUUAAAAGUUAAUAAAUUAUUUUUUAUAUUUAUUUUAAUUCAUUUCACUUAUUUUUCUUUUACUAUAUAAAAUUUAAAUAAUUUAAAUUUUAUAAUUAAUUUAAUUACAUUUCAUUUUCUUCUAUAUUUAAAUAUUGGAAAAAUAUUUUACUUAAUAUUUUUUUCUUUAAUUUCUUUGGCAUUUUGGGAACCAAACUUAGCCUUUAAAAUAAAAAACAAAAAAAAAAUGAAAAUAAGGAGGGAAAAGUGAGAAAAGAUAAAAACAAUAUGUAAAGGAUUUGAAAAGUAUUAGUUUGUAAUUACUAUUUGGAUUUCAAUAGUAUUUUAUUUGUCUUUCUAUAUUUCAUGUAAGAGAGAAUUUAAGAUAUUCCCCAAGGCAAAGCAUUAGUUACCUGCAAUCAGUGGUGAUAAGGCUCCAAGCCAAUUUUGGGCCCCAUAUCUUAAGACAGUACAAUUUCCAUUUCAACAUUUCUGAUUUCUCAGAUGUUUCACAUACCACAGAAGAACAUUGUUUGUGAAAAUAUGCAUUUAUGUUGGAUUUUGUAUGCUGUGGGGACUGGGGCAAGGAUCAUAUGGAAGAGUGGUUGACUUUUUCUGUACUUUAACGGUUGAAAUAGGAUAAGCACGGGCAUUUGUGAGGCUUAAUUGAUUUUGAAGCCUGAAAUUGCGUUUCUGUCAUUUUGUCAAAAAAAUGGCAGAUUCCAUACUCAUAUGUUUGGCCUGUGGCCAUGUACAGAUGCCAUUUAGUGACCAGUUUGUAACUGUCAAUCGUUGCGUUUUGACUCUGCCUCAACAACAUCUGCCAUUGACGGGUUUUCAUACUUGCAAAUCAAAUAGUCUUUCGUCCCAUCAGGAAUUUCGGUUUAAAUAUUAUUAAGCAUACGUUUGGCUGACAAUCAUUAUCCAGUUCAUGAUUUGGUUUCUUACCCUUAAUCAAUGGUUUCUAAGUGAAUAUAUGUAGAAGGAAAUCCGAAGUGUAGACAGUAGUAUCGAUAACUCUCAAUAUUCUCUAUAUAAUAGAAUAAACAGCGUCAUAGUGAUCGUCGCCUACAAGCAAGGUACAAAUACCAAAACGAGUGACUCACAUAGACAUCUCCCAACAAGAUGUAGUAGUGACUGACACAUGGACACAAUUAACUCGUAGAAAAGGAUAAGACCAUUGCACAGCAGCUCUUAUUUUACAUACUACUUAUGCUAACCAAAGUCAAUUAGUUGGGAUGGGUGGGAGAUGGAGGUUUGUGCGGUGGCUUGUGGGGCGGAGUUGAUGGCUUCUUUCCAGGAGCUUCUGGCUUUUUCAUCGGAGCUGAAGGAGGCUCAAUCUUAUGAGGCGGCUUGUAUGAGUCUUCUUUACUCUCGACAGGAGGGUGGCCAGGGUUGUGAUCAUAAUGUGGUGGCUUCUCUCCCUUAGGUGGCUUGCCAACUGGGGUUGGUGGCUUGUGUUCAGGAAGUGGUUUCUCUCCCAUGGGAGGUUUAGCAAUUGGGGUUGGUGGCUUGUGUUCUGGGAGUGGCUUCUCUCCCUUGGGAGGUUUAGUAGGUGACUUGUGUUCUGGAGGUGGCUUCUCCACCGGAGGCUUGUGCUCCGGUGGUGGCUUCUUGGUUGGAGGGGGCUUGGGGUAAUCAGCAAGAGAUGGGGUGGUGAGAACCACCAGUCCAAGGAACAACACUAGCAAGUAUGUGGGAGACAUUUUUGAGUUUGGGCUGAUCAGAUGAUGCAAAACUAAAGCAUUACGUGACCUUUUAUAGCAUGUAGCUCCCAAUACCCACUAAGUAUUGUGGGGUCCAUUUGUGCCCUACGGGGUUGAAAACUUAGACAAUUGGGCAAGGACCCACCUGACUAUGGAGGACUAGUGAGGUGUGAUCAUAGCUUUAGGAUUUUUCUUCCUCUGCAGCCGUCGUGCCGUUGGCAUGAUUUUCUUAAUCUUAAAUAAAGGCAUAGUUAUAGAGUUGUUUAAUCUCUAAAUGGGAUUUUAUAUAUAUCUUCAGAUAGCCAUUAAUAUAUUUGAUGAAGAAAGAAAGACAAGUGCAUACAACAUGUAUACGACUAGCUUUCAUGGAGUUCAUUUAUGAUCAGUUUUCCUGUACAUGUAAACCAGGAUCAUAUAUAUGUUUCUGUUCCACAACUAUUUUGGAAUCUUGUUUAUCAGUUUUUAUCAUUAUAAUGUCACAUAGGCUGCCAACUUGGGCGCUAAAAGAACCAGUUGGGCUAGUUCGUUUCAGAAUUUCAAUGUGGAUUCAGGAAUUGUUUUGUAAGAUAUGCGAAAUAGUAGAGGGAUGAAUAGUGUUUCAUUAAUAAAAGUGUCCUGUAAAUUAGAAGGUGUCAUAGAAACUAUAAUCAAUAAAUAACUUUUUUUCCCCACGGGUGGUGUUUCUUGUGGGGAUCAGUGACUGGUUUAGGUUCACCCAAAAUGAGUUCAGACUAAAAUUGGUUUGAGUCAAUGCCGUGUCUCUUUUUUCCAGAAAUCAACUAUUUUAUGCAUUGAAUAAAUCAUACAAAGAAAAUAUGAACGCCCGCAAAACCUAAACCCUGGUUGCUAACUUUCUAUGUUUCAGUUCUAUUCACGCAAGAAUAUUAGUUUAAGUUUGGGAAAAAUGGCAACUUACCUAGUGAUUACUUGGUUUUGGUUUGCGACUAUUUACGCAACCAACCAUGAGUUUGACUUUAACGUCAUGGGUUGAAGCCUCCUACAGGAAGGGAGAAAGCUCCACAGCUAGCUCCAAAAGAGAAUUAUCACAUUGAUAGCUCCAGAGAUUCCCAAGGGGACUGAAUCAAAGACAAGUUCCUCACUUUUUCUUCUUUUGAGGCCAAAUAUGAACCAAGGAUCACACAACCUCAUUCAACUUCAUAAGUUUGAUUUCAUGCAGUUGAACACUGGGUGAAGGCCAUGACAAGAAUUGAUUCAAAAAUUCUAUCACUCUUUUAAGUAAUGGAAGAUUAUUAUCUCUGAUUGGCAUCACAACAGCACAUGCUCCUAGAUCUUUCUAGACACUCCAUGCAAUGAAAGCACAAUGGAUCUUGUAACGAUAGAAACUAAGCCAUGCUACAGUACUAGAUGAUGAGGUAAAACUAGUAGACACGGGUGGCAGCCUAUAUGGGAGGGACACAAGUCUAAUUGAUUUGCAUUUCAGCAUUAUAGAUAGGUAUGUUUUGGAAGAUUUGUUCUGGAAAUACCGCACCAAGUAGGAUUCUUUUUCUCUUUAGUGGGUCCACUUGCAUGCCAAUUAACGAGUUGAAAAGUAUGAGCACCUACCUCGUGCUCGUGGAACCGAAGGUCAGUGAAGUGGGGCUCCUUUUGGCCUCGUGUAAACUUGAUUCAGAAGUGAAGUUAAUAGUCUUCCAUUCAGAUGGAUACAUGGGAAUUUUUCUCUUUUAUUUAUUUAUUUAUUUUUUUUUUGUGUGUGUAUGUCAAAGGAUAAUGAAUGAAGCGCGUUAGCUUGUUUUCUGACUGGAACCGCAGAUGUCCAAAUUGGAGUUCCUUCAUUUCUUACUUAGGAUUGUUACAUGUAUAAACAAGGUAUAAGAAAUAUGCCAACGUGUCUUGAGGAGUUAUUGAUUAGAAAUAACAAGUCACCCGACUGUAGAGUUCCAAGAUUUGAAUCUUCAGACCCUAUAGCAGCCUCUGGGGUACGUGGCAUCCUAUAGCAUAUUAAUGAAGGCUUUUUCGAUUUAGACUUCACAAUACCAAUUAAUAUGUAUGCACAAAAUGGAGAUGACCCCAAAAAAAACAGAAUCGCCAUAGUUUAUGAGGUUAAGGUGAUUCUCCACUUAAUAUCUACAUUAGCUAAUUAUGUAAAUCAAAUGAACUUCUAUUUUUCCUUUUUUUUUUUGGUUUAUGUCAAAUAGUAGCCCAUAAUUAACCCAACCAUUAGCCUGUUUGAAUUGAUUUCACAUGCACAAUGUUGUAGUAGUUCAUAUUUUGAAUUUUAUUUUUACAAAGGUAGUUAAGGAAAAUGAAGUAUAAUAAUUAUAAAAGCAGACUAUAUACACUACAAUAAUUGUUAGAAUGGUAUCUCAAAUUCUAAUUUAAAAUAUUAUUUUUUGUAAAAGAAAUAUUAUAUAGAAUAUUUCCUAAUUUUAUAAAUGAUUAUAAUUAGAUCUUUAUAAAAUAAGGAAAGUUGGUAAGAAUAUCUUUAUAAAUAUUUUAGGUCAUGAGAGAAAGAAAUGGGAUAAAAAUGUGAUGAAGAGGUGAAAUAAGAGAGUUGAUUAGGAUAUAGAUGUGAAGAAGAAAGGGAUUCAAUAUAUAUAUAUCUUUCAAUUACCACAUUAAAACCCUGUGAACCUUUUAUAUGGUUUACUUUAUUUUUAUAUUCCUCCUUUAAUAUAUUUACAUUAAUGCUUCCAUUGGCACAACAAUAACGAAUUACAAAUACAAGCAACAAGUCCCAUGUUUUAUUACCAAAAGCAGGUAAAAUCCACCUAAUAUAUUACAAUAUAUUCAUCCAAUAUUUUAGACCAAUUCUUCACCAUAAAUAUCAUAAUGUGGCUUUUGUUCUUUCUUAAAUUUAAAUUGAAUUGUCUUAUAUCAAUUUGUUUGUGAUUUUUUCAUUAACUUCACUUUCAUUUGGUUAUCUUUGGUUUUUGAAAAGUAUUAAGGAAUUAAUUAACAAAAUAAUGUUAAGAAAAAUAAUUUUCUCUCUUUUGAUUUUGAUUUUGUAGUAGAAAAAUAUAAUUAAAAUUAUUUAAAAAGUAUGUAAUUUUAAAUUAUUUAAUAUUUAGAUAAAAAAAAUAAGUCUAAUGAGUUUAAAAUAACAUAUAAAAAUAAUUUAUUUAUUUUAAAUUUAUUUUUUAUUUUCCAUUAUGUUCUCUUUCUCUUUUACUUUUUCAUAUUUUUUCUUACGAAGAAUCAAACACAACCUCAUAUUAUAUGUCAAGUGUUUGUCUAUAUUUGAGCAAUGUUAGAUACGGCCAUGGAUUCAUCAAACUAAACUGAUUUUAAUAGAUACUUCACAAAUUGAUUUAUACACUAAAUCAUUGGAUAGCAAUGAUGCAUUGGAAUUAAACGUAGGAUGAAGCUCGAAGAACACUGUUUGUGUAACAACAUAUUUAUGAAAUUAUGCAAAGGAUGAGCUUCGGGGUAGUAGUACAAGGUCAUUAAUGGAGAGCCGUGUUAAACCUUGAUUGUGAUUGGAUUCCGUUAUCAGCAACAGCAACCUUGUUUGUAACCUUGAAAGUCAUUCUGUCCACAUCGAAACUCCAAUUUGACGUUUGUAAUUACCAUUCCUGGAGUGUUCCUUGAUUGAAAUUUAAAUAAUAAUUGCGGCCCACAAGGAAUAUUUUCGAUUCUGUGGGAAUUUGACAAGGUUUGUUAGAGAAGACUGGUGACAUGUUGACUUCAAUGGUUCAAAUAGGAGACGUAUGUGGAUUUGGGGGGUUUAAUUGAAACUGAGUCCCUAUGGCUUUUUAAUAUUUGCAUUGAGCAGUCUCCAUGUGACUUCCUAAUUCCCACCAACCCUCCUGUCCAUGCUGUGAAACUAAAUUGUAAUUUAUCAGCCUUUGUCAAUGGUUUCUAAAUUAAAGAUAUAGACCAUGCAUGUACUUUAAUAAAAGCAAAUCUAAAGUGUAGAUAGCAGCAAUGGUGACACCCAAUAUUCUCCAUAAAAUAGAAUUAGAAUAAGCAGUGUUACAUUGUUCAUGAUCACCUACAAGCAUACAAGAACUUCCAUGAAUAACUCAUAGCAAUUGCCAACAGGGCGUCGUAGAGACUCAUACAUAGAACACUAUCCACCCAGAGGAAAGGACAAGACCAGUGCGCUGCAGCUCUUAUUUUUCACAUGUAUACCACCACUCGUAAUAACCAAAUUCACUCAGUUGGGAUAGGUGGGAGAUGGUGGUUUGUGGGGUGGCUUGUGGGGAGGAGUUGGAGGAGGCUUUAUUUUCUGAGGCGGCUUGUAUGAGUGUGCAGGAGGAUGCCCGGGAGUGUGACCAUAAUGUGGUGGCUUCUCUCCCGUAGGUGGUUUGCCAAAUGGGCUUGGUGGCUUCUCUCCCUUAGGAGGUUUACCAAUUGGGGUUGGUGGCUUGUGUUCUGGGAGUGGUUUCUCUCCCUUGGUAGGUUUGCCAAUUGGGGUUGGCGGCUUAUGUUCUGGGAGUGGCUUCUCUCCCUUGGGAGGUUUGCUAAUUGGGGUUGGCGGCUUAUGUUCUGGGGGCGGCUUCUCUCCCUUGGGAGGUUUGCCAAUUGGAGUUGGCGGCUUAUGUUCUGGGAGUGGCUUUUCUCCCUUGGGAGGCUUGCCAAUUGGGGUUGGCGGCUUAUGUUCUGGGGGUGGCUUCUCUCCUUUAGGAGGUUUGCCAAUUGGAGUCGGCGGCUUAUGUUCUGGAAGUGGCUUUUUUCCCUUGGGAGGUUUGCCAAUUGGGGUUGGCGGCUUAUGUUCUGGGGGUGGCUUCUCUCCCUUGGGAGGUUUGCCAAUUGGAGUCGGCGGCUUAUGUUCUGGGAGUGGCUUCUCUCCCUUGGGAGGUUUUGUUGGUGGCUUGUGUUCUGGAGAUGGCUUCUCCCCUGGAGGCUUGUGCUCCGGAGGUGGCUUCUGAAAUGGCGGGGGCUUGGGGUAAUGAGCAAGAGAUGGAGUACUGGUGAGAACCACCAUUCCAAGCAACAAUACUAGCAA